AAUCAUUUUUCAGAUGAUUUGCAUGUAACUAAAGUGCCGGAAAAUUCAUUUUUCAGAUGAUUUGCAUGUAACUAAAGUACAGGAAAAUACUGAAAAAGAGGCGCAACGCCCUUGUGUUUAUUUAUGUUGGGCAUGCAUGCCUUGGUAGAAGGUAGGUACGCAACUUACAUCAUCGUACUGAGCCCGUGCCACGACUUAUUUAUGCUACUCCCGCGUACUGACAAACUUACACACACAUACAAGUUCAGCUCUCAAAUGGCACGGGCUCCAGCUCACACAUUCACUUAACAACAGCGGCCUUGCCGCCUCAGAGCGCGGCGGUUGCCAUCCUCAGGAACGCCUCCACGGCUUCGUCGCCGCGCCCGCGGUCACCACGGCGGCGGUCCCCGCGCUCAUGCUCCUGCUGCUGCUCGGGUCCGGCGACGAAGCCCUCGUCCUGCUGAUCCUUGGCGCGGAACACCUCCUGCACCUCCCUCGCGGGCCUGCCGAAGGCGAGCUCCUGGGCGGGGUCGUCCAGCUUGGCGAUCACGUUGUUCCUCCCGGCGAGCCACACCCGCUCGUUCCUCUCGGCGUUGAUCUCGAAGCACACCACCUGGAGGUUGCUGCUGCCGCGGGACGAGGCGAUCUCCACCACCGGGUGGCCGGGGGGCACCACGAACGCCGAGCCGCGCGACACCCGCGCGCGGACCGUCUCGUACCUCUGCUGGUCCUGCUCCUCCUCCGACUCGGAGCCGGACCCGCGUCGGCGUUGCUGCCGCCGGUCGUCCUCCUCUUCCUCGCUCCUCCACCUGCCCUUGCCGUGCUCUUGCUCGCGGCGCUCGCUGUCGCGGCCGAGGUGCGGGCAGACGAUCUCCACCUCGCCCUCGCCUUCCAGCACGACGGCGAGCUUGAACGACUGGGUGUUCAGGUAGGGCGCGGUCAUAGAACCCUGCAGAUCGACACAUGCAUGCGUGUAAGCAACAGUUGAGUGACAAAUCACGAUAUCAAGUGCCAUCGCCGGUCGACGAGACGAGGAGCCUAAUUAUUAAGCGUGGUGACGUACCGGCGUGAUGUUGGCCACGGCGACGCGGACGUCGUGUUGGGCGAGGGCGUGGAAGCUACGGGCGUCGGCCUCGUAGAGGCGGCCAUGGCGGUUGGCGAUCUUGGGGCGCUGCUCCAGGAGGUUGAAGGUGUCGCGCGAGUCGCCGCGGAACGGGGGGAGAGGCCAGUGGUGGCCCUGGUCACCCUCGGACGCCUGGCGACGCAGCUCGCGGAGCUGCUCCUCUGACGCGCGGACGAUGGAGAUGGACUUCUCCUCCUCCUCCUUGCCUUGGCGGCUGCCCAAGAGACUACCCAGCCGCUCAUCCGAGGUCUGCACGUUCACGUCCAUGUCCAUGGAUGUAAUUGUGUAAAUGGAUUGAGUGAAGAAACAAGAGAAAUUUAUCUAUUAAUUCGUGCAUGCAUGUAAGUUGGUACGUACCUUUAACGCCGCUGUGAGCACGCGUUUGCUCAAACUAGCGAGGAGAGGCUUGGCCGAGAAAUACUGCAUGGGGUAUCCACGUGUCAGUCAGCCAGUCAGUGCAUUGUCGGCCAGGAUAUCUACAUGGGGGAUUCGAGCGGCAUCAACUUCUUAAUUACCUGGAACUUGCCGGGGACGGAGAUGGUGUGGAGAAUCUUGGCGAUGACCAGCUUCCUCCGGCCGUCGGUGUUGGCCAGGUGCAUGAUGGACCCCGCCGGCGCCACGAUCACAUCGCCUUGCCUGACGGUGUAGGACCGCUUCUCGCCGUUCUCGAUCACCGUCAGCACCCCCUCGCCUGCAUGCAUGCAUGCGCACGUUAAUUAUCAUCGAUCGGCACUCUGGCAGAUGCAUGCUGCAUGCAACAGUGCGUGUACAAGAUGGACAGUACCUUGAGCGACGUAGCCGACGCCGUCUGCGUCCGUGAGUCCCGGCACGACGAACGCGCGCGGGUUCACCUCCAUGAUGGCGACACGGUAGUUCCUGAUGCCCCGGAGGAGCCUGGACACUUCGUCGAACGGGCGAAGGGCCUUGACGAACCCGUGGUCGCUCCGGAUGAUGCGGCGGAAGCUGCGCGGGCCGAACACGUACGGCCGCCGGCCAUCCCCGUGCUCCUCAUCACGCUCUCCCUCGCCGCGCCGCCCACGUCCACGGCCCUGCUCCUCCUCACGCUCUCCCUGGCCGCGCCGCCCACGGCCACGGCCCUGCUCCUCCUCACGCUCCCCCUCGCCGUGCCGGCCAUGCCCGCGGCCCUGCUCCUCCUGCUCGUGCCUUCCGUGCUGCUGCUGGUCGUCCCGGCACUCCUGCACGCACCGGGCAUGAGAGUACCGCGGCCGGUCCUGCUGGCACCGCUGCACGCACCGCUGAAGCGAGCGCCCACCGCGCCUGUCCUCCUCCUCGUCAUGGGAGGCCGAAACAGCCGCGGCGAAGAGAAGGCUUGUGCCCAGGAGGAAGAGGAGAGGGAUGGUUGCUCUGCCUCUGGUCGCCAUGGUUGAACUAGCUAGCUCUGUGUGUGUGACUGUGCCGGGAUGUGGAGAUUGUGGCACCGUAUUUGUAGCGCGCGCGCCGCUGUACGUGGCGCGGUGGCGCGGCUACGUGGAGGCGAGCUGCGUGCCAGCGGGGAGGCGGGUGGCCACGUCGCGCGGCCGUGCUUAUCGCGCCACCGGCGAGGUGCGGGCCAGCUUGGGCGUCGCUUGUCGGGGCGUGCUCUUGCUCGCGGCGGGCGGCGCCGAGCGACGGAGCUGCUUGAGUGGAUUGCGGUGCGGUGCUUCGUACAGAGCACCUAGACGCUCUACGGACAACCCGACGAGAGCGUCCCGUGACUCCAGUAAGAGACGUACGCACUGCCUACCCGGCCUCUAAACAGAGCCUCCCCACGAGAAACUUUUUAUGUAAAAGAAAAAAAACAUUUCUUCUAGACUUUAUUAAAAAAGAGACCAACCAAAGGGUUAAUCCUCAUUAGCUUUUUUUCCUAAGAAAACUCCGCGAACACCUUGCGUCGAAGCCGAGGCAUGAACUCGGGUUGGCUGCAGCUAGGCCCCUUCUUCUUCUUCUUGGCUUUUGAAGUGAUAGUUUCCUUCUAAUCUAAAUCAUUACUCUAGGUGCUUGGAUCUCAACGUUUAAAUACAUUCCUAUUGACGUCACUCUAGUAUCUUCCCGCAAAAAAGGUUUAGUUAAAUAGUCAUUUUAAGAAGCAUUCUUUUUUUUGUUUAACAAACUAGGGCGUCAGUGGCACCAAAUUUUCAUUCGGCUGAACUGCACCAGGCAGCUAAAAGUACAAAGUGUUAAACAUGAUGCAUGCCACGUCAGGUGAUCUAACCAGGAGGUAUUCGCAUAGUAUAGAUAGAGAUAGAUUCGGUUGUUAAGCAGUUCAAAUAUCUCACAAUUGUAACUAUCUCUAUCUCCUCUUUCCCAAGUAAACUCUUCUGGAAAAUCUCUCUGUAACGAUCGUAUGGUGGUCGCGCCCCUCCUAUAUAACAUGAACCACGUCUCUUGAGAGAGGUAAGACGUUUUCCGCUAUCGCACAUGGUAGUCAGAGCCUUCCUUUUCCCAUCUGAAACUUCUGUCGAAUCCAUCUAUCCUAGCCAUGUCUUCCUCCUCCUCCGGUGCCUUCUCUCCCAAACUCAAUAGCCAGGUCACAGAGAAGUUGUCUCGCACGAACUAUGUGCUAUGGCGCACGCAGAUCACACCUCAACUGCGCGGCGCCGGCGUCUACGGCUACGUCGACGGCGCCACACCGGAGCCUGCAAAGCUCCUGAUCACCACCAAAGUGGACAAGGAGACUUCAUCGUCCAACCCUCUCCACCCUAUAUGGGUCCGGGAGGAUCAGCAGGUCCUUGGCUUCCUGCUGGCCAACCUCACAAAGGAGGUCUUGGUCACGGUGACCACGGUCACCACGGCGAGCGCGCUCUGGACGACGCUUGCUGCCAUGUUCUUGUCACACUCGGCGAGCCGCAUCAACAACAUCCCCACCUCCCUCAUCAACGCAUAGAAGGGCAAUCUCUCGGUUGCUUCUUACUUUGCUGCUAUGCGGGGGUAUGCAGAUGAGCUCGCCGCGGCGGGCAAGGCUAUCCAGGAUGAUGAGCUUGUCUCCUACAUCAUCCAUGGGUUAGAUGCGGAUUACCAACCUCUGGUGUCUGCCCUCGACGCUCGUAUCACCCUCGUCACGCUCGACGAGCUCUUCGCCAUGCUCUCCAACUUCGACCAACGCAUGGCCCAGUACCAUGGGUCCGGCGGCGGCGGCUUCAAGUCUUCAGCCAACAUGGCGUCUCGUGGACGGGGCGGCGGCUCCCGUUCAGGCGGCACUCCCCGCAACAAGGGGCGAUCUGGCAGCGGCGGCGACAGCGGCCGCGGCUCCUCCCCUCAGCGCGCGGGCGGCAGUGGCCGUCGUCGCGGUCGUGGCGGCAGCAAAAGGACGCGUCCCGACACUCCAAGGUGCCAGAUCUGCGGGAAACCUGUCCACACAACAAAAGAUUGCUGGUACAUGUAUGAGGAUGAUGAUGAUGAUGAUGAUGACUCCCAAGAUGAUGACAAGGUUGCUGCGGCUGCUGAUGGGUCCUAUGUGUUGGGGAUCGUAGCAGAAAUUUAAAAUUUUCUACGCAUCACCAAGAUCAAUCUAUGGAGUAAUCUAGCAACGAGGGGAAGGAGAGUGCAUCUACAUACCCUUGUAGAUCGCUAAGCGGAAGCGUUCAAGUGAACGGGGUUGAUGGAGUCGUACUCGUCGUGAUCCAAAUCACCGAUGAUCCUAGCGCCGAACGGACGGCACCUCCGCGUUCAACACACGAACGGUUGGGAGACGUCUCCUCCUUCUUGAUCCAGCAAGGUGAGAGGAGAAGGUGAAGGAAAACUCUGACAGCACGACGACGUGGUGGUGAUGGAGCUCGUGGUUCUUCGGCAGGGCUUCGCCAAGCACUACGAAGGAGGAUGAGGUGUUGGAGGAGGAAGAGGGCUGCGCCAGGGGAAGGGUGCGGCUGCCCUCUCUCUCCCUCACUAUAUAUAGGGGAAGGGAGGAGGGGGAGGUGCCCUAGGGUUCCCUAGGGGAGGGGCGGCGGCCACAGGGGAAACCCUAGAUGGGUUUGGGCGCCCCUACCCCCUAGGAAACUUGCCCCCCAAGCCGGGAGGGGCGGCUGCCCUAGGGGUGGCGCCCCCACCUCUCCUGGUUACGUGAGAUGGGGUGGGAGGGGCGCUCAGCCCCUUAGUGGGCUGAUGUGCCCUCUCCUCUUGGCCCAUAAGGCCCCCCAACGCUUGCCGGGGCCUCCGAAACCCCUUUCGGACACGCUGGUCAUCACCUGGUACCCCCGGAACAAUUCCGGACUCCAAUACCCUUCGUCCAAUAUACCGAUCUUCACCUCCGGACCAUUCCGGAGCUCCUCGUCAUGUCCGGGAUCUCAUCCGGGACUCCGAACAAUCUUCGGUAACCACAUACUAUUUCCCAUAACAACUCUAGCGUCACCGAACCUUAAGUGUGUAGACCCUACAGGUUCGGGAACCAUGCAGACAUGACCGAGACAACUCUACGGCCAAUAACCAACAGCGAGAUCUGGAUACCCAUGUUGGCUCCCACAUGUUCCACGAUGAUCUCAUCGGAUGAACCACGAUGUUGAGGAUUCAAUCAAUCCCGUAUACAAUUCCCUUUGUGCAGCGGUAUUAUACUUGCCCGAGAUUCGAUCGUCGGUAUCCGAUACCUUGUUCAAUCUCGUUACCGGCAAGUCUCUUUACUCGUUCCGUAACACAUCAUCCCGUGAUCAACUCCUUGGUCACAUUGUGCACAUUACGAUGAUGUCCUACCGAGUGGGCCCAGAGAUACCUUUCCGUUACACGGAGUGACAAAUCCCAGUCUCGAUUCGUGCCAACCCAACAGACACUUUCGGAGACACCUGUAGUGUACCUUUUAUAGCCAUCCAGUUACGUUGUGACGUUUGGCACACCCAAAGCACUCCUACGGUAUCCGGGAGUUGCACAAUCUCAUGGUCUAAGGAAAUGAUACUUGACAUUAGAAAAGCUUUAGCAAACGAACUACACGAUCUUGUGCUAGGCUUAGGAUUGGGUCUUGUCCAUCACAUCAUUCUCCUAAUGAUGUGAUCCCGUUAUCAACGGCAUCCAAUGUCCAUGGUCAGGAAACCGUAACCAUCUUAUUGAUCAACGAGCUAGUCAACUAGAGGCUUACUAGGGACAUGGUGUUGUCUAUGUAUCCACACAUGUAUCUGAGUUUCCUAUCAAUACAAUUCUAGCAUGGAUAAUAAACGAUUAUCAUGAACAAGGAAAUAUAAUAAUAACCAAUUUAUUAUUGCCUCUAGGGCAUAUUUCCAACAGUCUCCCACUUGCACUAGAGUCAAUAAUCUAGUUCACAUCGCCAUGUGAUUAACACUCACAGGUCACAUCGUCAUGUGACCAACAUCCAAGAGUCUACUAGACUCAGUGAUCUAGUUCACAUCACUAUGUGAUAAACACUCAAAGAGUUCUGGGUUUGAUCAUGUUAUGCUUGUGAGAGAGGUUGUAGUCAACGGGUCUUGCCAUAUUCAGAUCCCUAUGUAUUUCGCAAAACUUUAUGUCAUAUCAUAGAUGCUGCUACCAUGUUCCACUUGGAGCUAUUCCAAAUUGUUGCUCCAUUAUACGUAUCCGGUAUCUCUACUCAGAGCUAUCCGGAUAGGUGUUAAGCUUGCAUCGACGUAACUCUUUACGUUGAACUCUUUAUCACCUCCAUAACCGAGAAACAUUUCCUUAUUCUUCUAAGGAUAAUUUUGACCGCUAUCUGGUGAUCCAGUCCUAGAUCACCUUUGUACCCUCUUGCCAGACAUGUGGCAAGGCACACAUCAGGUGUGGUACUCAGCAUGGCAUACCGUAUAGAGCCUAUGACAAGAGCAUAGGGGACGACCUUCGUCCUUCCUCUUUCUUCUGCCGUGGUCAAGCUUUGAGUCUUACUCAACUUUACACCUUACAACUCAGGUAAGAACCCCUUCUUUGACUGAUCUAUUUUGAACUCCUUCAAAAACAUGUCAAGGUGUGCGUUCUUUGAAAGUAUCAUCAGGCGUCUUGAUCUAUCUCUAUAGAUCUUGAUGCCCAAUUUGUAAGCAGCUUUAUCCAGGUCUUCCUUUGAAAAACACUCUUCAAACAACCGUUUAUGCUUUCCAGAAAUUCUACAUUAUUUCGGAUCUACAAUAUGUCAUCCACAUAUACUUAUCAGAAAUGUUGUAGUGCUCCCACUCACUUUCUUGUAAAUACAAGUUUCUAGCAAACAUUGUAUAAACCUAAAAGCUUUGAUCACUCCAUCAAAACAUAUAUUCCGAUUCCGAGAUGCUUGCUCUAGUCCAUAGAAGGAUUGCUGGAGCCAGCAUACCUUUUAGCAUCCUUAGGAUCGACAAAACUUUGAUUGUAUCACAUACAACUUUUCUUACGAAAACUGGUAAGAAAACUUGUUUUGACAUCCAUCUGUAAGAUUUCAUAAUCGAAAAAUACAGCUAAUGCUAACAUGAUUCCGACGGACUUAAGCAUCGCUACGGGUGAGAAAUUCUCAUCGUAGUCAACUCCUUGAACUUGUGAAAAGACUCUUUCCCACAAGUUGAGCUUCAUAGACGGUAACAAUACCGCCCACGUCCGUCUUCUUCUUAAAGAUCCAUUUAUCUCAAUGGCUUGCCGAUCAGCGGGCAAGUCCACCAAAGUCCAUACUUUGUUCUGAUAUACGGAUCCUAUCUCGGAUUUCAUUGCUUCUAACCAUUUGUCGGAACACGGGCCCACCAUCGCUUCUCCAUAGCUCGUAGGUUCAUUGUUGUCUAACAACAUGAUAUCAAAGACAUGAUUACCGUACCACUUAGGAGUAGUACAUAUCCUUGUCGACCUACGAGGUUCGAUAGCAACUUGAUCCAAAGCUUCAUGAUCACUAUCAUUAACUUCCUAUUCAACAGACAUAGGCGCCACAGAAAACAUCUUUUUGUGUUGCAUCACUCUCUGGUUGAAGUAAAGGUUCGACAACCUCAUCAAGUUCUAUCUUCCUCCUACUCAAUUCUUUCGAGAGAAACUCCUUCUCGAGAAAGGACCCGUUCUUAGCGACAAACAAUUUGCCCUCGGAUCUGAGAUAGAAGGUAUACCCAACUGUCACCCUUGGGUAUCCUAUGAAGAUGUGUUUGUCCGCUUUGGGUUCGAGCUUCUCCGGCUGAAGCCUUAAGCAUCGCAGCCCCAAACAUUAAGAAACGACAACUUUGGUUUCUUGCCAAACCAUAUUCUUACGACGUUGUCUCAACGGACUUAGAUGGUGUCCUAUCUAAAGUGAAUGUAGUUGUCUCUAAUGCAUAACCUCAAAAUGAAAACCGUAGAUCGGUAAGAGACAUCAUAGAUCGCACCAUAUCUCAUAAGGUUCGUUUAUGACGUCCGGACACACCAUUACCCUGUGGUGUUCCAGGUGGCUUCAACUGUGAAACAAUUCCACAAUGUCUUAAGUGUUUGCCAAACUCAUAACUCAGAAAUUCUCAUUGAUCAGAUCAUAGGAAUUUGAUCUUCUUGCUAUGAUGAUUCUUAACUUCACUCUGAAAUCGCUUGAACUUUUCAAACAUUUCAGACCUGUGCUUCAUUAAGUAAAUAUACCUAUAUCUACUCAAAUCGUCAGUGAAGAUGAGAAAAUAGCGAUAUCCACCGCACGCUUCAAUUCUCAUUGGAUCACACACAUCUGCAUGUAUGAUUUCCAACAAGUCACUUGCCCGUUUCAUUGUACCUGAAGACGGGGUCUUAGUCAUCCUGCCCAUGAGGCAUGGCUCGCAUGUGUCAAGCGAUUCAAAAUCAAGUGACUCCAAACAUCCAUCGAUAUGGAGUUUCUUCAUGCAUCUUACGCCAAUAUGACCUAAGUGGCAGUGCCACAAGAAAGUGGUACUAUCAUUAUUAACUCUACAUCUUUUUGGCGUGAACAUGUGUAUCACCACGACCGAGAUUCAAUGAACCAUUCACAUAGGGUGCAUGACCAUGAAAGGUAUCAUUCAUGUAAACAGAAUAACCAUUAUUCUCUAACUUAAAUGAAUGACCGUAUUGCAAUGAACAUGAUCUAAUCAUAUUCAUGCUCAACGUAGACACCUGAUAACAUUUAUCUAGGUUCAAUACUAAUCCCGAAGGCAGAUGGAGCGUGCGAUGGUGAUCUCAUCAACUUUGGAAACACUUCGAACACACAUCGUCACCUCGCCCUCAGCCAGUCUCCGUUUAGUCCGUAGCUUUUGCUUCAAGUCACCAAUAAUAGUAACUGAACCGGUACCCAAUACCCAGGUGCUACCAGGAGUACUAGUGAGGUACACAUUAAUAACACGUAUAAAUUUUGUUGAAGUUUCUAGCCUUCUUAUCUACCAUGCAUUUGGGGUAAUUCCGCUACCAGUGACCGUUCCCCUUACAAUAGAAGCACUUAGUCUCGGGUUUGGGUUCGACCUUGGGUUCCUUCACUAGAGCGGCAACUGGUUUGCCAUCCAUGAAGUUUCCCUUCUAGCCCUUGCCCUUCUUGAAACCAGUGGUCUUGUUAAACCAUCAACACUUGAUGCUCCUUCUUUGAUUUCUACCUUUUGCGGUCUUAAGCACCACGAACAGCUCCGGGAUCAACUCCAUCCCUUGCAUGUCAUAGUUCAUCACGAAGAUCUAGUAGCUUAGUGAUAUUGGCUAGAGAACUCUAUCAAUCACUAUCUUAUCUGGAAGUUUAACUCCCACUUGAUUUAAGUGAUUGUAGCACCCAGACAUUCUGAGCACAUGCUCAUUAGCUGAGCUAUUCUCCUCCAUCUUGUUGGCAAAAGAACUUGUCAGAGGUCUCACAACUCUCAACACGGGCAUGAGCCUGAAAUCCCAAUUUCAGCUCUUGGAACAUCUCAUAUGUUCUAUGGCAUUCAAAACAUCAUUGGAAUCCCGAUUCUAAGCCGUAAAGUAUGGUGCACUAAACUAUCAUGUAGUCAUCAGGAUGUGUCUAUCAGGUGUUCACAACAUCCACAGACGAUGUUGUAGGGGUUUGCACAUCAAGCGGUGCAUCAAAGACGUAAGCCUUCUAUGUAGCAGUGAGGACACUCCUCGGACUACGGACCCAGCUGCAUCAUUGCUUACAAUAUCUUUCAACUUGGUCUUUCUCUAGGAACGUAUUGAAAUAGGGAGCUACAACAUGAGCUAUUUAUCUACAACAUAUUUGCGAAGACAAUUUAGACUAUGUUCAUGAUAACUGAGUUCAUCUAAUCAAAUUAUUUAAUGAACUCCCACUCAGAUAGACAUCCCUCUAGUCAUCUAAGUGAAACAUGAUCCGAAUCGACUAGGCCGUGUCUGAUCAUCACGUGAGACGGACUAGUCAUCAACGGUGAACAUCUCAUGUUGAUCGUAUCUUCUAUACGACUCAUGUUCGACCUUUCGGUCUUCCGUGUUCCGAGGCCAUGUCUGUGCAUGCUAGACUCGUCAAGUCAACCUAAGUGUAUUGCGUGUGUAAAUCUGGCUUACACCCGUUGUAUUCGAACGUUAGAAUCUAUCACACCCGAUCAUCACGUGGUGCUUCGAAACAACGAACCUUCACAACGGUGCAUAGUUAGGGGGAACACUUUCUUGAAAUUAUUACGAGGGAUCAUCUUAUUUAAGCUACCGUCGUUCUAAGCAAAUAAGAUGUAAAACAUGAUAAACAUCACAUGCAAUCAAAUAGUGACAUGAUAUGGCCAAUAUCAUUUUGCUCCUUUUGAUCUCCAUAUUCGGGGCUCCAUGAUCAUCGUUGUCACCGGCAUGACACCAUGAUCUCCAUCAUCGUGUCUUCUUGAAGUUGUCUCGUCAUCUAUUACUUCUACUACUAUGGCUAACGCUUUAGCAAUAAAGUAAAGUAAUUACAUGACGUUUAUGUUGACACGCAUGUCAUAGAUAAAUUAAGACAACUCCUAUGGCUCCUGCCGGUUGUCAUACUCAUCGACAUGCAAGUCGUGAUUCCUAUUACAAGAACAUGAUCAAUCUCAUACAUCACAUAUAUCAUUCAUCACAUCCUUUUGGCCAUAUCACAUCACAAGGCAUAUGCUGCAAAAACAAGUUAGACGGCCUCUAAUUGUUGUUGCAAGUUUUUACGUGGCUGCUAUAGGUUUCUAGCAAGAACGUUUCUUACCUAUGCGAAAACCACAACGUGAUAUGCCAAUUUCUAUUUACCCUUCAUAAGGACCCUUUUCAUCGAAUCCAAUCCGACUAAAGUGGGAGAGAUAGACACCCGCUAGCCACCUUAUGCAACUAGUGCAUGUCAGUCGGUGGAACCAGUCUCACGUAAGAGUACGUGUAAGGUCGGUCCGGGCCGCUUCAUCCCAUGAUGCCGCCAAAUCAAGAUAAGACUAGUAACGACAAGUAAAUUGACAAUAUCGAUGCCCACAACUACUUUGUGUUCUACUCAUGCAUAGAAACUACGCAUAAACCUGGCUCUGAUACCACUGUUGGGGAUCGUAGCAGAAAUUUAAAAUUUUCUACGCAUCACCAAGAUCAAUCUAUGGAGUAAUCUAGCAACGAGGGGAAGGAGAGUGCAUCUACAUACCCUUGUAGAUCGCUAAGCGGAAGCGUUCAAGUGAACGGGGUUGAUGGAGUCGUACUUGUCGUGGUCCAAAUCACCGAUGAUCCUAGCGCCGAACAGACGGCACCUCCGCGUUCAACACACGUACGGUUGGGAGACGUCUCCUCCUUCUUGAUCCAGCAAGGUGAGAGGAGAAGUUGAGGGAAAACUCCGACAGCACGACGGUGUGGUGGUGAUGGAGCUCGUGGUUCUCCGGCAGGGCUUCGCCAAGCACUACGGAGGAGGAUGAGGUGUUGGAGGAGGAAGAGGGCUGCGCCAGGGGAAGGGUGCGACUUCCCUCUCUCUCCCUCACUAUAUAUAGGGGAAGGGAGGAGGGGGAGGCGCCCUAGGGUUCCCUAGGGGAGGGGCGGCGGCCACAGGGGAAACCCUAGAUGGGUUUGGGCGCCCCCACCCCCUAGGAAACUUGCCCCCAAGCCGGGAGGGGCGGCUGCCCUAGGGGUGGCGCCCCCACCUCUCCUGGUUACGUGAGAUGGGGUGGGAGGGGCGCUCAGCCCCUUAGUGGGCUGAUGUGCCCUCUCCCCUUGGCCCAUAAGCCCCCCCCAACGCUUGCCGGGGCCUUCGAAACCCCUUUUGGACACGCUGGUCAUCACCUGGUACCCUCGGAACAAUUCCGGACUCCAAUACCCUUCGUCCAAUAUACUGAUAUUCACCUACGGACCAUUCCGAAGCUCCUCGUCAUGUCCGGGAUCUCAUCCGGGACUCUGAACAACCUUCGGUAACCACAUACUAUUUCCCAUAACAACUCUAGCGUCACCGAACCUUAAGUGUGUAGACCCUACGGGUUCGGGAACCAUGCAGACAUGACCGAGACAACUCUCCGGCCAAUAACUAACAGCGGGAUUUGGAUACCCAUGUUGGCUCCCACAUGUUCCACGAUGAUCUCAUCGGAUGAACCACGAUGUCGAGGAUUCAAUCAAUCCCGUAUACAAUUCCCUUUGUGCAGCGGUAUUGUACUUGCCCGAGAUUCGAUCGUCGGUAUCCGAUACCUUGUUCAAUCUUGUUACCGGCAAGUCUCUUUACUCGUUCCGUAACACAUCAUCCCAUGAUCAACUCCUUGGUCACAUUGUGCACAUUAUGAUGAUGUCCUACCGAGUGGGCCCAGAGACACCUCUUCGUUACACGGAGUGACAAAUCCCAGUCUCGAUUCGUGCCAACCCAACAGACACUUUCGGAGACACCUGUAGUGUACCUUUAUAGCCACCCAGUUACGUUGUGACGUUUGGCACACCCAAAGCACUCCUACGGUAUCCGGGAGUUGCACAAUCUCAUGGUCUAAGGAAAUGAUACUUGACAUUAGAAAAGCUUUAGCAAACGAACUACACGAUCUUGUGCUAGGCUUAAGAUUGGGUCUUGUCCAUCACAUCAUUCUCCUAGUGAUGUGAUCCCGUUAUCAACGACAUCCAGUGUCCAUGGUCAGGAAACCGUAACCAUCUUAUUGAUCAAUGAGCUAGUCAACUAAAGGCUUACUAGGGACAUGGUGUUGUCUAUGUAUCCACACAUGUAUCUGAGUUUCCUAUCAAUACAAUUCUAGGAUGGAUAAUAAACGAUUAUCAUGAACAAGGAAAUAUAAUAAUAACCAAUUUAUUAUUGCCUCUAGGGCAUAUUUCCAACACUAUGGCGUUGAUACAAAUUGGUACGUCGAUAGUGGGGUCACAAACCACAUCACCAAUGAGCUCGAGAAGGUAACCAUGAAGGAGAAAUACCGCGGCGAGGAUCAAAUCCAUACUGCUAGCAGAGAAGGUAUAAGUAUACGUCACUUUGGUCACUCAAUAUUUCGUACCCCUAGACGUAAACUUCAUCUUAAGAAAAUUUUGCAUGUCCCUAGUGCACAUAAAAAUCUUCUUUCUGUUCAUGAAUUGCCAUUGAUAAUCAUGUUUUUCUCGAGUUUCACCCUUAUUUCUUUUUUUAUCAAGGAUCAGGCAACGAGGGAAAUUCUCUAUCGAGGUAGAUGUGUUCGAGGGCUCUACCCGUUGAUUCCGGAGUUUAGAAGAUUCAAUAAACAAGCUUAUGGUGCUAUCAAGCUUACGUCCACACGAUGGCACGAUCGUUUAGGACAUGCUUCUUUUUCUUUAGUUGAAAAGUUUCUUAGGAAAAAUAAGCUCCCGUUUGUUGGUGAGUGUCAUGUUGAAACUAUUUAUGAUUCAUGUCAACGAGCUAAAAUUCAUCAAUUGCCAUAUCCUAUUUCUACUAGUGUUUCUACCAAACCUUUACAACUCAUUAUUUCUGAUGUUUGGGGUCCAGCCCCCAACUCUGUUGGUAGACAUACUUAUUAUGUGAGUUUCAUUGAUGAUUACAGUAAAUUCUCUUGGAUCUAUCUUCUGAAAAGAAGAUCAGAUGUGUUUCAAGUUUUCCAAAAUUUUCAAGCUCUUGUUGAACGCAAGUUUGACAGCAAAAUCAUUGCUGUUCAAUCAGAUUGGGGAGGGGAGUAUGAAAAGUUGAACUCCUUCUUCCAAAAUCUUGGCAUCUCUCACCACGUAUCAUGCCCACAUGCUCACCAGCAAAACGGUUCAGCUGAACGUAAGCAUAAACACAUUGUUGAGGUCGGCCUUACUCUUUUGGCAGGAGCCUCCAUGCCUCUCAAGUUUUGGGAUGAAGCAUUCCUCACGGACGUUCACAUUAUCAACAUGCUACCCAGUCAUGUCAUUAAUAAUGAAACUCCGGUAGAACGCCUUCUUCACACCAAACCUGACUAUAAAUCUCUUCGUGUCUUUGGGUGUGCAUGUUGGCCAAAUCUUUGUCCUUACAACAAUCGCAAACUCAUGUUUCGAUGAAAACAGUGUGUCUUCCUAGGGUAUAGUGCUCAGCAUAAGGGCGUCAAGUGUCUAGAUGUCUCCACUGGUCGUGUUUACAUCUCAUGUGACAUUGUAUUUGAUGAAACAAAAUUUCCGUUCGCUGAUCUCCACCCUAAUGCUGGCGCACUUCUUCGAAAAUAAAUCCUCCUUUUGCCUCCUCAUCUUACUAGUUUUGAUCAAGGGGGACAAAAUAUUGAUGAUCAAUUAUUGACUAACUCAUCUAAUGAUCUGCAUGAGUUUUGUGUUGAUGAAACAGGAGAAAAUCGCGAGAAAAAUGCUGCUGAAAAUAAUUCGGAUGGGCCAUAUUUCAUGUGUUCCACUGGAGGAGACAGAUCCUCCUCGGGAUCCGCCUAGGUGCAGUGGAUCAGAUCCACCUCGGGAUCGCCGCCCUUGACGAGGCAGGCACAGGCGAGCGCGCAACAGCCUCCCCAGAUUCGCGCAACGCCGGUUCCACGGGUGACACACGGGCUUCAUUGGCUGGCUGUGCCGGAUGUCCCGUCCCGAGCCAAUCGCCACUUGCCACCUGGCAGGCUCCGGGUGGCCCAGGAGGUGCACGGUACGCCACCCAACCUGUGAUGUACAAGCAGCGCGAAGACACGCGGUCCAGGGAGGGCGCGGGACUUGGCACCGGUCCGACCGGCGUGGAAACCCGAGUGAAUGCGCCAUCAUCACGCGAUGAUGAGUCGCACGCCUGCACUCUGGGAUCUUCUGCGGCUACUCCAGGCACCCCACUUCACUCUUCAGCCGCAGAAAAUCCGAUGUUGCUGGGUGGCGCUGCUGGAUCAAGAUCCUCCUCGAAGUCCGGUGCUGCGAAUGAUUUGAGAUCUGCUGGAUCUUCUGUGCCAACAGAGAUGAUUGCUCAGUAGCCACGCCGCACACGUCUGCAACAAGGGGUAAUUCAACCUGGCAACUACAAGCAUAUAACCAAGUAUGGUAUGGUUUGUUCCAUAGGUGAACCGGAUGAACCUAACACUCUUGAAGCAGCAUUGUGUGAUGAGAGGUGGAAAAAAGCUAUGAAUGAAGAGUACAUGGCAUUGAAGAGAAACAAAACAUGGCACUUGGUUCCCCCACAACAAGGUAAAAAUUUGAUUGAUUGCAAGUGGGUUUUCAGGAUUAAAAGAAAAGCUGAUGGAACCAUUGAUUGUUAUAAGUCUAGGCUGGUAGCAAAAGGUUUUAAACAGAGAUAUGGAUAGACUAUGAGGACGCCUUCAGUCCAGUGGUAAAGGCUGCCACCAUUCGUCUUGUCCUGUCUAUUGUUGUUUCUAGAGGAUGGAGCCUCAGACAGCUUGAUGUUCAUAACGCGUUUCUCCAUGGUGUUCUGGAAGAGGAAGUGUACAUGAAACAACCUCCCGGGUUUGAGAGUAAGAAUGCUCCUUCGUAUGUGUGCAAUCUGGAUAAAGCACUAUAUGGGUUAAAGCAGGCUCCAAGGGCAUGGUAUGCUCGCCUCUAUCAGAAAACGCAAGCACUUGGUUUCGUUCCAUCUAAAUCUGACACAUCAUUGUUCAUCUACAACAAGUCCAACACAUGCAUAUUUGUUCUCAUAUAUGUUGAUGAUAUUAUUGUAACUAGCUCAUCUGAUGAAACAUUCAGAGGACUUCUUAAGGAUUUGAGUGCAGACUUUGCUCUAAAGGAUCUUGGUGACUUGCAUUACUUUCUUGGGAUUGAGGUGAAGCAGCACAAAGAUGGACUUCUCCUCUCUCAAGAAAAGUAUGCAACUGAUUUGGUUAAGAAGGCUGGGUUACAAGGAUGUAAACCCCCAUCUACUCCGUUAUCCAGCUCGGAAAAAUUAUCUCUUGCAGAAGGUGAGCUCUUGAAUCAAGAGGACAACACCAAAUACAGAAGUCUGGUAGGAGCUCUUCAGUAUCUCACACUCACCAGACCUAAUAUAUCCUUUGCUGUUAACAAAGUCUGCCAGUUUCUUCAUGCACCUACCAAUGUUCAUUUGACAGCUGCAAAACGUAUAGUUCAAUACGUGAAGCACACUCUGAACUUAGGACUGAACUUCAGCAAAUCACCCUUUACUCUUGUCAGUGCAUUCUCUGACUCUGAUUGGGCAGGUUAUCUUGAUGAUAGGUGCUCUACUGGUGGUUUUGUAGUAUUCUUUGGACCAAAUUUGAUAUCAUGGUGUGCACAUAAACAGGCUACCGUAUCCAGGUGAAGCACAGAGGCAGAAUACAAGGCAUUGGCAAAUGCCACAGCUGAGAUAAUAUGGGUUCAGUCCAUGCUGAAGGAACUUGGUGUACAAAGUAAACAAGCUCCCUGCUUAUGGUGUGACAACCUUGGUGCUACGUAUCUCUCUGCAAAUCCAGUGUUCCAUGCCAGGACAAAGAAUAUAGAGAUAGACUUUCAUUUUGUCAGAGAAAGAGUUGCUCAGAAACAACUUGACAUUCGCUUUGUGCAUUCCAAAGACCAACUUGCAGAUGGAUUCACAAAGCCUUUGCCUACAAGAAGUUUUGAAGACUUCAAGCAUAAUCUCAACUUGAUGAAGUUGUGAUUAAGGGAGGGUGUUAAACAUGAUGCAUGUCACGUCAGGUGAUCUAACCAGGAGGUAUUCGCAUAGUAUAGAUAGAGGUAGAUUCGGUUGUUAAGCAGUUCAAAUAUCUCACAAUUGUAACUAUCCCUAUCUCCUCUGUCCCAAGUAAACUCUCCUGGAAAAUCUCUCUAUAACGAUCUCUCUAUAACGAUCGUAGGGUGGUCGCGCCCCCUCCUAUAUAACAUGAACCACGUCCCUCGAGAGAGGUAAGACGUUUUCCACUAUCGCGCACAAAGUUGUGGAGAUGUACAUGUUGUAGAGUAGACAUUACAAGGCAUUCACGUGUAGAGUGAUCUGAACUUGAACAUGUGUUGAUAGGUUGAUUUAGGCUACGCCUAAGCACCUGUUCUAUACAAUUGUGAGCCACUUGAUUGGGCUCUCUUGGGAUAUGGGAAACCUGCUGUGAAGAGCAUGAAAUGGCUCCAAAGUAACCAGCUAGAUAAGCCCCGACAUUCCAGUGGAGGAGAGGAUGAUCAAGACUUCUUACUACUGUUGUUUUGGCUAGAACAUGGUUGCCCGUCAAGAACAUUGGCAUGUUGAUGUGCAGAAGUUGUGCAAGUUUUGCCGUCAUGAGGAGAGCUUUUGCUUCCGCUUGAAACACCGAGGAUUCUUGUAAAGUCGAAGCCUGUAUCAUGAUGUGCCACUUUCUUUCAUUAGAGUUAUCUCGGAUGUGGAUCUCUUUUCCUGUAGCUUCUUGUUCUUCCGAUCCAGGGAUUGUCUUGCAUUUUCAAGAUGCAUCUAUAAAAAUCACAACCCCUUCAAACAAUCUCUCAGAUUUAAUUGUAGAGCCUUGCGGACAAAGUUCAAGAUUGUUGAUUAGAGCCUGUGCAUGAAUGAAGAUUUGGUAAGGAGAUCCAUUCUUUCUCUGGAAAAGAAAAUCAUUCCUGGAUUUCCAUGUGCAUCGCAUAAAAGUGAAGAUAUUUGGCAGAGAAGCAUAAGUAUGGUUCAUGUUCAGUAAAGUCAGGAUUAUCUGAGUUAAGGUAUUGUAGUGAAGAUAUUUGGCAGAGAAGCAUAAGUAUGAUUCAUGUUCAGUAAAGUCAGGAUUAUCUUAGUUAAGGUGUUAAACUGUAUAGUGUUGUGAUCUAGGAGGCUGUUAGUAUUUGUACUUAUCUCCUGUAAUAACUUCUAUAAUAUAUGCCCUAGCUGCACCCAUAUAUAAACAUCCCAAGACCACCGUAUUGUUUGUGCUGAUACAAUCUCUCUUUCUCUCGUUUCACAUGGUAUCAGGCCAUCACGCGUAAUCACACGAUGGGAUCUCCUACUGCCUCCGCUUCCUCCUCCGCCGCCCUGACCACCCGUUCCCUGCCCGCCUCCUUCGACGGGCCGCCUGCCUCUGUCGUCCCUCCUCCCUCAGCUAGCCUCAUCACCGCCAAGCUCACCACUGCCAACUUCCUUCUAUGGAGGGCUCAGGUUCUUCCUCCCCUGUGCAUCAUCGGAGCUACGAGCUACGUCGACGGCACCCUUCCAGCCCCUGCAAAGCUCCUGGACCCUGAUGACAAGGGGGUGCGCGCUCCCAAUCCGGAGUAUGCCAACUGGUACCGCCAGCACCAGAUCAUCCUCAACUAUGUCCUUGCCUCUCUCUCCGAUGAAGUCCUGCAGCAGGUGCAUCUGUUUGACACUUCUCCGGCCAUCUGGGCGCAUGUCAUGGAGAUGUACAACAUUCAUUACCGUUCUAGUAUCGUCGAGAUCAAACUGGACAUGGCGGCCUUACGGAAGGGCAAUCUCUCCAUGGCGGACUACUUCGCCAAGAUCCGCGCCAACGCCGAUCAGCUUGCUGCCAUCGGCCGCGCCAUGCAUGAUGAGGACAUCAUCACCGCUGUCAUCACCGGCCUCGACAGCGACGAGCCGCUCAUCACCGCUUCCACAACUGGUCUUGACGGCAUGUCUCUUGGGGAAUUUUAUUCCCAUGCCACCGCCUUCAAACGCUGAUGCGAGUACAACGCCGCUCGCCUUCAUCUUCAAUCCGGCGGCUCCUCCGUCAACUACGUCGCCCGGGACAAGAACGGCAACAACAACACCACCAACCGGGGCAAGGGCAACUACUGCGGCAAGGGUCGCGGCAACUCCGUUGAUCACGGCGACUACUGUCGUGGUUCUAACUCUGACAGUGAUGUAGGGGGGUAUGUAUGGAGAGGCUAGAUCUUAGCUAUGGAGGAGUUGUAAGCACACGAGGAUUACGAGUUCAGGCCCUUCUCGGAGGAAGUAACAGCCCUACGUCUCGGUGCCCGGAGGCAGUCGACUGAAUUAUGUGUGUAUGAAUAACAGGGGUGCGAACCCUUGAUACUGAGGAGGGGGUGGCUUAUAUAGAGUUCGCCAGGCCCCUCCAGCCCUUAGUAAUGCAGGGUUUAAAGUACAUUAAGACUGGGGGUUACUGGUAAUGCCCCUAAUAAAGUGCCACGAUGACCAUAAAAGCUACUUAAUGACCGACCGUUUGCGUGCAGGGUGACUUUAGAUCUCCUGGCAGUCGAGUGGUUGGAUCUUCGUCGAGUGAUUGCUUCGUGGUCGAGUGUCUCGAAUCCGUCGAGUGGGAUACCUCCAAGUCGAUUGAAAGGUGACUUCUUCUAGGGAUGUCCUUGGGUAGGGUACUUAGGACAGGUCCAUGCCCCUACCCUAGGUGCAUAGCUUCAUCAUUAGCCCCCGAAUGGAUCGAGGUUCGAGUGGGGAAGGAGUUGGGGAUCUUUCCGACUGGUUCUUCAUGUUAUAUGAACGUCUUGUUUUGGAUCAAUUGUGACGGAUGACGUCGUCAACUUCUUUCAGUCGCCUUGAUCCAUUCUUGGCCUCUUGUCGAGUGAAUUUCUUUACUUGUGACGGUGUGAAAGGGAUCUUCUGUUUGACGAGUUGUUCUGCGGCCCGCGGAUUUUGCGGGAUUUGAAUUUCGGGAAGCGCGCGAGACGGGGGCGGCCGCAGUAAUCGGAUGGGAUAGGACGGAAGCUCCUCGAUCCCCGCGCCACCCUUUUCGCCAUGUACCGCGCGCGUGCCUGUUGCGGGAUUUGACGGGAUUGCCUGGGCCUACUAGUCAGCCACUCAGAAGCGACCUCUUAUAAGCUGCCGGCUCGGGACCCCCGAACAGUGCGCCUUCACUUUUCCCCCUUCCUUCACAAGAUCCUCCGCCACCUCUGCUCUCACCUUGGCACCGUAGGUCUGUUCGAGCUUCGCCGGCGACGAUGGUGAAGGAGAAGACGUCGGCUCUGGAGCGCGCGAAGAAGGCGGCGGUGCAGGGGAAGGGGAAGAAGUCUGCUCGGGGCGGAUCUUCCUCGAGGACUGCUCUGCUCAAGGAUUGGAUCCAGGGCGACUGGAUGCCGUCGGUGAUUCGGCAGGAUGAUCUCGAUGACCUGGUCAAGGGGGGAUUCAUUCCCCACGAAUCUGCGCGCCUCCCGGGGAAAGAAGUCGAAUCCCAGCCUCUUGAUGGUGAGUGCGUCCUCCUCACCACCCAUAUCGAUCGUGGAUUCUCUCUGCCUCCUCAUCCUUUUUUCCGGAGCUUCUUGAACUUCUUCGGAGCGCACUCCAUCACUUUACUCCUAAUUCUAUUGUAUAUCUUGUUGCUUUCGUUUCCUUGUGUGAAAACUUCUUGGGUUGCCGCCCCCAUUGGGGACUCUUCAAGCACAUCUUCACUUGCCGCUCUCAGUCGGUCAAGAAGGCCAAGUCGAGUGACGAACGGACGCAGGUGAUCCAGCUGUGCGGGGGCCUGGCGAUACAGAUGAGGGGAAAAGUUCCUUUCCGUCUAUCACUUUUCCCGAGUUAGUCCGUGGGUGGCAGUCGACUUGGUUUUACUGUAAAGACCAGGUGACCCUAGGACAGUCAACUGGGCUCCCCCCUUUUUCUCUGAAUCGAGCACAAAAACCUGCCUCUCUGAAUGUGACGCCAGAGGAAAAGGCGCAAGUCAAGGUGCUGGUCGGUCGAUUGGUUCAGCUUGUCCGCGAGGGUGUGACUGGCAUGGACUUGUUGGAAGUCUUCCUUCGGAGGCGCAUCCAACCGCUUCAGGCUCAUGACCACCCGAUGUGGCUGUACUCGGGUCUCGAAGACACCACUUGGAUUCACCUAGAGGAGGUCACUGACGAGAUGUUGGAAGGGUGGCUGUCGAGUAUCAUAGGGAACAAGGACAACCCCCAAGGAGCCAGGAGGAUUCCUCCACUCGACCAAACGUACGAAGUGGACAAGGUCUGACCUUGCGUUUCUGACUGUGAUCUUGCUUUCUUUAUUUGUUCUCUUUGGAUCAGUCGAUUGACUUUUGUCUUGUUUGUUGUCCUCUAGGCCACUACUGAGAUGUACUCGACACCCAAUGGAGCACAGGAGCAGGCCGAGGAAGGAGAGGCGAGCGGAGGCGAAAGUGGAGACGAGAGAGAAGAGUGGGAAUCUGACGGCGAAGGAGAGGGGGAUGACGACGACGACUCCAGUGAAGAGGAGGAGGAAGAAGUCGAACCUCCUCGCUCGGAACGGCGAUCCAAGCUUACACACGACCCUGCGCGGGAACGUGGUAAGGCGACUGUCCUUGUUGGGCAGUCGUCGAAGCGCCCUCGGACCUCAUCUCCAGCACCGAUAGAAAAAGCUCCCAAGCACCCACGCGCGACGCCGUCCAAGCCGCCCAAGGCUCUGCCCAAGAUGAAGAUGACUGUCCCCACCAUUUCUGGGUAAUAGUAGAAUUUGUUUUCCUUUGUCGAACGUGACGGACUCUUGGUCGACUCAUUGAAUAAGCUGACUGACUUUCGAAAUUUGCAGUGCUGCCACCUCGGAGAUCUCCACCAAGGACGAUGAUCAGGAGAUGGAAGACGCUGUUACCUCCAACCCCGGUACGAUUACUGAUGCUCUGCUUUUAGUCGACUGACGAUUUCUUAUAAUUCUGGUCGAUUGGAUUUUUCUUGUAGCUCCUCCUCAUGUCAUUGACCUCCCUGAUGAUGAUGACGAAGUGCUGCUGAGGGCGUGAAGGAACAGGAGGGCGCCGGCUGGCAAGACCCCACAAACUACCCCGACGCCUGAGGCCGCAGUCCGGGAGGGUGGUGAUACCACUCGGGCUUCUGUGACCUUCGUUGAACCUCUGACGAGUGUCCGGCCUUCAACGUCGACUGCAAAUCCGCCUUCGCUUUUUGCCACACACCACGUCCCUGAGGACCAAGUGGGUGCCGCUAAAGAGGCUAUAUGCCAGGCGGGGAUCAUGAUGGAGCAAGUGAAGGUGGUUCGGGAAGCCAGCCAAGCAGCUUAUGACGCAAGUUCAGCUCUUCAGAGCAAUGUCCAGGUCAGUCGAUUCACCGCUUGUUCUAUUAGGAUAUGCUAUCUGAAGAAUCUCUUUUCCGAAGAUCUUUAUAUCUGUACACCCACUGGGUGUGUCUAUUAAUCUUUUUGACGAGUGGGGGCAUGCUAAGUGCACCCACUGGGUGUAGUCCCGGAGACUACGGUGGACUGCUGGCAGUCGACUGUAGUCUUUAUAUUGUGUUGCUUUAGCUGAACUUCUUCACUCAGUCUGGUCAGGCCAUGUCGAAUGGAACUGUACACGGUCGACUGCGGGCAGUCAAUUUUUUUUGGUCGAACCAGUGGGGGCACGCUGAGUGCACCCACUGGGUGUAGUCCCCGAGACUACUGUCGAAUGUUUUUGAUUCGGCUGUAGUCUUAGAAACGCCAUCAUUGUCUCUUGGUUACUCGGAAGCAACUUAUCUUGGAUGUCUGUCGACUGAUUUUUUGCAGAAAUCCUGCAAACUUGUGGCUCGCUACACUGAGUUGGAGAACAAACAGAUCCAGCUGAACCUUGACUUGAAGCUUGCUCAGGAGAACUUGCAGAAGGCGAGGGACGAAGCAAAAGGUAUGGCUGGUGAGCUUUUGUCGACUGUACUUUCUUUCUGGCCGUCCUCGAUGUUGAUCUCACUUGCUGUUUCGCAGACAAAAUGGAGGAGGCUCUGAAGAAGAAGGAUCAAGACCUUGACGAAGCGCAGAAGGAGGCCCUGAACAAAACGAAGCUUGCUGAAGAAAAACUGGCUUCAGUCGGUACUCUUGAAAAGGAAAACUCCAGGCUGAAAACUGCUCUCGACGCAGCUAAUCGAGAGGCCAGCUGUCUGAAGAAUGGCAAUAUAGCUCUGAAUGACAAGGCAAGUGAACUGGCAGGGAAGAGGAACGAUCUGGAGGCUUAUCUCGGUGGACUCGCCAAGAAGCUGUUCGUCAUGCUCGAGGGUAAUUACUCCGGCCCGACUAACUUGCAGUUACCAAACCUGCGUAGAGCCACUGACUUAUCCUUGAAUUGUGUUUACAGAAUUCUGCCAGAACUUCGAAGAGGAUACUAGUCGAGUGGAGACAGACUUGGACCCCAUCAAUUCUCCAGUGAAGGAUGAGGCUACUAUGAACGUGCUCCGACUGGAAUCUCAUGUUGCCGGCGUUGUUGACUAUCUUGCUCGGUUGAAGGUUGCGAUGUCGCAGAUCGACACGUCGCUCUGGCCUAGGACGACGCUUCAGAAUGACCUCGAGUCCCUGAUGACUCGACUGAAUGAAGUCCCAGGUCGAGUGGCGGAAUGGAAGUAAUCUUCUGCUAGAUGUGGCGCUGACGUCGCUCUGUCUCUGGUCCGCGUCCACCGCAAGGAGGCGCAAGAAGAAAAGUUUGCCGCCAUCCAAGUUGCCAAUACCAGGAAGCACAACUUUCAAGACUUCAUGGAGACUUUCAUUGCUGCUGCCACUCGCAUUGCAGACGGGAUCGACUUGGACGAGUUCGUCGCCCCUUCCAGUCCUCCGCCUGAGCAAUAAAGACUUUUAUGCUUCACUUUAACUUUGCCUCGGAAUGCCGAGUGGAUUUUGUAACCGUUAAACUCUGUCGAGCUGGAGGCUCGAGUACUUUGAUCUGCGGUCUAGGACCUUUGGAUCUUAUCUGAACUUGAUUUAUCGUUGAAUAUCUUCAUGAAUUAUCUGUCGAGUGGAACUUGUUCUUCACUCAAAAUAACUUUGUAUUUGUGGUGCAGCUCCGAAGGAGAAGGUAGCAGUCGAUUUGCACCUCGUCGUCCUUGCGGAUUGGGAUGUGUUCCGUACUUAGGCGAGCACUGGGCUGCAGCUAAGCCUCCGAGUGGAAGGUCUGCUCUCCACUCGGUAGGAUUUUAAAAACUUAGGCGAGUACUGGACUGCAGCUAAGCCCCCGAGUGGGAGGUCUGCUCUCCACUCGGUAGGAUUUUUUCAAACUUAGGCGAGUACUGGACUGCAGCUAAGCCCUCGAGUGGGAGGUCUGCUCUCCACUCGGUAGGAUUUUUUCAAACUUAGGCGAGUACUGGACUGCAGCUAAGCUCCCGAGUGGGAGGUAUGCUCUCCACUCGGUAAGAUUUUUUCAAACUUAGGCGAGUACUGGACUGCAGCUAAGCCCCCGAGNNNNNNNNNNNNNNNNNNNNNNNNNNNNNNNNNNNNNNNNNNNNNNNNNNNNNNNNNNNNNNNNNNNNNNNNNNNNNNNNNNNNNNNNNNNNNNNNNNNNNNNNNNNNNNNNNNNNNNNNNNNNNNNNNNNNNNNNNNNNNNNNNNNNNNNNNNNNNNNNNNNNNNNNNNNNNNNNNNNNNNNNNNNNNNNNNNNNNNNNNNNNNNNNNNNNNNNNNNNNNNNNNNNNNNNNNNNNNNNNNNNNNNNNNNNNNNNNNNNNNNNNNNNNNNNNNNNNNNNNNNNNNNNNNNNNNNNNNNNNNNNNNNNNNNNNNNNNNNNNNNNNNNNNNNNNNNNNNNNNNNNNNNNNNNNNNNNNNNNNNNNNNNNNNNNNNNNNNNNNNNNNNNNNNNNNNNNCGAGCACUGGGCUGCAGUUAAGCCUCCGAGUGGGAGUCUGGCUCACCACUCAGUAGGAUUUUUAAACACUUAGGUGAGCACUGGGCUACAGCUAAGCCUCCGAGUGGGAGGUUUGCUCUCCACUCGGUAGGAUUUUAAAACACUUAGGCGAGCACUGGGCUGCAGCUAAGCCUCCGAGUGGGAGUCCGGCUCGCCACUCGGUAGGAUUUUUAAACACUUAGGCGAGCACUGGGCUGCAGCUAAGCCUCCGAGUGGGAGUCUGCCUCACCACUCGGUUGGAUUUUUAAACACUUAGGCGAGCACUGGGCUGCAGCUAAGCCUCCGAGUGGGUGUCUGGCUCACCACUCGGUAGGAUUUUUAAACACUUAGGCGAGCACUGGGCUGCAGCUAAGCCUCGAGUGGGAGUCUAGCUCACCACUCGGUAGGAUUUUUAAACACUUAGGCGAGCACUAGGCUGCAGCUAAGCCUCCGAGUGGGAGUCUGGCUCACCACUCGGUAGGAUUUUUUUUACAAACUUAGGCGAAACGGAUUUGCAGCUAAGCCACCCACUGGGGGAUUUCACACGCAAACAAAAGCGACAACAAUUAUACGAAAAUUUGUAACACUCUUGUCUUUGAUAAAUAGACUACAGAAGUUUUUCUUAUUACAUCUCAUCCGAGUGAGAAUUCAAGUGUAAAAGGGGCGGAGCAGUUCUGCAUUCCAAGCUCGUGGCUCAUCGAUCUGGCGAUCGACAUUGUAAAGGUGAUACGCUCCAUUGUGGAGGACUCUGGUGACGAUGAAGGGACCUUCCCAAGUAGGAGCGAGCUUGGGUGGUUUCUGUUGAUCCACUUGGAGGACCAAAUCUCCUUCUUGGAAGGCUCGACUCUUCACAUUCCUGGCAUGGAAUCGACGCAAGUCUUGCUGAUAAAUGGUCGAUCGGAUCAUAGCCAUUUCUCUUUCUUCUUCCAGGAGGUCGACUGCAUCUUGUCGGGCUUGUUCUGCUUCAUCUUCAAUAUAAAGCUCGACUCGGGGUGCAUUGUGAAGUAGAUCACUCGGCAGGACUGCUUCCGCUCCGUAAACCAGAAAGAACGGAGUUCUUCCAGUCGACCGAUUCGGGGUGGUCCUCAAUCCCCACAGAACUGAUGGAAGCUCAUCGACCCAAGCGCCUGCUGCGUGCUUGAGAUCACGCAUUAGCUGAGGCUUUAGUCCUUUGAGAAUCAGACCAUUUUCCCUUUCUGCUUGUCCAUUCGACUGGGGGUGGGCGACCGAUGCGUAGUCGACUUGUGUGCCUUGAGAGGCGCAAAAAGCUCUGAACUUGUCUGAAUCAAAGUUUGACCCAUUGUCGGUGAUGAUGCUAUGCGGGACUCCAUAUCUGAAUGUUAACUCUCUGACAAAACUGAUAGCAGUGCAAGCAUCAAGAUUCUUGAUAGGCUUAGCUUCAAUCCAUUUGGUAAACUUGUCGACUGCCACAAGCACAUGUGUGAAACCGCUCCUGCCUGUUCUCAAUGGGCCAACCAUGUCCAAUCCCCAAAGAGCGAAGGGCCAGACGAGUGGAAUGGUCUUCAGGGCUGAUGCAGGCUUGUGCGACAUGUUGGAGUAGAACUGGCACCCUUCACACUUGUCGACUAUCUCUUUUGCCAUUUCAUUUGCUCUUGGCCAGUAAAAUCCCGCUCGGUAUGCUUUAGCCACAAUGGUCCGAGAGGACGCAUGAUGACCACAGGUCCCCGAGUGGAUAUCAUCAAGGAUUAUCUGACCUUCUUCUGGUGUUAUACACUUCUGACCGACUCCAGUCGCGCUUUCUCUAUACAACUGUCCCUUUAUGACUGUAAAGGCCUUGGAUCGACGGAUGAUCUGUCGAGCCUCUUCUUCGUCCUCCGGGAGUUCCUUUCUCAGGAUAUACGCGAUGUACGGUAUCGUCCAGUCGGGGGUGAUUGCCAAAACUUCCAUGAUUAGGUCGACCACUGCCGGAAUUUCAACUUCAGUCGGAUCUAUGGCACUCUUUGGCUGCGGGGCUUCAUCUGUAAAAGGAUCUUCUUGGACUGAUGGCGAGUGGAUGUGUUCCAAAAACACAUUGCUGGGGAUGGCUUCUCUCUUGGAGCCUAUCUUUGCCAAAUCAUCAGCCGCUUGAUUUUUCAGUCGGGGGAUGUGAUGAAGCUCUAACCCCUCGAAUUUCUUCUCUAACUUUCUCACUUCAUCGCAAUAACCAGUCAUAGCUGGACUUCUGACGUCCCACUCUUUCAUCACCUGAUUAACCACCAAAUCUGAGUCGCCAUAGACCAUGAGGCGACGGACGUCGAGUGAAAUGGCCAUGCACAACCCAUACAAAAGUGCUUCAUAUUCUGCUUCGUUAUUGGAGGAAUCGAAGUGAAUCUGGAGAACAUAUCUGAGCUUAUCUCCUCGGGAAGAAACCAAUACUACCCCAGCACCGGAACCAUUCAACAUCUUAGAUCCAUCGAAGAACAUGGUCCAGUGCUCCGAGUGAACUUGAGUCGGAAGUUGCUGUUCGAUCCACUCGGCGAUGAAAUCUGCAAUUGCUUGGGACUUGAUAGCUUUCUUUGCCUCAAACUUGAUAUCUAGGGGAAGAAGUUCAAUCGCCCAUUUGGCCACUCGACCAGUUGCAUCUCUGUUGUGCAAAAUCUCUGGUAGUGGAGCGUCACUGACGACUGUAAUGGAAUGAUCAGAGAAGUAAUGUGCAACCUUCUUCGUGGUCAUAUAAAUCCCAUAUACAAGCUUCUGGUAAUGAGGAUAUCUUUGCUUUGAAGGAGUCAAAACUUCAGAAACAUAAUAUACUGGGCACUGAACUUUGAAGGCCUUUCUUUCUUCUUCCCGCUCGACCGUAAGUACUGUACUGACAACUUGUCCUGUGGCUGCAAUGUAAAUCAGCAAAGGCUCCUUGCUGAUUGGGGCAGCAAGCACCGGCUGGGUGGAGAGCAGAGCUUUGAGCUCUGUAAAUGCUGAAUCAGCUUCUGGAGUCCACUCGAACUUGUCGGACUUCUUCAUCAGUCGGUAAAGAGGCAAUGCCUUUUCACCAAGGCGAGAGAUGAAUCGACUUAAAGCGGCCAAGCAUCCUGUAAGCUUCUGGACGUCAUGCACACGCACAGGACGUUUCAUCCGGAGUAUAGUACCAAUUUUUUCAGGAUUGGCGUCGAUUCCCCGUUCGGAAAUGAGAAAACUGAGUAACUUCCCACCUGGAACUCCGAAUGUGCACUUUGACGGAUUGAGCUUGAUAUCAUACCUCCUGAGGUUGGCAAAGGUUUCAGCAAGGUCAGUCAGCAGGUCGGAACCCUUCCGUGACUUGACCACAAUAUCAUCCAUGUAUGCCUCCACAUUCUGACUAAUUUGAGUGAGCAAACACUUCUGAAUCAUCCUCAUGAACGUGGCUCCGGCAUUCUUGAGGCCAAACGGCAUGGUGACAUAACAGAAGCACCCGAAUGGAGUGAUGAAAGCUGUUUUGAUCUCGUCGGGCCCGUACAGACGGAUCUGAUGGUACCCGGAAUAGGCGUCUAGAAAAGACAAACGCUCACAUCCCGCAGUUGAGUCGACUAUCUGGUCGAUGCGGGGGAGAGGAAAAUGAUCUUUCGGGCAGGCCCGAUUGAUAUGCUUGAAAUCAAUGCACAUGCGAAGUGACUUGUCCUUCUUGGGGACCAUGACAACAUUGGCGAGCCACUCGGAGUGGUAAAUUUCUCGGAUGAACUCCGCUGCUAAGAGCCGAGCCACCUCCUCGCCAAUGGCCUUCCUCUUCUAUACGGCGGACCGUCGAAGAUGUUCUUUCACAGGUUUAAAUUUUGGGUCGACUCGUAGACGGUGCUCAGCCAGCCCCCUGGGAACUCCAGGCAUGUCAGCAGGCUUCCAUGCAAAGAUGUCCCAGUUCUCACGGAGGAACUGGAUGAGCGCUUCUUCCUAUUUGGAGUCGACCGUCGUUGAGAUGUGAGUCGGAGCAGCGUUUGGAUCGGUCGGGUGAAUGUGAACUGCCUUCGUUUCACCGAACGACUGAAAAGCUGAUUCUGAAGCAGGCUUCUUAGCUCAUAGCAACUCACUCGGAUCUGCAGUCUUCUGAUACUCUUGCAGCUUGACCACUGCCAUCUGAGCGUUAGCAAUCUUUGAGCCUUUCUGAAAACACUCUUCUGCUUUCUUUCGAUUGCCUGUAACAGUGAUCACACCUUUGGGACCAGGCACUUCAAUUUGAGAUACACAUAACAUGGUCGAGCCAUGAAGCGUGCAUAAGCUGGCCUGCCCAAAAUAGCGUGAUAAGCACUUUGGAAAUCCACAACUUCGAAUGUCAACUUUUCCUUGCGGUAAUUCUUGGGAUCACCGAAAACCACAUCAAGAGCAAUUUGGCCUGCAAGUCGCUUGCAUGUUCCUUCAAAUGUGGUGACAAACACUCGGGAGAGAUCCUCCCAAGUGUAAAUGCUGCUGGGUGCUAACUGAUUCAGCCACGCUCUGGCCGAGCCUUCUAACAUGAGAGGCAGGUGCUUCAUGGCUACCUCAUCAUUCCCACCGCCAAUCUGGACAGCCACUCGGUAAUCUUCGAGCCAAGUAUCGGGCUUGAACUCACCGGUGAACUUACUAACUCCAGUCGCCAACCUGAAGUUGGGAGGAAUUACAGCGGCUCUGAUGGCUCGACUGAAACACUCCGGCCCUGAAACAUGUACUCUGCUACUGGUAGGCGCAUCUCUGUCGUGGCCUUCUCGGUGAGCUCUAUUCCUGUCGACCAAACCUUGAACGAGAAUGGAUCUCGCAUCAAAGCCUUGUUCCCUGGGGUCGACUGGAAUUCUCCGCCCAACACUAUGAGGGCGUCUGUCAACCUGCUGUCGAGGCACAUAUGAUCCACUCCUCGGGGGAGGGGUUGGCACUCGACAUCGAUCAUCACAAUCGAAUCGGUGAUCAUACUGCUCAUUCCUUCUGUACUGAUCACGCCGGUCUCCAUGUCCCUCACGCCUCGGAGGCGAUCUUGGGCUAUGAGCCGACUGGACUGUAUCUGCUGCAACGGAUCGACUGUGGAUCCUGUUCCGCGACUGAGAAACAGCGGAAUUCUGGUCUCCCGCUGCCCGGAGCAACGCUCUGAUUUGCAACAAGCCUCUGCUAGCCUCUGACUGGGAGGGCUGAAUCGACUCUGCUAUACGGGCCGCAGCCGCCAAAUUCUAAAUCCGAGUACGAUAUACCUGCUGGGGCGGAAAGAGUUGACGUCGACUGGAUUUUGGAGCCCGUUGACGCGCUCGCUCGUCGAGUAUUCGCUGGAGAUUCUCCAGUCGAGUGCGCUCGGCCAAGUUAGCCAAGCACGCAUCCUCCAAGGCUCGGGCCUCGGGGGUUUCUCCAACGAUAGGAGUGUGGAGUGCAUCCAUGUUCCGGCGGCGAAGCUCCUCCCGCUGCAACGACGUGAGAGGCUCGGGGAGAUACACCUCGUGAGGACGCGACAGGUCGCCCCAUCCACGCCUCCGUAAGUGCGGGGGAAACCAGGAGGACUGUGUGGCCCAUCGAUCACCAGAACCUCUGCAGCUGGGUCACUGCUGUCGCAUUCGGAUGCGGUCUCUGCGGAGCCAGUCGACAGGUCGAACAUGCCGUAGAGGGAUUCGUCGGGCUCGAUUGCCGCGACUUGUGGGGUGGCCGACUGGCGGGCCACCGCAUGCCUCACCCACCUCUGAAGCCUCGACUGACCGGAGCGCUUGCACCAGCGAGAAACAGGGCGGGGAGAUGCCACAAGAGCCGACCGAUACUGGGUCGACGGCUGCCGCAGGAGGACACCACGGACGCAUGCGCGAAAGUGCGUCGCCCCGCAGACGGGGAGCACGUCGACGUCGAGUGGAGCCUCCUGAAGCCAAGUGGAGUCAUCGGCGAUGAACGUGAGCGCGCCGAGACGGAUCUCGCGGCCCUCCACCAAAGCUCCGCCCGAAACCAUGAUCAAGGAGAUCGGAAAAAAUCGCAACUUCUCCAACUAGGCGCUAAGACUCCUAGCCCCACGGUGGGCGCCAACUGUCGUGGUUCUAACUCUGACAGUGAUGUAGGGGGUAUGUAUGGAGAGGCUAGAUCUUAGCUAUGGAGGAGUUGUAAGCACACGAGGAUUAAGAGUUCAGGCCCUUCUCAGAGGAAGUAACAGCCCUACGUCUCGGUGCCCGGAGGCAGUCGACUGAAUUAUGUGUAUAUGAAUAACAGGGGCGCGAACCCUUGAUACUGAGGAGGGGGGUGGCUUAUAUAGAGUUCGCUAGGCCCCUCCAGCCCUCAGUAAUGCAGGGUUUAAAGUACAUUAAGACUGGGGGUUACUGGUAACGCCCCUAAUAAAGUGCCAUGAUGACCAUAAAAGCUACUUAAUGACCGACCGUUUGCAUGCAGGGUGACUUUAGAUCUCCUGGCAGUCGAGUGGUUGGAUCUUGGUCGAGUGAUUGCUUCGUGGUCGAGUGUCUCGAAUCCGUCGAGUGGGAUACCUCCAAGUCGAUUGAAAGGUGACUUCUUCUAGGGAUGUCCUUGGGUAGGGUACUUAGGACAGGUCCAUGCCCCUACCCUAGGUACAUAGCUUCAUCAGCUACAACAACAACUCCCGUGGUGGUGAUCGCGGGAAUCGUGGCGGUGGCGGCGCGCGUCAGCAAGGCGACUUUGGUGGCAACUGCGGUGGUGAUCGCGGUGACUAUGGCGACCGCAGUGACAACCACGUCCAGUGUCAGCUCUGCUGAGGCCCUGGGCAUUACGCCUAGGAGUGCGGCCAGCGCUACAACCAUGCCUUCCAGCCCCAACAGUCCAAGAUGGCUGGCCUUGCUGCUGCUUCCCCUCCGUCCAUACUAGGUGCUCCUUCCUGGUUCACCGUCACCGGGGCCACUGACCACAUCACGGGCAAUCUGGAUCGCCUCACGAUCCGAGAGAAGUACCAAGGCAGGGAUCACAUCCACACAGCCGACCAUUCAGGUUUGCACGCAGCUCAUCAUGGUCAUGCAAUUCUUCCUACUCCUACUGCAAAUAUCAAACUUCGUAAUAUCCUGCAUGUCCCUAAUGCCGACAAGAACCUUCUUUCUGUUAAUCGUCUUGCCAUUGAUAAUUGUGCUUAUCUGACGUAUUACCCUACUCAUUUUCUUAUGAAGGAUUUGAUCACCAACGGGGUUCUACUUCAAGGCAGAUGUGAAAAUGGGCUCUAUCCCAUUCGUCCAUCACUUUAAUUAUCGUGAUCUGUCUUUGGUUAGGCUAUCAGCUGAAGAUUGGCAUGCAAGACUUGGCCAUCCAUCCACUCAAGUUGUUUAGCAUGUUUUAUCAUCAAAUAAACUAGCUUCUUCUAGUCGGUCUAUGACCCAUGUGUGUAAUGCAUGUCAACAAGGCAAAGCACACCAGCUAGCCUUCCUAGAUCAUCAAGUGUUUCUUCCUUUCCUUUAUAACUUAUUUUUCGGAUGUGUGGGGGCCCACCAAAACAUCAUCUGGUGGGUUCCAGUACUAUGUCUCAUUCAUUGAUGAUUAUAGUAAGUUUGUGUGGAUUUAUCUUCUCAAGAGAAAAUAUGAUGUGUUUGAUGUUUUUCGUGACUUUCUUGCUCAUGUUGAACUCCUCUCCCAUAAGAUCCUAUGCGUUCAAUCUGAUUGGGGUGGGGAGUACAAAAAGCUUAGCAACACGUUUUUUCAUCAACUUGGCAUUAUGCAUCAGGUAUCCUGCCCACACACACAUCAGCAAAAUGGUUCCGCUAAAAGGAAGCACCGUCAUAUUGUUGACAUGGUGUUGUCUCUAUUAUCACAUGCGUCUAUGCCUCUACGGUUUUGGGAUGAGGCUUAUCCUUCAGCAUGUUAUCUUAUUAAUCGACUUCCUAGUCGUGUCAUUGGCAACUUUAGUCCUAUGGAAAAAUUGUUUCACACCAAACCAGACUAUACGUCGUUUCAUACAUUUGGUUGUGCUUGUUGGCCAAACUUCUGUCCCUACAACACUCACAAACUUGCUUUUCGAUGUCAAUAGUGUGUGUUCAUCGGGUAUAGCAUUCGCCACAAAGGGUAUAAAUGUCUCCAUUUGCCCACAGCCCGUGUUUACAUCUCUCGCGAUGUCACGCUUGAUGAGAAUUUAUUCUGUUUGCCAGCUCUUCUGUCUCCCCCAUACCACCUCCCAUUACAGAACGUACCAUUCUAUUAUUUCUGCAUGACCACAUGAAUUAUGGCACCUUUGUUCUGCAUACUAAUCUGGAUGCAGGACCCUCUACGACGCAGAAGAUCCCAGGUGCACCACCCCCUGGAUCCCAGGAGGAUCUUGGCACAGGAUCUGGAGCGGAUCCGGCCUCGGAUCGUGAGACAACCGACGACAACGACACGGGAUCCCCUUUGACAGGCGACCACGGGGCGUCGCUCCGCCCAUUGGCUCACGUGGCGAUCUCGGGUGGCACGGUCACCUCCCCACUCCCAAUGCCCGCCCCGUCCCCCUAAGUGGCGGGGCCUACCUCUGGCCUGGUCGCCUCAGCCCUCGACCCACCAUAGGCUACAGCCCACGUGCCCCCCCUAUCCGGUGGGCCGACCUCCCUCAGCGGCGGGCUCGACUGUGUCGCCUGGUUCCUCCUCGGGAUCCCAGCUGGAUAUGUCAGCUGGGCCUGCAGGCGUUGCAGGAUCCCAGGUUGAUCCGAUCACUGGCCCCACUGCAUGUGCUCCUGGAUCUUCUAUGCUGCCUGGAUCUACUGCACCACCUGUCCAUGGAAUGGUGACACGUACACGUGAUCAUACUCGCAAGGUCACGCACGGUACGGAUGGUACAAUCAACUAUGAUCUGUCUCGGCGUGCGCUUCUGGUCUCCAGGGAACCUACUGAUCAUCGUGAGGCCAUGGCGUCUCCUACUUGGCGUGCUGCUUUGUAGUUCGAGCUUGAUGCACUCCAUCACAAUGGCACCUGGACUUUGGUUCCACCACCACCUAAUGCCAAUGUGAUCGACUGCAAAUGGGUUUUCAAAUUCAAGCACAAGGCAGAUGGCUCUAUUGACCGUCACAAGGCUCGUCUUGUCGUGAAGGGGUUCAAGCAACGGUAUGGUCUCGACUAUGAUGACACAUUCAGUCCAAUUUUCAAACCUAUUACUAUUCGACUGAUUCUCUCUAUUGCCGUUUCUCGAAGCUAGUGUCUGGGACAGUUGGAUGUUCAGAAUGCCUUUCUUCAUGGAGUCCUUCAGGAAGAGGUGUACACGCGACAACCUCCUGGCUUUGUGGAUCCUUCUGCUCCAUGCUACCUGUGUAAGAUGAGGAAAGAUAUCUAUGGACUCAAACAGGUCCCUCGAGCCUGGUUCUCCAGGUUAAGCUCUCGGCUCCUCCAACUAGGUUUCUUGGCGUCCAAGGCAGAGACGUCCUUGUUUGUUUUUCACCAUGUUCAUGCUUAUCUAUGUGGAUGACAUCAUUGUGGCCAGCUCCUCGCCUACCGCAACCACCAAGUUACUUGCUGAUCUUCAUGCCACGUUUGCCCUCAAGGAUCAUGGUCCCUUGCAUUUUUUUCUUGGGGUUGAGGUGAAGUCUUCGCCAAGGGGGAUUGUGCUCUCUCAACAGAAGUACAUUGGCGACAUUCUUCACCGUGCUAACAUGGAAAAUUGUAAGGUUUCCACUACCCCCAUGUCCUUGAGUGAGAAAAUCAGCAAGGAUAGCGGGGCACCACUCUCUCAGGAUGACAGUACCAAACAUCGCAGUUUGGUUGGAGCACUUCAGUAUCUGACACUAACUAGACCAGACAUUUCUUUUGUUGUGAAUCGUGUUUGUCAGUUUCUUCAUGCCCCGACAACUGCACACCUCUCGGCAGCUGUUGGGGAUAUAACUAUUGGGUAUAACCCGCCCAGGAGGGGCCGGGUCAUACCACUGACGGUUCAUAAUGACAAGGCCCAUGAAGAUGUUGAAGAUGGCGGUUCACGAAGCAGGCUCAUUGAAAGCCCAAGACCCAAAGGCGACUUGGGACCCACGAGUGUAAACUGCCAUACGUUAACUUGUACAUUAAGGAAAGUGUAUGUUCUGUCACCGAGCCGGACAUGUUGUGUAUGAGCCGACCGGGACCCUGUAGGCCGCCGGGCAUCAACCUACGUAUAUAAAGGGGUGACCCGGCGGCGGUUCAGGGCAAGAAACAAGAGAUCGAAAGCUAGGUCAAGCGUAUUCGCUCUCUGGUAAUCGAAACCUAAGCAAUACCACCUCAAACUAGUUUAGGCCUUUACCUUCACCGCAAGGGGCCGGACCAGUAUAAACUCUCUGUGUCCUUUGACCCGUUUAACCCCUUUAAGAUAACCUAGUUGCGACGGCUCCACGACUAAGUCCUUCUGCUAGGACAUCUGCCGUGACAAUUCCACGACAGUUGGCGCCCACCGUGGGGCCAGCGCACGAUGGUUUCGAGUUCUUACAGGGCAACUUCGAAGGGAUCAAGGGAUACACUGUGGGCCAGAUGACCAAGAGUCGUCGUGGCAAGCUCUACAACGACGAUGAAGGCUGUGGCCCCGAGGCCGGCUCAAUUGAGUACGGGUACCGGGUCCCCUUCGGCGGAAUCCAUGUCUUCAUCGGCAAGAUCAGCGAACCGGGCCCUGAGCCGGACACCUGCACCAACAUCAUCGAGAUGGCUCAGCGUGCACGACCCACCCGGUUUCAACCUGCCGUGAAGCACGCCUUUGUUGGAUUUAUCCAUGGGGCGGAAUUUGAGGAAGAUCUGUGUCUAGCGGUGAGAUGGUCAUCUAUUCUGAUGGUGAGUCGUCCAUGGGCAAGACUGAUUCGUUGUAUCAACUGCAAGACGGCCGGCUUAGGGGCUAUUCUGAUGGUGAGAGUAUUCCGGACCCCUACAAGCCAUCGAACAGGGUUGCGAUCUUCAUGGCUGGCACACAUCCGGUGCUUGGUUCAACAACCGCUGCGGCUAUGACCUCCAUUUCAAUGGCUGCGACGGCGGCUGGUGCUAGCGGCUCUGCGCACCCACCGGCUCAAGUUUUCAUAGAAUUGUUAGAAGUUCUGACAACUCUGAUGGGGGUGGAAGUAACCUCAGACAACCAGGAGCAGCACAAGGUGGACGUGGCUAAGCUGCGAGAUGAGAUAGCUCAAACCAAGGAAGAACUGACGGCUGAGAACGCUAGGAUGGUUGCAGAACGGGCAGUCUUGGAUGCUCGGGCGCAGCGGAUCCAACGGGAUUCCUUCCGGCUCAUGUUGGAUCAGAAUGCUUCAAAUGAUGUCAUGAGGAGGAGACACCAGAGUCAUCUACCCCGGGUUUAUGAGCCAAGGAACCUCUUCAAUACACCUGGAGCAGGGACCAGUGACCCGCUGGUGGUAAACCGGACGGUUGAGGCGCCUGGGGCUGGAGCGCCGGUUCAGCCACGCACAAUGGGAUCUCCACAUGUGAAUAAUACCCCGCCUCAGCAUGUCUUAACGCCAUCAGGUCAUUAUUCUAACCCUUUGGACAAUAUGAUUGUUGCGGCAACACGAUUGGCGACUUUACCGGUUGAAGGCGAGUCUCCAACGGCGAUUGAAAUGCGAAGGGCCAGAGAACUUCUUCAGACAACAUUGGAGUAGCAAGCGGCUUAUUCUUAUAGUCGCGAGCGGAUUCACUCAACCCCUCGUCCAAGCCGGAGUUACAGCAGGCACAUUGACUCACCGACAGUUUCAAGCAGUGAACAGCGUCGUAACUAGCCUCAUGGACAUGACCCAACGCGCGGUGAUGCCCAUGCUCAGACUCUAUUGGAUCAGGGCAGAGCGCGUUGUGAGGCCUAGCUGGCGGCUCAGCAAGCGACUCAUCAAUAUUCUCCGGUUUAUCCGACAACUUCGAUGGAGGCAGGCGUGACCUCUAGAACCUUGUGUAUGCCAUGUUUAGUGUCGGCUCUGCAUAAUGAUUGUUUGCCCAAGGAUUUCAAGGGUCCUCGUAAGGUGCCUAACUACACGGCAGAUCAACCCCCUAAAGGUUGGGUUGAAAGUUAUGAGAUGGUAAUGGAGCUGCUGGAUGUUGGCGAUGCUGCAUGUGCUAAGUAUUUUACUAUGAUGUUGGAUGGGACGGCUCAUACUUGGUUGAAAGGGUUGCCUGCCAACUCCAUUGGAUCAGGGGCCGAGUUCAAAACCCGGUUUAUCUAAAGACACAUGCAAGUAGCCUAUGUCAAUUGUGGAUUUGAACUCCUGUGUCCAAGAAGAGGGCGAGUCAACAACCCAUUGGGUGCGCCGGGUCUCAGCCAUCCUGCACUCAUCGGAUCAUAUCAAUGCCGGUUCAGCAGUCCUAAUGUUGGAGAAAAACUACCCUUUUAUGCCUCUUAAGCAGAAGCUGGGGCAGCUCAAACGCCACUGAAGUUACAUGGGGGAGCUAAUGGCGGCUCUGGUCAAGUAUGCUGACUCUGAUAGUCAUUUUAUAUCAUCUUUUGGUACUAACCUGUUGACAUAGUGCCAAGUGCCAGUUGUUGUUUUCUGCAUUGUUUUUUACAUCACAGGAAAUCAAUACCAAAUGGAGUCCAAAUGCAACUAAACUUUUUGGAGAUUUUUUUUGGACCAGAAGACAUCCAGUGCGCCGAAGAAGCACUCUCGGUGCACUUGGGGGUUGCUCCGAGGGGAGCACAACCCACCAGGGCGCGCCUUGAGGCCCAGGCGCACCCUGGUGGGUUGUGCCCACCUCGAGUGCCCCCCGGACCGCCUCUAUAAAUACCCCAAUAUUCCAGAAACCCCAGGAGAGUCGACGGAAAUCAAUUCCAGCCGCUGCAGAGUCCAGAACCACCAGAUCCAAUCUUGACACCAUCACAGAGGGUUCACCACUUCCAUUGGUGCCUCUCAGAUGAUGCGUGAGUAGUUCUUUGUAGACCUUCGGGUCGUAGUUAGUAGCUAGAUGGCUUCCUCUCUCUCUCUCUCUCUCUCUCUCUCUCUCUCUCUCUCUUUUGAUUAUAAAUACAAUGGUCUCUUGGAGAUCCAUAUGAUGUAACUCUUUUUAUGGUGUGUUUGUUGGGAUCGGAUGAACUUUGAGUUUAUGAUCUGAUCUAUCUUUUUAUCCAUGAAAGUUAUUUGAGUCUUCUUUGAUCUCUUAUAUGCAUGAUUGCUUAUAGCCUCAUAUUUUUUCUCCGAUAUUUGGGUUUUGUUUGGCCAACUUGAUCUAUUUAUCUUGCAAUGGGAAGAGAUGCUUUGUAGUGGGUUCGAUCUUACGGUGCUUGAUGCCAGUGACGGAAGGGGAUAAAAUGGUGGGGUCUAUUUCUACAUAAAUAGAUCUUGUCUACAUCAUGUCAUCGUUCUUAUUGCAUUACUCCGUUUCUCCAUGAACUUAAUGCACUAGAUGCAUGCUGGAUAACGGUCGAUGUGUGGAGUAAUAUUAGUAGAUGCAGGCAGGAGUAAGUCUACUAAUCUUGGACGUGAUGCCUAUAUAAUGAUCAUUCCAUGGAUAUCAUCAUGAUUAUUUGAAGUUCUAUCAAUUGCCAAACAGUAAUUUGUUUACCCACUAGUGAAACCUAUGGCCCCUAGGUCUCUUUCUCAUAUUAUUUGCCUUUGUGAUCUAUUUUCCUUUGCUUUUAUUUUUAGAUCUAUUAAACCAAAAAUACAAAAAAUACCUUGCUGCAAUUUAUUAUUAUUUAAUUUAUCUCGCAUUCCCGCGAUCCAAUCUAUCAUAUUUUUAUCACGUCCAUUUGCCAAUUUCUAACGCCGCUACCCGAAAGGGAUUGACAACCCCAUUUACAUGCCGGGUUGCAAGUAUUUGUUAUUUGUGUGCAGGUGCUGUUUAGAUAGUGUUGCUUGGUUCUCCUACUGGUUCGAUAACCUUGAUUUCAUCACUGAGGGAAAUACCUACCGCCUCUAUGUUGCAUCAUCCCUUCCUCUUUGGGGAAAUACCGACGUAGCUUCAAGCCGCAUCAAAGGAAUUUUUGGCGCCGUUGCCGGGGAGGAUCUUCAACAUAUACCAGGUUCCUAAUCACAAAUCUCAUCUCCUCGCAAUUUACAUUAUUUGCCAUUUGCCUCUCGUUUUCCUCUCCCCCACUUCACAAAAAUUUGUCGUUUAUUCGCCUUCUUUUUCGUUCGCCGUUUUCUCGUCAGAUCUAUCCUUUGCUUGCAAUCAUGAGUGAUUUUGGUAUGGCACCAACAGAUGAUGGCCUAACUCCUAAGAUUGGACGAACGGUUAAUCUGGAUGCUAAAACUUUUAUCUUGGGGCAAGGGAAUGUUAUGGGAAAAGAACGUAUCCAAGAAUUUUUCAAUUGUGUCGGGAAUCUAAGUCUAGAUGAUGCUCCUAUAGUUAGGACUACUAGUUCUUACGCGGAUGCUAUUUCAGCACUAGUUCUGAAACUUGAAAGCAAAUUUAUCUGUACUCAUCCUAGUUUGCAAAGAUUAUUUUUUUAGAUUCCUGUUAUAAAGAAUCCCAAAGCUAAAACGUUGCCCACUCUCGUUCUUAUGAAUGAUGUAACAUCCCAAAUUUUCAAUUUGGAAUGUUAUACAUUAGAUCAUCUAUGCAUAUCAUAUUUUAUUUUGCAUUUUGGUUGAUCCUAGAAAUUUUUACGCAACUCAAGGACACACGGAGAGAGUUGGGAAAUUCUUUAUUUUCAUAUUUGAGUUUUCUCAAAUUUUGAGAAUAGGAUCAUUUGAUUUAAAUUAUUUUAUCAUCAAUUAUUUCUAUUACAAAAAUAUGAGAGAGGGAAUAAAAUGACUUUCCCAAAAUAAAGAAAUAUUGAGGAUUUAAUAAAAAAAUCAAAUAAAAUUUUAUUUCGGAGUUUUUGUUAUUUUAUUUGAAUUUAGGAAAAAAAUGUGCAUUUUUCAAAAUUGCAUUUAGGCCCCAAAUAAAUGUUCACCUUGUGCGGCUUGAUUUUAGAAGCGCAGGAAAAUUUAUUUCGGGAUUUUUGGAGUCCGUUUAGUGUUUCUCUUUAUUUUUUUUCUGCGCGUAAAAAAAAGAACCGACCUAGGGGCCGUGUCCGACCCGGACUCCCGGCCCGCUAGGCUUUAUAAGCCGGGGGGGAGGCCCAGCUGAGCCAAACCCUAGCCCCAGCCCCGCCCGAGCCGCCGCCACCGCCCCGUCGCCGCCGCCCGCCGCCCCAUCGCCGGAGCCGGACGCCGCCGCCGCCGACCCGCCGCCCGAGGUUCGCCUCGCCUCGAAAUCCGCGACGCCGUUUUAUUUGUUUCUUUUUGAAAAAGCGUUCGGUUUUUCGUCGGUUUUUUUAGUUUCGGUAUUUUUAUAGAUCGGUUUUCCGAUUUAUUUAAAUAGGGAGCGUUCGUCCGUUCGUUCGUUCUAGGGAACUUUCGUCGUUUUUCUUUUUCUGGGAUUAAAUCCAAGUUUUUUCUGAUCGCGAUUCGUGAUCCGAUAUUCGUUUUAGUAUAACUUUUCGCUCGUUUAUCGGAAUCAGGCGAUUCAAGCGCUUGGAGUUUCGUCUCGAAACCCUCUAUCCGUUUAACCAACUUAAACAAGUUUUUGCUACUGUAAAAUUUGACUUAGAUCCAGAUUAGUAAAACGAAGUUGUUUUCUUUCGCCGUUUGAUUUUCGUUGCUUUGUUCGAUUUGAUUCUUUUUGCCAACCGGAGUUCUUAAGUUGAACCUUCUGGUUAGAUCUCUUAUUUGAGUUUUAGCUGUGCAUUAGAUGAGUACUUAUUGUAUGCUUGUUUGUUUGUCUGUGAUAGAAUACCCGGAGUGCGCCGCUUGUUACUUCGAAUCUCUAGGUUUCGUGGAUCAUCAGCAAGGCAAGUAACACUUUGAUCAUACCUUUUCUACUACCCAGUUUUAUUGCAUUAGAUCAAUCCUCACACAUUGCAUGAUUAGGAUCUAAUUAAAUUGUGGGAUGGGAAGUAGUUGAGGUAGUACCUAUUACCUGUUUUAUUAUCAAACCUUUGGGAGUUACUUCUACGUUUGCCAUUAUGCUAUGCUAUGCUAGUAGACGUGGAUUGGGUGAGUGAUAUUCAUGACAGAUGUGAGUUUGUUUAUUAAUGGUUUAUCUAAGGUGGCAACUUAAACACACAUCUGGGUGGAUUGAGGUACCUGGGUAUUCCAGGAUUGCCUGUUUCUUUUGGACCGCCACCCAGGCUCAAAGGGAUCAUGGGAUUAUUCAUACUAGAAACUUCCAUGUGCAGCCACAAGCCAUUAUGGGCUCUGGCAUAGUUGAAUAAGUCGUGCGAACUCUUACAGGGUAGACUAGCAGAUGUAGGGGAAAGUAGGUGUAACGGUCUAUCCAUCGUAAGGUGCUAGCGCUUCUGAAAGACUGUGUCUCGAUCGUCCGUCUUCUCAAACACCAUGAAGUGCGAGAAACCAAAUAGAGGCGAUCGAGUCUUGUGGGGAAAAGUGCGCAAACCUCUGCAGAGUGUAAUAAACUAAUCAUGAUUAGCCGUGUCCCCGGUUAUGGACAUCUUGAGUAUCUAGUACCUGGAUUAUCAUGUGAAUCUCAACAUGUUACUCUAAAUUAAUUUGGUGGGUUUUGUUAAUGAUAUUUUUAAUUGGGAUUGAGGAUGCUGUCAACCAUUCUCAAUGUUUAACAACUACCAUGAUAGUUACAUAAAUUUAUUCCUUUGUAGUAGGGAAAAAUUGGCUUUACGCAAGACUGUAACCAUAGAGCUUUCCACCAGCCAAAUAUGCAUAUAGUAUAGUUGUUUCACUCCAUUACUCUCUAUGUGUUACCUUGCCAGCAUAUUCCAUGUGCUGACCCGUUUCGGGCUGCAACGUUAAUGUUGCAGACUUUUCACGAUGAUUAAGGAGUUUUUAGGUCGUGGUUCUAUACUCAGUGAUGCCGUUGGAGUUGAUGGACUCACUUAUCUUUCAAGCCUUCCGUUGUUAUCGUUAUUAGAUGGCCUUAGGCCAUAUUUAUUGUAAUAAGUUCUCUUUUGAGACACUCGAUGUAAUAAGUGUGUGAUUGCAACUCUGUUAUAAAUCCCCCGAGUACUGUGUGGUGUCAGCAUUACUGAUCCAGGGAUGACACCGGAGCACAGAGAUCAGACUGUUUGAGGUCUGGUUGCUACAGAGAUGGUAUCAGAGCACACACUGACUGUAGGACACGACCACUAAGCUAAAAGACCUAGAUCACUAUCCACUCUCUUCUCAUCUGACCUCUCAUCUUUUCUACUCUUUUAGGAUGGCGGAUGCAAGGAACAAGUUCACGCAACCGGAUGAAGAUACACCCUUUGGACGUCACUUGAAGGAAGUCACUAGAUACCUGAACAUAGGAGUACCAAGCUUCACCGGAACCUACAACGCCACUUUACCUGAAGAAGAGCGUUGGAUGAUUCAAGUUCAAGUUCCAGGAAGGACGUUCAUGCCAGUCACUGAGCCCAUAGAGUUUUCUUUCGAUGCACCAACUUGGAGUCUAGGAAAGAGCAUGGCAGCUCACAUCGCCAUGGGACGCAUUGGAGAAGUCUACCGCAAUGAUCUCAAGGAUACUAUCUACCAGAUUUGUGGGCGCCGAGAUGAGCACUGGGAGAUGAUUAGCACCAGAAGGGAUAGAUCCAUUGCAGCUUUUAUCCAGGAAUUAAACCAGCACAUUCGACGAUAGGAGAAUCAGAUGUGCGCCGACAUGAUAGAUCUAAAGAAGGCAAGGACAAGAAUCAAGGAACUGGAGGAAGAACUCAAGGCUACACGUGAAGAUUAUGAAGAGGAAAUUGAGUAUUGGUGGAUAAGAAUGCCGACCUAACUAUGAAGCUAGCGAUAUUUAUGGGAGACCCUACACCAGUAGAUGAAGACGAAGAACCCAAGGAGAUUAGCCCGGAAGACUACAUCAUCAUCGACGACACAGACCCGGACCCAGACGAAAGCGAUGAUGACUAUGUUGAUGAAGCUGGAGCAGAUAUCAUGGAGUCUGCAACCGAAGAAUAUUUCUAGUAGACCACCUCAUCAGUAGUAGUAGUCCACCAUGUAAAUAUAGUAGUCCGAGCACUUUUGCGAUAGUUAGAUCGAUUGCAUGCCCUUGUUUGAUUGAAUGAAGUGAAUUGUUUGCUUUUGCCUCAUGUGCAUAUGGGUAGUGUUUUCUCUUUAGACCCCCUCUAUUCUUACAUCUCAUCUUUUCUAAACCCUCAGAUACCUCCGAGACGUGACCCCGAAUUUACCUUUCCACCUGAGCUCACCCAGUUGAUCCAGCAGCAGAACACAUUGAUGCAGUUGCUAGUCCAGAAUCAGAACCAGGGGAACAACAACAACAACCCACCACCACCACCACCUGUUGAUCACUUAGCCCGAUUUCUUAGGCUGAAUCCGCCGGUGUUUUCCAGUAGCACCGAGCCGAUAGUAGUAGAUGAUUGGCUCCACAAGACAGCUAGAGAGUUGACCACAGCAGGAUGUACGGAUGCGGAGAAGGUGAAGUUUGCCGCGCAUCAGCUUGAAGGACCCGUAGCAUCAUGGUGGGAGAAUUUCACAGCCACUUUCCAUGUCGACACUGUCACAUGGGACCAGUUUCAGCAGGCCUUUCGUACUGCCCAUGUUUCAACAGGAGCUAUGGCCAUGAAGAAGCGUGAGUUUCGCAACUUGCGCCAGGGAGGACGGAUAGUUGGCCAGUAUGUGGAGGACUUUAGUAAGUUAGCAUGUUAUGCCCCAGAUGACGUUGCUACGGAUGCAGCUAAGCAGGAGAAGUUUCUGGAAGGACUGAAUGAUGAGUUGAGCAUGCAGUUGAUGGUAGAAACCUUCAACAACUACCAGGAGUUGGUAGACCGUGCUCUUAUGAUUGAAGGCAAGCAACAGCAAAUUGAGAACCGCAAGAGGAAGUAUGGACAAGGGAAGUACAAUUCAGGAGCUCAGCAGAAGCCACAUUUUACCCCUAGACCGGGAGGACAUUUUCAGCAUACCCAUGGAGGAGGUAGCUCGCACAAUCACAAUGGCACCAAGAAUGGUAAUGGCAAUGGAGGAAGCAACGACCAGAAUCGCACCAACCCAUCAACCCCAGCCAAGAAGGACCUGAGCCAAGUCACUUGCUUUAAGUGUCAGAAGACCAGACAUUAUGCCAAUGAAUGUCCUGAAGGCCAAAAUGGCAAUGGAAGUUCUGGGAAGAAGCCGAACCCUUUCAACAGGGGACAGGUGAACCACGUUAACAUGGAGGAGGUUGAAGAGCAGCCAGAUGCCGUAAUCGGUAAGUUUUUGGUUAAGUCAUUUACUGCACUCGUUCUUUUUGAUAUUGGUUCAUCGCAUUCAUACAUAUCAAGGGGAUUUGUGGAUAAGUAUAACCUGCCCACUAAGGUUCUUAGAACACCUAUGCUAGUAAGCUCAGCAGGAGCGGAGUAUAUGGCCAGUCAAGGAUGUUUUCAAGUGCCAUUGAGUAUAGGUAGGCAUGUGUUUCCCUCGGAUUUGAUCAUUUUGGAAUCACAAGGAUUGGAUGUAAUUCUAGGUAUGGAUUGGCUGUCGAUGUACGGAGGAAACAUUGAUUGCUCCAGUAAGACAAUUUUGCUUACCACCCCAGAAGGGAGAAGGAUCAAGUAUGUAUCCCGGCAUGUGCCCAAGAGGACUCUAGUAAAUUGUUUAACAGGAGUAGUGCAGGAGGAAGUACCAGUGGUAAGGGAUUUCCCUGAAAUAUUUCCAGAAGAGUUGCCAGGCAUGCCACUGGAUAGAGAUAUUGAGUUUUUGAUUGAACUAUUUCCAGGCACCGGGCCAAUAUCGAAGAGACCAUAUAUGAUGCCAGCAAAGGAUUUGGUGGAAAUUAAGAAGCAGAUUAAGGAGUUAUUGAAUAAAGGAUAUAUUCACCCAAGUUCUUCGCCUUGGGGAUCGCUAGUACUUCUAGUAGAGAAGAAGGAUGGAUCGUUAAGGAUGGUUGUUGAUUAUCGAGGAUUGAAUGAAGUAAUGAUCAAGAACAAGUACCCACUACCAAUGAUCAAUGAUCUGUUUGAUCGAUUGCAAGGAGCUAAGGUAUUUUCCAAUAUCGAUCUACGAUCAGACCACUAGUUGAAGAUUCAAGAACAGGAUAUUCCUAAGACAGCUUUUACCAGUAGGUAUGGGUUGUACGAGUAUACCGUUAUGUCAUUUGGUCUGACUAACGCACCUGCCUAUUUUAUGAACAUGAUGAACAAAGUGUUUAUGAAGUUCUUGGAUAAGUUCGUCGUGGUGUUCAUUGAUGAUAUCCUGGUUUACUCGAAGAAUGAAGAAGAGCAUAAGGAACAUUUGCGAUUGGUACUUGAAAAGCUCAGAGAACAUUAGUUGUAUGCCAAGUUCAGGAAAUGUGAGUUUUGGCUGAAGGAAGUAGGAUUUCUUGGACACGUUAUAUCCGGAGAAGGAAUAUCAGUUGAUCCCACAAAAGUUGAUACCGUGACCAAGUGGGAAGCACCAACCACGGUUGGAGAGAUCCGGAGUUUUCUUGGACUCACAGGAUACUACCGGAGAUUCAUUGAGAAUUUCUCAAAGAUUGCGAAGCCUAUGACGGAGUUAUUAAAGAAGGAUACCAAGUUCAAAUGGACUGAGGAAUGUGAGGGUAGUUUCCAGGAGUUGAAGAAACACUUGGUUACUUCACUAGUGUUGAUUUUGCCAGAUCAGACCAAGGACUAUGAGGUGUAUUGUGACGCUUCACGUCAAGGACUUGGAGCAGUGCUUAUGCAGGAAGGGAGAGUUGUUUCAUAUGCCUCAAGACAACUGAAGCCUCAUGAGUUGAAUUAUUCUACGCAUGAUUUGGAGUUAGCAGCUGUAGUGCAUGCAUUGAAAACAUGGAGACAUUUCCUCAUUGGAAACCAUUGUGAGGUGUACAUGGAUCAUAAGAGUUUGAAAUACAUUUUCACACAGAAGGAGUUAAACCUCAGACAAAGGAGAUGGUUGGAGCUCAUCAAGGAUUAUGAUAUGAGAUUGCAUUACCAUCCCGGAAAGGCUAAUGUAGUAGCUGAUGCAUUAAGCCGUAAGAGCCAUGUCAAUACAUUAAUGACGAGAGAAAUACCAAGGGAGUUAGCCGAAAAUCUUCAUGAACUAUGUUUGGAAAUAGCUCCGAGAGGCUAUGUAGCAGCAUGGGAGAUUCAGUCAACUUUGAUGGAUAGAAUCAGAGAAGCUCAGAAGACUGACAAGGAGAUUGCCUCUAUUAAGGAGAAACUGAGCAAAGGAAAGGCUAAAGGAUUUCGUGAGGAUGAGCACGACACCCUAUGGUUUGAAGACCAUGUUUACGUGCCCAAUGACCCAGAGAUCAGGAAGUUGAUACUACAAGAGGCACAUGAUUCACCAUAUUCGAUUCAUCCAGGAAAUACCAAGAUGUAUUUGGAUUUGAAAGAUAUUUUCUGGUGGACCGGAAUGAAGAAGGAUAUUGUGGAGUAUGUAGCAGUUUAUGAUGUAUGUCAGAGAGUAAAGGCAGAGCAUCAGAAGCCAGCAGGAUUGCUACAACCAUUGCCGAUACCCGAAUGGGAGUGGGAUAAGUUAGGCAUGGAUUUUAUCACGGGAUUACCCAGGACUCGUUCAGGCUAUGACUCGAUUUGGGUUGUAGUUGAUCGGUUGAUGAAAGUAGCUCAUUUCAUCCCGGUAAAGACCACUUACACCAGUGCUAAGUUGGUAAAGAUAUACAUGACAAGGAUCGUAUGUUUGCAUGGAGUUCCGAGGAGUAUCGUAUCAGAUAGAGGAACCCAGUUUACCUCAAAGUUCUGGAAGGAGUUGCAUGAAACUUUGGGUACCAGGCUAGAAUUCGGUACAGCUUUUCAUCCACAGACAGAUGGACAGACCGAGAGAGUCAAUCAGAUUUUGGAGGAUAUGCUGAGAGCUUGUGCGCUAGAUUACGGAUCUAGUUGGGACGAUAAUUUGCCAUAUGCGGAAUUCUCUUACAACAACAGUUACCAAACCAGUUUAAAGAUGGCCCCUUUCGAAGCCUUGUACGGAAGGAGGUGCAGGACACCAUUGUCAUGGGAUGAAGUUGGAGACCACCAGUUGUUUGGACCUGACUUGAUUAAGGAGUCUGAACAGAAGGUGAAAUUGAUUCGCGAUAGGCUCAAGAUAGACUAGUCCAGGCAGAAGAGUUAUGCAGAUUCUAAAUGCAAGGAGACAGUUUAUGAAGUCGGAGAUGGAGCUUAUCUUCGAGUGUCUCCACUUCGGGGAACAAAGCGUUUUGGAGUUAAAGGAAAGUUAGCGCCACGAUUUGUAGGACCAUAUCGAGUUUUGGAGCGUAUGGGAGAAGUGGCCUACAAGUUGGAAUUGCCCGAAGGAUUGUCAGGAGUUCAUGAUGUGUUCCACGUUUCUCAGUUGAAGAAGUGUCAUGUGGAGAUGGCUGACAUACCCUUGAGAGACAUAGUGCCAUUGGAAGCAAUUCAGUUGGAUAAUGAUUUGACCUAUGAGGAGAAACCAAUUAAGAUUCUCGAGUUUGCCAGCCGAGUCACUCGCAGCAAGGUUAUCAAGUUUUGCAAAGUUCAGUGGAGCAACCACACGGAGGACGAAGCCACCUGGGAACGAGAGGAAGAUUUGCUCAAUGACCACCCUCACCUAUUUUCUAGCCAACCCGAAUCUCGAGGGCGAGAUUCAUCUUAAGGGGGGUAGGUUUGUAACAUCCCAAAUUUUCAAUUUGGAAUGUUAUACAUUAGAUCAUCUAUGCAUAUCAUAUUUUAUUUUGCAUUUUGGUUGAUCCUAGAAAUUUCUACGCAACUCAAGGACCCACAGAGAGAGUUCGGAAAUUCUUUAUUUUCAUAUUUGAGUUUCUCAAAUUUUGAGAAUAGGAUCAUUUGAUUUAAAUUAUUUUAUCAUCAAUUAUUUCUAUUACAAAAAUAUGAGAGAGGGAAUAAAAUGACUUUCCCAAAAUAAAGAAAUAUUUAGGAUUUAAUAAAAAAAUCAAAUAAGAUUUUAUUUUAGAGUUUUUCGUUAUUUUAUUUGAAUUUAGGAAAAAAAUGUGCGUUUUUCAAAAUUGCAUUUAGGCCCCAAAUAAAUGUUCACCUUGUGCGGCUUGAUUUUAGAAGCCCGGGAAAAUUUAUUUCGGGAUUUUUGGAGUCCGUUUAGUAUUUCUUUUUAUUUUUCUUUUGCACGUAAAAAAUAACGAACCGACCUAGGGGCCAUGUCCGACCCGGACUCCNNNNNNNNNNNNNNNNNNNNNNNNNNNNNNNNNNNNNNNNNNNNNNNNNNNNNNNNNNNNNNNNNNNNNNNNNNNNNNNNNNNNNNNNNNNNNNNNNNNNNNNNNNNNNNNNNNNNNNNNNNNNNNNNNNNNNNNNNNNNNNNNNNNNNNNNNNNNNNNNNNNNNNNNNNNNNNNNNNNNNNNNNNNNNNNNNNNNNNNNNNNNNNNNNNNNNNNNNNNNNNNNNNNNNNNNNNNNNNNNNNNNNNNNNNNNNNNNNNNNNNNNNNNNNNNNNNNNNNNNNNNNNNNNNNNNNNNNNNNNNNNNNNNNNNNNNNNNNNNNNNNNNNNNNNNNNNNNNNNNNNNNNNNNNNNNNNNNNNNNNNNNNNNNNNNNNNNNNNNNNNNNNNNNNNNNNNNNNNNNNNNNNNNNNNNNNNNNNNNNNNNNNNNNNNNNNNNNNNNNNNNNNNNNNNNNNNNNNNNNNNNNNNNNNNNNNNNNNNNNNNNNNNNNNNNNNNNNNNNNNNNNNNNNNNNNNNNNNNNNNNNNNNNNNNNNNNNNNNNNNNGACCCGCCGCCCGAGGUUCGCCUUGCCUCGAAAUCCGCGACGCUAUUUUUUUUUGAAAAACCGUUCGGUUUUUCCGUCGGUUUUUUGUUGGUUUUUUUAGUUUCGGUUUUUUUAUAGAUCGGUUUUCUGAUUUAUUUAAAUAGCGAGCGUUCGUCCGUUCAUUCGUUCUAGCGAACGUUCAUCGUUUUUCUUUUACUCGGAUUAAAUCCACGAUUUUUCUGAUCGCGAUUCCUGAUCCGAUUUUCGUUUUAGUAUAACUUUUCGCUUGUUUAUCGGAAUCAGGCGAUUCAAGCGCCUGGAGUUUCGUCUCAAAACCCUCUAUCCGUUUAACCAACUUAAACAAGUUUUUGCUACUGUAAAAUUUGACUUAGAUCCAGAUUAGUAGAACGAAGUUGUUUUCUUUCGCUGUUUGAUUUUCGUUGCUUUGUUCGAUUAGAUUCUUUUUGCCAACCGGAGUUCUUAAGUCGAACCUUCUGGUUAGAUCUCUUAUUUGAGUUUUACCCGUGCAUUAGAUGAGUACUUAUUGUAUUCUUGUUUGUUUGUCUGUGAUAGAAUACCCGGAGUGCGCCGCUUGUUACUUCGAAUCUCUAGGUUUCGCGGAUCAUCAACAAGGCAAGUAAGACUUUGAUCAUACCUUUUCUACUACCCAGUUUUAUUGCAUUAGAUCAAUCCUCACACAUUGCAUGAUUAGGAUCUAAUUAAAUUGUGGGAUGGGAAGUAGUUGAGGUAGUACCUAUUACCUGUUUUAUUAUCAAACCUUUGGGAGUUACUUCUACGUUUGCCAUUAUGCUAUGCUAUGCUAGUAGACAUGGAUUGGGUGAGUGAUAUUCAUGACAGAUGUGAGUUUGUUUAUUAAUGGUUUAUCUAAGGUGGCAACUUAAACACACAUUCGGGUGGAUUAAGGUACCUGGGUAUUCCAGGAUUGCCUGUUUCUUUUGGACCGCCACCCAGGCUCAAAGGGAUCAUGGGAUUAUUCAUACUAGAAACUUCCGUGUGCAGCCACAAGCCAUUAUGGGCUCUGGCGUAGUUGAAUAAGUCGUGCGAACUCUUACAUGGUAGACUAGCAGAUGUAGGGGAAAGUAGGUGUAACGGUCUAUCCAUCGUAAGGUGCUAGCGCUUCUGAAAGACUGUGUCUCGGUCAUCCGUCUUUUCAAACACCAUGAAGUGCGAGAAACCAAACGGAGGCGAUCGAGUCUUGUGGGGAAAAGUGCGCAAACCUCUGCAGAGUGUAAUAAACUAAUCAUGAUUAGUCGUGUCCCCGGUUAUGGACAUCUUGAGUAUCUAGUACCUGGAUUAUCAUGUGAAUCUCAACAUGUUACUCUAAAUUAAUUUUGUUGGGUUUUGUUAAUGAUAUUUUUAAUUGGGAUUGAGGAUGUUGUCAACCAUUCUCAAUGUUUAACAACUACCAUGAUAGUUAAAUAAAUUUAUUCCUUUGUAGUAGGGAAAAAUCGGCUUUACGCAAAACUGUAACCAUAGAGCUUUCCACCAGCCAAAUAUGCAUAUAGUAUAGUUGUUUCAUUCCAUUACUCUCUAUGUGUUACCUUGCUAGCAUAUUCCAUGUGCUGACCCGUUUCGGGCUGCAACGUUAAUGUUGCAGACUUUUCAAACGACGAUUAAGGAGUUUUUAGGUUGUGGUUCUAUACUCAGUGAUGCCGUUGGAGUUGAUGGACUCACUUAUCUUCCAAGCCUUCCGUUGUUAUCGUUAUUAGAUGGCCUUAGGCCAUAUUUAUUGUAAUAAGUUCUCUUUUAGACACUCGAUGUAAUAAGUGUGUGAUUGCAACUCUGUUAUAAAUCCUCCGAGUACUGUGUGGUGUCAGCAUUACUGAUCCAAGGAUGACACCGGAGCACAGAGAUCAGACUGUUUGAGGUCUGGUCGCUACAAAUGAAUUUGACUACAUAAUACGGGAAGCUAGGGAAAUCUUUGAUUUUUAUGGUAUGAAUCAUGAUAAGCCCGUGAUAGAUGAAAUUCUUUACAAUAGUGAUUAUGCGUUAAGACAUUUGCUUGGGGAUAAUAAAAUCUUUGAUGAAAAUCUUAUAAAGGAAGUCCCCAUUCUAGAUGUAAUCCAACAAGUUUUCAAUAAUGUUAAUCAACAUUAUUCUUGGAUUGUUGCCUGAAAUCAAAGGGGUUAUGAUGGGAAACUUAAUAAUGCUAAAGUUUCUAUGGAUAAUAUGUUUUAUGUUGUCUUUACAAAACCUCAUGACAAGAAUACCUCUAAGGAAAUUGAUACGUCUCCAAUGUAUCUAUAAUUUUUAAUUGUUCCAUUUUGUUAUAUUAUCAAUCUUGGAUGCUUUAUAAUCAUUUUAUAUCAUUUUUUGGUACUAACCUAUUGACAUAGUGCCAAGUGCCAGUUGUUGUUUUCUGCAUGUUUUUUACAUCGCAGGAAAUCAAUACCUGUAGGGGAACGUAGUAAUAAUUCAAAAUUUUCCUACAUGUCACCAAGAACAAUCCAGGAGAUACUAGCAAUGAGAGAGAGGGAGUGCAUCUUCAUACCCUUGAAGAUCGCUAAGCAGAAGCAUAACAAGAACGCGGUUGAUGGAGUCAUACUCGCGGCGAUUCAAAUCGCGAAAGAUCUGAUCCAAGCGCCGAACGGACGGAGCCUCCGCGUUCAACACACGUACAACCUGGGGACAUCUACUCCUUCUUGAUCCAGCAAGGGGAUAGGAGAAGUUGAGGGAGAGCUCCGGCACCACGAUGGCAUGGUGGAGCUUGCGGUUCUCCGGCAGGGCUUCGCCAAGCACUACAAAGGAGGAGGAGGUGUUGGAGGGUGGAGGUCUGCGCCAGGGGAAGGGGUGCGGCUACCCUCCCACCCCCACCUAUUUAUAGGGUGAAGGGGAGAGGGGGCCGGCCCCCCUACAUGCAUCUAGAGGGGGGGGGGCGGCCAGGAGGGGAGACUUGCCCCCCAAGCAAGUGGGAGGCGCCCCCUCCCCCUAGUGUUUCCAACCCUAGGCGCCUUGGGCCCUUGGGGGGCACACCAUCCAACUAGGGGCUGGUUCCCACCCAUAUUCAUCCCACUAAGUCCUUCGGGGCAGCUGGCCCCACCCCGGUGGACCCCCGGACACCUUUCGGUGGUCCCGGUACAAUACCGAUAACCCCCAAAAACAUUCCGGCGACUGAAACUGGACUUACCAUAUAUAAAUCUUCACCUCCGGACCAUUCCGGAACUCCUCGUGACGUCCGGGAUCUCAUCCAGGACUUCGAACAACCUUCGGUAACCACAUACAAUUUCCCAUAACAACUCUAGCGUCACUGAACAUCUGAGUUUCUCAUCAAUACAAUUCUAGCAUGGUUAAUAAACGAUUAUCAUGAACAAGGAAAUAUGAUAAUAACUACUUUGUUAUUGCCUCUAGGGCAUAUUUCCAACAGACGCGACUGGGUCUAGCUGGGUCGCCGAGGUGCGGGCCCGGGUCAGUUCUCUCGGUCGCACACUAGGUGCAGUCCCGGCCAUCCAUGAUAUGCCCGUGAAGAACACACGCACUGAUAUGGUCACCUAUUAUAGGUAGGUCAAGGACCCAUCAUUUAGGGCCCACAUAGGGCCCAUCACCAUCAUAGGUAGGUCCCUGGACCAUGCCAGCAUCCGGAUGCGUCCAUCAGGAGGAUCACAUAGACGACCCUACAGCACUCGGACAACCACACGUCACUCGGCGAACGAAUAACCACUCAGACGUACAGGGCAAGAAGGCGUCGUGGGAGCCGCAACGGUCGAGGGAUCCUAAGUCGUCCACUAAAUAGAGUUAUAUCUACCAUUACCUAUAACUGCUGUAGUAUAGGCUCAUUACACCAAUCACUACCUCACUCAAUGGCAUUAAUUGCCCCGGCGACGCGGGAGACAUGGGGUUGCUGCCUUUUAUUGAUCAAAUGCUAGAGAGAUUAUCUAAGCACACACACUUUUGUUUUUCUUGAUGGAUACUUAACUGUCUCACAACCUGAUCAAGAAAAGACCACUUUUACUUGUCCUUUUGGAAAUUAUGCUUAUAGACGUUUGCCUUUUGGUUUAUGAAAUGCACUGCUACCUUUCAAAGAUGUAUGACUGCUAUAUUCUCUAACUUCUGUGAAAAGAUUGUUGAGGUUUUCAUGGAUGACUUCUAUGUUUAUGGGAAGUCUUUUGAUGAUUGUUUCAGUAAUCUUGAUCGAGUUUUGCAGAGAUGUGAGUAAAUUAAUCUUGUCUUGAAUUGGGAGAAGUGCCACUUUAUGGUUAACGUAGGUAUUGUCUUGGGCCAUAAAAUUUCUGAAAGAGGUAUUGAGGUGGACAAAUAUAAGAUUGAUGCAAUUGAGAAAAUGCCAUGUCCUAAAUAUAUUAAAGGUAUUCGUAGUUUCCAUGGUCAUGCUGGUUUCUAUAGGAGAUUUAUCAAAGACUUCUCUAGAAUUUCUAGGCCUCUUAUCUUUUACAAAAGGAUAUUCCAUUUGUAUUUGACGAUGAUUGUGUAGAAGCCUUUGAAACACUCAAGAAAGCCUUAAUUUCUGCACCUUAAUUUUGUAUUGUGAUUAUCCACCUUAAUAUUUCAAUACUGAUUUCAGUACUGAAAUACAACACCAAGAUGACUCGACUCUGUUCUAUAUCACUCAUUUCCGUACUAAAAUUCAGUAUUGCGAUUAUCCACCUUAAUACAUCAAUACUGAUUUCAGUACUGAAAAAUAAAACAAAAAUCACCUGACUCAUUUCUAUGUAACUAAUUUUGGUAUAAAAUUUAGUAUUGCGGAUAUCUGUGUUAGUCUUUCAGUAUUAUUUGAGUACUCAAAUAUAGCACGACUAACACCGGACUCACUUCUAUAUCACUAAUUUUGAUACUAAAACUCGGUAUUGCGAUUAUCCACCUUAAUAUUUCAAUACUGAUUUCAGUACAAAAAACAGCACCAGGAUGACCUGCCUCAGUUAUAUAUCACUAAUUUUGUUACUAAAAUUCAGUAUUGCGAUUAUCCACUUAAUAUUUCAAUACUGAUUUCAAUACUUAAAAACAAACCGAUGGUCACAAGACUUAGAGGUGUACAUCACAAAUUUGUUACUAAUAUCCGGUACUACGGUUAUCCAUGUUAAUAUUGUUGUAUUGAUUUCAGUACUGAAAAAUAGUUCGACGAACGCAUGACUCAAUUCUAUAUCACUAAUUUCAGUACUAAAAUAUAGCAUUGAGAUUAACCACCUUAAUAGUUCAAUAGUGAAAAACAGCACCACGAUGGCCCGACUGAGUUGUAUAUUACUAAUUUCGGUACUAAAAUUCAGUAUUGUAAUUAUCCACCUUAAUAUUUAAAUAUUGAUUUCAGUACUGAAAUACAACACCAAGAUGACCCGACUCUCUUCUAUACCACUCAUUCGGUACUAAAAUUCAGUAUUGCGAUUUUCCACUUUAAUACUUCAAUACUGGUUUGAGUACUGAAAAACAUAACGACGAUCACCCGACUCACUUCUAUACCACAAAUUUUGGUAUAAAUUUUACUAUUGUGAUUAUCCAUGUUAAUAUUUCAGUAUUAAUUUGAGUACUCAAAAAUAGCAUGACUAACACCUCACUCGGUUCUAUAUCACUAAUUUCAGUACUAAAACUUAGUAUUGUGAUUAUCCACGUUAAUAUUUAAUAUAGAAAAACCGCACCACGAUGACCCGACUUGGUUGUAUAUCACUAAUUUCGGUACUAAAAUUCAGUGUUUUGAUUAUCCAUGUUAAUAUUUCAGUAUUGAUUUCAAUACAAAACUAGAGCACCAAGAUGACCUGAUUAUAUUCUAUAUCACUCAUUUCGAUACUGAAAUUCAGUAUUGCGAUUAUCCACCUUAAUAUUUCAAUACUGAUUUCAGUAUUGAAAUACAAAACGAGAUCACCCGACUCACUUGUAUAUCACUAAUUUUGGUACUAAAAUUCAGUAUUGUGAUUCUUCAAAUUAAUUUUUCAAUACUUAUUUCAAUACUAAAAGCAACACUAGGAUGACCUGACUCAGUUUUAUAUCACUAAUUUUGGUAUAAAAUUCAGUAUUGCGAAUAUCUAUGUGAAUACUUCAGUAUUGAUUUGAGUACUCAAAAAUAGCACGACUAACAUGUGCCUCAGUUCUAUAUCACUAAUUUUGGUAUUAAAACUCAGUAUUAUGAUUAUACAUGUUAACAUUUCCGUACUGAUUUCAAUAAUGUAAUACAGCACCAUGAUGACCCGACUCGGUCGUGUAUCACUAAUUUCAGUAUUGAAAUUCAGUAUUGUGAUUAUCCACAUUAAUAUAUCAUUAUUGAUUUCAGUACUGAAAUACAAAAUGGUGAUCACCACACUCAGUUGUAUAUCACUAAUUUUGGUAUUAAAAUUCAGUAUUGCGAUUAUCCACUUAAUAUUUCAAUAAUGAUUUCAAGACUUAAAAACAAAACGAUGUUCACGAGACUUAGCUGUAUAUCACAAAUUUGUUACUAAUAUCCGGUACUGCGAUUAUCCAUGUUAAUACUGCAGUAUUGAUUUCAGUACUGAAAAGCAGCUGGAUGAACGCAUGACUCAAUUCUAUAUCACUAAUUUCGGUACUAAAAUAUAGCAUUGAGAUUAACCACGUUAAUAUUUCAAUACUGAAAAACAGCACCACGAUGACCCGACUGAGUUAUAGUACUGAAAAAUAAAUCGAAAAUCACCCGACUCAUUUCUAUGUAACUAAUUUUGGUAUAAAAUUUAGUAUUGCGGAUAUCCGUGUUAGUAUUUCAGUAUUAGUUUGAGUACUCAAAUAUAGCACGACUAACACCUAACUCAGUUCUAUAUCAUUAUUUUUGAUACUAAAACUCAGUAUUGCGAUUAUCCACCUUAAUGUUUCAAUACUCAUUCAGUCCAAAAAAUAAGCACCAGGAUGACCUGACUCAGUUAUAUAUCACUAAUUUUGUUACUAAAAUUCAGUAUUGUGAUUAUCCACUUAAUAUUUCAAUACUGAUUUCAAGACUUCAAAACAAACUGAUGAUCACAAGACUUAGAGAUGUAUAUCACAAAUUUGUUACUAAUAUCCGGUACUACAAUUAUCCAUAUUAAUAUUGUUGUAUUAAUUUCAGUACUGAAAAACAGCUUGACGAAUGCAUGACUCAAUUCUAUAUCAGUAAUUUCAGUACUAAAAUAUAGCAUUGAGUUUAACCACCUUAAUAGUUCAAUACUGAAAAACAGCACCACGAUGGCCCGACUGAGUUGUAUAUUACUAAUUUCGGUACUAAAAUUAUGUUUUGUAAUUAUCCACCAUAAUAUUUAAAUAUUGAUUUCAGUACUGAAAUACAGCACCAAGAUGACCCGACUCUGUUCUAUACCACUCAUUUCGGUACUAAAAUUCAGUAUUGCGAUUAUCCACUUUAAUACUUCAAUACUGGUUUUAGUACUGAAAAACAUAACGACGAUCACCCGACUCACUUCUAUACCACAAAUUUCGGUAUAAAUGUUACUAUUGUGAUUAUCCAUGUAAAUAUUUCAGUAUUAAUUUGAGUACUCAAAAAUGGCAUGAGUAACACCUGACUCGGUUCUAUAUCACUAAUUUUAGUACUAAAACUUAGUAUUGUGAUUAUCCAUGUUAAUAUUUAAUAUUGAAAAACCGCACCACGAUGACCCGACUCGGUUGUAUAUCACUAAUUUAGGUACUAAAAUUCAGUGUUCUGAUUAUCCACGUUAAUAUUUCAGUACUAAUUUCAAUACUGAACUAGAGCACCAAGAUGACCCGACUAUAUUCUAUAUCACUCAUUUCGGUACUGAAAUUCAGUAUUGCGAUUAUCCACCUUAAUAUUUCAAUACUUAUUUCAGUAUUGAAAUACAAAACUUGAUCACCCGACUCACUUGUAUAUCACUAAUUUUGGUACUAAAUUUCAGUAUUGUGAUUCUUCACAUUAAUUUUUCAAUACUUAUUUCAAUUCUAAAAGCAACACUAGGAUGACCUGACUCAGUUUUAUAUCACUAAUUUCGGUAUAAAAUUCAGUAUUGCGAUUAUCUAUGUGAAUAUUUCAGUAUUGAUUUGAGUACUCAAAAAUAGCACGACUAGAACAUGCCUCAGUUCUAUAUCACUAAUUUUGGUAUUAAAACUCAGUAUUAUGAUUAUACAUGUUAACAUUUCCGUACUGAUUUCAAUACUAAAAUACAGCACCACGAUGACCCAACUCGAUUGUGUAUCACUAAUUUCAGUACUGAAAUUCAGUAUUGUGAUUAUCCACAUUAAUAUAUCAAUAUUGACUUCAGUACUGAAAUACAAAAUGGCGAUCACCACACUCAGUUCUAUAUCACUAAUUUUGGUAUUAAAAUUCAGUAUUACAAUUAUUCACUUAAUAUUUCAAUACUGAUUUCAAGACUUAAAAACAAAAUGUUGUUCACGAGACUUAUCUAUAUAUCACAAAUUUGUUAUUAAUAUUCGGUACUGCAAUUAUCCAUGUUAAUACUGCAGUAUUGAUUUCAGUACUGAAAAACAACUUGAUGAACGCAUGACUCAAUUCUAUAUCACUAAUUUCGGUACUAAAAUAUAGCAUUGAAAUUAACCACAUUAAUAUUUCAAUACUGAAAAAUAGCACCACGAUGACCCGACUUAGUUGUAGUACUGAAAAAUAAAACGAAAAUCACCCGACUCAUUUCUAUGUAACUAAUUUUGGUAUAAAAUUUAGUAUUGCGGAUAUCCGUGUUAGUAUUUCAGUAUUAGUUUGAGUACUGAAAUAUAGCACGACUAACACCUGACUCAGUUCUAUAUCACUAAUUUUGAUACUAAAACUCAGUAUUGCGAUUAUCCACCAUAAUAUUUCAAUACUGAUUUCAGUACAAAAAAAUAGCACCAGGAUGACCUGACUCGGUUAUAUAUCACUAAUUUUGUUACUAAAAUUCAGUAUUGCGAUUAUCCACUUAAUAUUUCAAUACUGAUUUCAAGACUUAAAAACAAACCGAUGAUCACAAGACUUAAAGGUGUAUAUCACAAAUUUGUUACUAAUAUCCGGUACUACGAUUAUCCAUGUUAAUAUUGCUGUAUUGAUUUCGGUAUUAAAAAACAGCUCGAUGAACGCAUGACUCAAUUCUAUAUCACUAAUUUCAGUACUAAAAUAUACAAUUGAGAUUAACCACGUUAAUAGUUCAAUACUGAAAAACAGCACCAUGAUGGCCCGACUGAGUUGUAUAUUACUAAUUUCGGUACUAAAAUUCAGUAUUGUAAUUAUCCACCUUAAUAUUUAAAUAUUGAUUUCAGUACUGAAAUACAGCACCAAGAUGACCUGACUGUGUUCUAUAGCACUCAUUUCGGUACUAAACUUCAGUAUUGCGAUUAUCCACUUUAAUACUUCAAUACUGGUUUCAGUAGUGAAAAACAUAACGAUGAUCACUCGACUCACUUUUAUACCAUAUAUUUCGGUAUAAAUUUUACUAUUGUGAUUAUCCAUGUAAGUAUUUCAGUAUUAAUUUGAGUACUAAAAAAUAGCAUGACUAACACCUGACUUGGUUCUAUAUCACUAAUUUCAGUACUAAAACUUAGUAUUGUGAUUAUCCACGUUAAUAUUUAAUAUUGAAAAACUGCACCAAGUUGACCCGACUGUUCUAUACCACUCAUUUCGGUACUAAAAUUCAGUAUUGCGAUUAUCCACUUUAAUACUUCAAUACUGGUUUCAGUACUGAAAAACAUAACGACGAUCACCCGACUCACUUCUAUACCACAAAUUUUGGUAUAAAUUUUACUAUUGUGAUUAUCCAUGUAAUUAUUUCAGUAUUAAUUUGAGUACUCAAAAAUAGCAUGACUAACACCUGACUUGGUUCUAUAUCACUAAUUUCAGUACUAAAACUUAGUAUUGUGAUUGUCCACAUUAAUAUUUAAUAUUGAAAAACCGCACCACGAUGAACCGACUCGUUUGUAUAUCCCUAAUUUUGGUACUAAAAUUCAGUGUUCUGAUUAUCCACGUUAAUAUUUCAGUACUGAUUUCAAUACUGAACUAAAGCACCUAGAUGACCCGACUACAUUCUAUAUCACUCAUUUCGGUACUGAAAUUCAGUAUUGUGAUUAUCCACCUUUAUAUUUCAGUACUGAUUUCCAUAAUGAAGUACAAAACGAGAUCACCCGACUCACUUGUAUAUCACUAAUUUUGGUACUAAAAUUCAGUAUUGUGAUUCUUCAUGUUAAUUUUGCAAUACUUAUUUCAAUACUAAAAGCAACACUAGGAUGACCUGACUCAGUUUUAUAUUACUAAUUUUGGUAUAAAAUUCAGUAUUGCGAUUAUCUAUGUGAAUAUUUCAGUAUUUAUUGGAGUACUCAAAAAUAGCAUGACUAACACGCGCCUUAGUUCCAUAUCACUAAUUUUAGUAUUAAAAGUCAGUAUUAUGAUUAUACAUGUUGACAUUUCCGUACUGAUUUCAAUACUGAAAUACAGCACCAUGAUGACCCGACUCGGUCGUGUAUCACUAAUUUCAGUACCAAAAUUCAGUAUUGUGAUUAUCCACAUUAAUAUAUCAAUAUUGAUUUCAGUACUGAAAUAGAAAAUGGCGAUCACCACACUCAGUUGUAUAUCACUAAUUUUGGUAUUAAAAUUCAGUAUUGCGAUUAUCCAUUUAAUAUUUCAAUACUGAUUUCAAGACUUAAAAACAAAACGAUGUUCACGAGACUUAGCUGUAUAUCACAAAUUUGUUACUAAUAUUUGGUACUGCGAUUAUCCAUGUUAAUACUGCAGUAUUGAUUUCAGUACAGAAAAACAACUGGUUGAACGCAUGACUCAAUUCUAUAUCACUAAUUUCGGUACUAAAAUAUAGCAUUAAGAUUAACCACGUUAAUAUUUCAAUACUGAAAAACAGCACCGCGAUGACCCGACUGAGUUGUAGUACUAAAAAAUAAAACGAAAAUCACCCGACUCACUUCUAUGUAACUAAUUUUGGUAUAAAAUUUAGUGUUGCGGAUAUCCGUGUUAGUAUUUCAGUAUUAGUUUGGGUACUCAAAUAUAGCAAGACUAACACCUGACUCAGUUCUAUAUCACUAAUUUUGAUACUAAAACUCAGUAUUGCGAUAAUCCACCUUAAUAUUUCAAUACUUAUUUCAGUACAAAAAAAUAGCAACAAGAUGACCUGACUCAGUUAUAUAUCACUAAUUUUGUUACUAAAAUUCACUAUUGCGAUUAUCCACUUAAUAUUUCAAUACUGAUUUCAAGACUUAAAAACAAACCGAUGAUCACAAGACUUAAAGGUGUAUAUCACAAAUUUGUUACUAAUAUCCGGUACUAUGAUUAUCCAUGUUAAUAUUGUUGUAUUGAUUUCAGUACUAAAUUUCAGCUCGAUGAACGCAUGACUCAAUUCUAUAUCACUAAUUUCAGUACUAAAAUAUAGCAUUGAGAUUAACCACCUUAAUAGUUCAAUAGUGAAAAACAGCACCACGAUGGCUCGAGUGAGUUGUAUAUUACUAAUUUUGGAACUAAAAUUCAGUAUUGUAAUUAUCCACCUUAAUGUUUAAAUAUUGAUUUCAGUACUGAUUUCAAUACUGAACUAGAGCACCAAGAUGACCCGACUAUAUUCUAUAUCAUUCAUUUCGGUACUAAAAUCCAGUAUUGCGAUUAUCCACCUUAAUAUUUCAAUACUGAUUUCAGUACUUAAAUACAAAACAAGAUCACCCGACUCACUUGUAUAUCGCUAAUUUUAGUACUAAAAUUCGGUAUUGUGAUUCUUCACAUUAAUUUUUCAGUACUUAUUUCAAUACUAAAAGCAACACUAGGAUGACCUGACUCAGUUUUAUAUCACUAAUUUCAGUAUAAAAUUCAGUAUUGCGAUUAUUUAUGUGAAUAUUUCAGUAUUGAUUUGAGCACACAAAAAUAGCACGACUAACACGUGCCUCAGUUCUAUAUCACUAAUUUUGGUAUUAAAACUCGGUAUUAUGAUUAUACAUGUUAACAUUUCCGUACUAAUUUCAAUACUGAAAUACAGCACCACAAUGACCCGACUCGGUCGUGUAUCACUAAUUUCAGUACUCAAAUUCAGUAUUGUGAUUAUUCACAUUAAUAUAUCAAUAUUGAUUUCAGUACUGAAAUACAAAAUGGCGAUCACCUCACUCAGUUGUAUAUCACAAAUUUUGGUAUUAAAAUUCAGUAUUGCGAUUAUCCACUUAAUAUUUCAAUACUGAUUUCAAGACUUAAAAACAAAACGAUGUUCACGGGACUUAGCUGUAUAUCACAAAUUUGUUACUAAUAUUCGGUACUGCGAUUAUCCAAGUUAAUACUGCAGUAUUGAUUUCAGUACUGAAAAACAGCUGGAUGAACGCAUGACUCAAUUCUAUAUCACUAAUUUCGGUACUAAAAUAUAGCAUUGAGAUUAACCACGUUAAUCUUUCAAUACUAAAAAACAGCACCACGAUGACCCGACUGAGUUGUAGUACUGAAAAAUAAAACAAAAAUCACCCGACUCAUUUCUAUGUAACUAAUUUUGGUAUAAAAUUUAGUAUUGCGGAUAUCCGUGUUAGUAUUUCAGUAUUAGUUUGAGUACUCAAAUAUAGCACGACUAACACCUGACUCAGUUCUAUAUCACUAAUUCUGAUAUUAAAACUCAGUAUUGCGAUUAUCCACCUUAAUAUUUCAAUACUGAUUUCAGUACAAUAAAAAUAGCACCAAGAUGACCUGACUCAGUUAUAUAUCACUAAUUUUGUUACUAAAAUUCAGUAUUGUGAUUAUCCACUUAAUAUUUCAAUACUGAUUUCAAGACUUAAAAACAAACUGAUGAUCACAAGACUUAGAGGUGUAUAUCACAAAUUUGUUACUAAUAUCCGGUACUACGAUUAUCCAUGUUAAUAUUGUUGUAUUGAUUUAGUACUGAAUAACAGCUCGACGAACGCAUGACUCAAUUCCAUAUCACUAAUUUCAUUACUAAAAUAUAGCUUUGAGAUUAACCACCUUAAUAGUUCAAUACUGAAAAACAGCACCACGAUGGCCCGACUAAGUUGUAUAUUACUAAUUUCGGUACUAAAAUUCAGGAAUUUAAUUAUCCACCUUAAUAUUUAAAUAUUGAUUUCAGUACUGAAAUAUAGCACCAAGUUGACCCGACUGUUCUAUACCACUCAUUUCGGUACUAAAAUUCAGUAUUGCGAUUAUCCACUUUAAUACUUCAAUACUGGUUUCAGUACUCAAAAACAUAACGACGAUCACCCGACGCACUUCUAUACAACAAAUUUCGGUAUAAAUUUUACUAUUGUGAUUAUCCAUGUAAAUAUUUCUAUAUUAAUUUGAGUACUAAAAAUUAGCAUGACUAACACCUGACUCGGUUCUAUAUCACUAAUUUCAGUACUAAAACUUAGUAUUGUGAUUAUCCAUGUUAAUAUUUAAUAUUGAAAAACCGCACCACGAUGACCUGACUCGGUUGUAUAUCACUAAUUUCGGUACUAAAAUUCAUUGUUUUGACUAUCCACGUUAAUAUUUCAGUACUGAUUUCAAUAUUGAAUUAGAGCACCAAGAUGACCCGACUAUAUUCUAUAUCACUCAGUUCGGUACUGAAAUUCAGUAUUGCAAUUAUCCACCUUAAUAUUUCAAUACUGAUUUCAGUACUGAAAUACAAAACGAGAUCACUCGACUCACUUGUAUAUCACUAAUUUUGGUACUAAAAUUCAGUAUUGUGAUUCUUCACAUUAAUUUUUCAAUACUUAUUUCAAUACUAAAAGCAACACUAGGAUGACCUGACUCAGUUUUAUAUCACUAAUUUUGGUAUAAAAUUCAGUAUUGUGAUUAUCUAUGUGAAUAUUUUAGUAUUGAUUUGAGUACUCAAAAAUAGCACGACUAACACGCGCCUCAGUUCUAUAUCACUAAUUUUGGUAUUAAAAGUUAGUAUUACGAUUAUACAUGUUAACAUUUCCGUAUUCAAUACUAAAAUACAGCACCAAGAUGACCCGACUGUGUUCUAUACCACUCAUUUCGGUACUAAAAUUCAGUAUUGCGAUUAUCCACUUUAAUACUUCAAUACUGGUUUCAGUACUGAAAAACAUAACGACGAUCACUCGACUCACUUCUAUACCAUAUAUUUCGGUAUAAAUUUUACUGUUGUGAUUAUCCAUGUAAUUAUUCAGUAUUAAUUUGAGUACUAAAAAAUAGCAUGACUAACACCUAACUUGGUUCUAUAUCACUAAUUUCAGUACUAAAACUUAGUAUUGUGAUUGUCCAUGUUAAUAUUUAAUAUUGAAAAACCACACCACGAUGACCCGACUAGGUUGUAUAUCACUAAUUUCGGUACUAAAAUUCAGUGUUCUGAUUAUCCACAUUAAUAUUUCAGUACUGAUUUCAAUACUGAACUAGAGCGCCAAGAUGACCCGACUAUGUUCUAUAUCACUCAUUUCGGUACUGAAAUUCAGUAUUGCGAUUAUCCACCUUAAUAUUUCAAUACCGAUUUCAGUACUGAAAUAUAAAACAAGAUCACCUGACUCAUUUCUAUGUAACUAAUUUUGGUAUAAAAUUUAGUAUUGCGGAUAUCCGUCUUAGCAUUUCAGUAUUAGAUUGAGUACUCAAAUAUAGCAUGACUAACACCUGACUCAGUUCUAUAUCACUAAUUUUGAUUCUAAAACUCAGUAUUGCGAUUAUCCACCUUAAUAUUUCAAUACUGAUUUCAGUAAAAAAAACAGCACCAGGAUGACCUGACUCAGUUAUAUAUCACUAAUUUUGUUACUAAAAUUCAGUAUUGUGAUUAUCCACUUUAAUAUUUCAAUACUGAUUUCAGUACAAAAACACUGCACCCGGAUGACCUGACUGAGUUGUACAUCACUAAUUUUGUUACUAAAAUUCAGUAUUGCGAUUAUCAACUUAAUAUUUCAAUACUGAUUUAAAGACUUAAAAACAAACCGAUGAUCACAAGACUUAGGUGUAUAUCACAAAUUUGUUACUAAUAUCCAGUACUGCGAUUAUCCAUGUUAAUAUUGUUGUACUGAUUUCGGUAUUGAAAAACAGCUCGACGAAUGCACGACUCAAUUCUAUGUCACUAAUUACAGUACUAAAAUAUAGCUUUGAGAUUAACCACGUUAAUAGUUCAAUACUGAAAAACAGCACCACGAUGGCCCGAUUGAGUUGUAUAUUACUAAUUUCGGUAAUAAAAUUCAAUAUUGUAAUUAUCCACCUUUAUAUUUAAAUAUUGAUUUCCGUACUGAAAUACAUCACCAAGAUGAUCCGACUCUGUUCUAUACCACUCAUUUCGGUACUAAAAUUCAGUAGUGCGAUUAUCCACUUUAAUACUUUAAUACUGGUUUCAGUACUGAAAAACAUAACGACGAUCACCCGAAUCACUUCUAUACCACAAAUUUCGGUAUAAAUUUUACUAUUGUGAUUAUCCAUGUAAGUAUUUCAGUAUUAAUUUGAGUACUCAAAAAUAGCAUGACUAACACCUGACUUGGUACUAUAUCACUAAUUUCAGUACUAAAACUUAGUAUUGUGAUUGUCGAUGUUAAUAUUUAAUAUUGAAAAACCACACCACGAUGACCCGACUCGGUUGUAUAUCGCUAAUUUCGGUACAAAAAUUCAGUGUUCUGAUUAUCCACGUUAAUAUUUCAGUACUGAUUUCAAUACUGAACUAAAGCACCUAGAUGACUCGACUACAUUCUAUAUCACUCAUUUUGGUACUAAAAUUCAGUAUUGUGAUUAUCCACCUUUAUAUUUCAAUACUGAUUUCAGUAAUGAAAUACAAAACGAGAUCACCCGACUUCACUUGUAUAUCACUAAUUUUGGUACUAAAAUUCAGUAUUGUGAUUCUUCACGUUAAUUUUUCAAUACUUAUUUCAAUACUAAAAGCAACACUAGGAUGACCUGACUCAGUUUUAUAUUACUAAUUUUGGUAUAAAAUUCAGUAUUGCGAUUAUCUAUGUGAAUAUUUCAGUAUUCAUUAGAGUACUCAAAAAUAGCACGACCAACACGCGCCUCAGUUCCAUGUCACUAAUUUUGGUAUUAAAAGUCAGUAUUAUGAUUAUACAUGUUAACAUUUCCGUACUGAUUUCAAUACUGAAAUACAGCACCACGAUGACCUGACUCGGUCGUGUAUCACUAAUUUCAGUACCGAAAUUCAGUAUUGUGAUUAUCCACAUUAAUAUAUCAAUAUUGAUUUCAGUACUGAAAUACAAAAUGGCGAUCACCACACUCAGUUGUAUAUCACUAAUUUUGGUAUUAAAAUUCAGUAUUGCGAUUAUCCAUAUAAUAUUUCAAUACUAAUUUCAAUACUUAAAAACAAAACAAUGUUCACGAGACUUAGCUGUAUAUCACAAAUUUGUUACUAAUAUUUGGUACUGCAGUAUUGAUUUCAGUACUGAAAAACAGUUGGAUGAACACAUGACUCAAUUCUAUAUCACUAAUUUCGGUACUAAAAUAUAGCAUUGAUAUUAACCACGUUAAUAUUUCAAUACUGAAAAACAGCACCAUGAUGACCCGACUGAGUUGUAGUACUGAAAAAUAAAACGAAAAUCACCCGACUCAUUUCUAUGUAACUAAUUUUGGUAUAAAAUUUAGUAUUAUGGAUAUCCGUGUUAGUAUUUUAGCAUUAGUUUGAGUACUCAAAUAUAGCAAGACUAACACGUGACUCAGUUUUAUAUCAAUAAUUUCGAUACUAAAACUCAGUAUUGUGAUUAUCCACUUUAAUAUUUCAAUACUGAUUUCAGUACAAAAAAACAGCACCCGGAUGACCUGACUGAGUUGUACAUCACUAAUUUUGUUACUAAAAUUCAGUAUUGCGAUUAUCAACUUAAUAUUUCAAUACUGAUUUAAAGACAUAAAAACAAACCGAUGAUCACAAGACUUAAGUGUAUAUCACAAAUUUCUUACUAAUAUUCGGUACUACGAUUAUCCAUGUUAAUAUUGUUGUAUUGAUUUAUGUACUGAAAAAUAGCUCGACGAAUGCAUGACUCAAUUCUAUAUCACUAAUUUCAGUACUAAAAUAUAGCAUUGAGAUUAACCACGUUAAUAGUUCAAUACUGAAUAACAGCAGCACGAUGGCCUAACUGAGUUGUAUAUUACUAAUUUUGGUUCUAAAAUUCAGUAUUGUAAUUAUCCACCUUAAUAUUUAAAUAUUGAUUUCAGUACUGAAAUACAGCUCCAAGAUGACCCGACUCUGUUCUAUACCACCCAUUUCGGUUCUAAAAUUCAGUAUUGCGAUUAUCCACUUUAAUACUUCAAUACUGGUUUCAGUACAGAAAAACAUAACGACGAUCACCCGACUCACUUCUACACCACAAUUUUCGGUAUAAAUUUUACUAUUGUGAUUAUCCAUGUAAGUAUUUCAAUAUUAAUUUGAGUACUCAAAAAUAGCAUGACUAACACCUGACUCGGUUCUAUAUCACUAAUUUCAGUACUAAAACUUAGUAUUGUGAUUAUCCAUGUUAAUAUUUAAUAUUGAAAAACCGCACCACGAUGACCCGACUCGGUUGUAUAUCACUAAUUUCGGUACUAAAAUUUAGUGUUCUGAUUAUCCACGUUAAUAUUUCAGUACUGAUUUCAAUACUGAACUAGAGCACCAAGAUGACCCGACUAUGUUCUAUAUCACUCAUUUCGGUACUGAAAUUCAGUAUUGCGAUUAUCCACCUUAAUAUUUCAAUACUGAUUUCAGUACUGAAAUAUAAAACAAGAUCACCCGACUCACUUGUAUAUCACUAAUUUUGGUAUUAAAAUUCAGUAUUGUGAUUCUUCACAUUAAUUUUGCAAUACUUAUUUCAAUACUAAAGCAACACUAGGAUGACCUGACUCAGUUUUAUAUCACUAAUUUCAGUAUAAAAUUCAGUAUUGCAAUUAUCUAUGUGAAUAUUUCAGUAUUCAUUUGAGUACUCAAAAAUAGCACGACUAACACGCGCCUCAGUUCUAUAUCACUAAUUUUGGUAUUAAAAGUCAGUAUUAUGAUUAUACAUGUUAACAUUCCCGUACUGAUUUCAAUACUGAAAUACAGCACCAUGAUGACCCGACUCGGUCGUGUAUCACUAAUUUCAGUACCGAAAUUCAGUAUUGUGAUUAUCCAGAUUAAUAUAUCAAUAUUGAUUUCAGUACUGAAAUAAAAAAUGACGGUCACCACACUCAGUUGUAUAUCACUAAUUUUGGUAUUAAAAUUCAGGAUUGUGAUUAUCCACUUAUUAUUUCAAUACCGAUUUCAAGACUUAAAAAACAAAACGAUGUCCACGAGACUUAGCUGUAUAUCACAAAUUUGUUACUAAUAUUUGGUACUGCGAUUAUCCAUGUUAAUACUGCAGUAUUGAUUUCAGUACUGAAAAACAGCUGGAUGAACGCAUGACUCAAUUCUAUAUCACUAAUUUCGGUACUAAAAUAUAGCAUUGAGAUUAACCACGUUAAUAUUUCAAUACUGAAAAACAGCAGCAUGAUGACCCGACUGAGUUGUAGUACUGAAAAAUAAAACGAAAUUCCCCUGACCCAUUUCUAUGUAACUAAUUUUGGUAUAAAAUUUAGUAUUGCCGAUAUUCGUGUUAGUAUUUCAGUAUUAGUUUGAGUACUCAAAUAUAGCAUGACUAACACCCGACUCAGUUUUAUAUCAAUAAGUUCGAUACUGAAACUCAGUUUUGUGAUUAUCCACUUUAAUAUAUCAAUACUGAUUUUAGUACAAAAAAAAGCACCCGGAUGACCUGACUCAGUUGUACAUCACUAAUUUUGUAACUAAAAUUCAGUAUUGCGAUUAUCAACUUAAUAUUUCAAUUCUGAUUUCAAGACUUAAAAACAAACCGAUGAUCACAAGACUUAAGUGUAUAUCACAAAUUUCUUACUAAUAUUCGGUACUACGAUUAUCCAUGUUAAUAUUGUUGUAUUGAUUUUGGUAGUGAAAAUCAGCUCGAUGAACGCAUGACUCAAUUUUAUAUCACUAAUUUCAGUACUAAAAUAUAGCAUUGAGAUUAACCACGUUAAUAGUUCAAUACUGAAAAACAGCACCACGAUGGCCCGACUGAGUUGUAUAUUAUUAAUUUUGGUUCUAAAAUUCAGUAUUGUAAUUAUCCACCUUAAUAUUUAAAUAUUGAUUUCAGUACUGAAAUACAGCACCAAGAUGACCCGACUGUGUUCUAUACCACUCAUUUCGGUACUAAAAUUUAGUAUUGCGAUUAUCCACUUUAAUACUUCAAUACUGGUUUCAGUACUGAAAAACAUAACGACGAUCACUCGACUCACUUCUAUACCAUAUAUUUCGGUAUAAAUUUUACUGUUGUGAUUAUCCAUGUAAGUAUUUCAGUAUUAAUUUGAGUACUAAAAAAUAGCAUGACUAACACCCGACUUGGUUCUAUAUCACUAAUUUCAGUACUAAAACUUAGUAUUGUGAUUGUCCACGUUAAUAUUUAAUAUUGAAAAACCGCACCACGAUGACCCGACUCGGUUGUAUAUCACUAAUUUCGGUACUAAAAUUCACUGUUCUGAUUAUCCACGUUAAUAUUUCAGUACUGAUUUCAAUACUGAACUAGAGCACCAAGAUGACCCGACUAUGUUCUAUAUCACUCAUUUCGGUACUGAAAUUCAGUAUUGCGAUUAUCCACCUUAAUAUUUCAAUACCGAUUUCGGUACUGAAAUAUAAAACGAGAUCACCUGACUCAUUUCUAUGUAACUAAUUUGGUAUAAAAUUUAGUAUUGCGGAUAUCCGUGUUAGUAUUUCAGUAUUAGUUUGAGUACUCAAAUAUAGCACGACUAACACCUGACUCAGUUCUAUAUCACUAAUUUUGAUUCUAAAUCUCAGUAUUGCGAUUAUCCACCUUAAUAUUUCAAUACUGACUUCAGUACAAAAAAACAGCACCAGGAUGACCUGACUCAGUUAUAUAUCACUAAUUUUGUUACUAAAAUUCAGUAUUGCAAUUAUCCACUUAAUAUUUCAAUACUGAUUUCAAGACUUAAAAACAAACCGAUGAUCACAAGACUUAGAGGUGUAUAUCACAAAUUUGUUACUAAUAUCCGGUACUGCGAUUAUCCAUGUUAAUAUUGUUGUAUUGAUUUCGGUAUUGAAAAACAGCUCGACGAAUGCACUACUCAAUUCUAUAUCACUAAUUACAGUACUAAAAUAUAGCUUUGAGAUUAACCAUGUUAAUAGUUCAAUACUGAAAAACAGCACCACGAUGGCCCGAUUGAGUUGUAUAUUACUAAUUUCGGUAAUAAAAUUCAAUAUUGUAAUUAUCCACCUUAAUAUUUAAAUAUUGAUUUCUGUACUGAAAUACAUCACCAAGAUGACCCGACUCUGUUCUAUACCACUCAUUUCGGUACUAAAAUUCAGUAGUGCGAUUAUCCACUUUAAUACUUCAAUACUGGUUUCAGUACUGAAAAACAUAACGACGAUCACCCGAAUCACUUCUAUACCACAAAUUUCGGUAUAAAUUUUACUAUUGUGAUUAUCCAUGUAAGUAUUUCAGUAUUAAUUUGAGUACUCAAAAAUAGCAUGACUAACACCUGACUUGGUUCUAUAUCACUAAUUUCAGUACUAAAACUUAGUAUUGUGAUUGUCCACGUUAAUAUUUAAUAUUGAAAAACCACACCACGAUGACCCGACUCGGUUGUAUAUCACUAAUUUCGGUACUAAAAUUCAAUGUUCUGAUUAUCCACGUUAAUAUUUCAGUACUGAUUUCAAUACUGAACUAAAGCACCUAGAUGACCCGACUACAUUCUAUAUCACUCAUUUCGGUACUAAAAUUCAGUAUUGUGAUUAUCCACCUUUAUAUUUCAAUACUGAUUUCAGUAAUGAAAUACAAAACGAGAUCACCCGACUCACUUGUAUAUCACUAAUUUUGGUACCAAAAUUCAGUAUUGUGAUUCUUCCCGUUAAUUUUUCAAUACUAAUUUCAAUACUAAACGCAACACUAGGAUGACCCGAGUCAGUUUUCUAUUAUUGAUUUUGGUAUAAAAUUCAGUAUUGCGAUUAUCUAUGUGAAUAUUUCAGUAUUCAUUAGAGUACUCAAAACUAGCAUGACUAACACGCGCCUCAGUUCCAUAUCACUAAUUUUGGUAUUAAAAGUCAGUAUUAUGAUUAUACAUGUUAACAUUUCCGUACUAAUUUCAAUACUGAAAUACAGCACCACGAUGACCCGACUCGGUCGUGUAUCACUAAUUUCAGUACCGAAAUUCAGUAUUGUGAUUAUCCACAAUAAUAUAUCAAUAUUGAUUUCAGUACUGAAAUACAAAAUGGCCAUCACCACACUCAGUUGUAUAUCACUAAUUUUGGUAUUAAAAUUCAGUAUUGCGAUUGUCCAUUUAAUAUUUCAAUACUGAUUUCAAGACUUAAAAACAAAACGAUUUUCACGAGACUUAGCUGUAUAUCACAAAUUUGUUACUAAUAUUUGGUACUGCGAUUAUCCAUGUUAAUACUGCAGUAUUGAUUUCAGUACUGAAAAACAGCUGGAUGAACGCAUGACUCAAUUCUAUAUCACUAAUUUCGGUACUAAAAUAUAGCAUUAAUAUUAACCACGUUAAUAUUUCAAUACUGAAAAACAGCACCACGAUGACCCGACUGAGUUGUAGUACUGAAAAAUAAAACAAAAAUCACCCGACUCAUUUCUAUGUAACUAAUUUUGGUAUAAAAUUUAGUAUUAAGGAUAUCCGUGUUAGUAUUUUAGUAUUAGUUUGAGUACUCAAAUAUAGCAAGACUAACACGUGACUCAGUUUUAUAUCAAUAAUUUCGAUACUAAAACUCAGUAUUGUGAUUAUCCACUUUAAUAUUUCAAUACUGAUUUCAGUACAAAAACACUGCACCCGGAUGACCUGACUGAGUUGUACAUCACUAAUUUUGUUACUAAAAUUCAGUAUUGCGAUUAUCAACUUAAUAUUUCAAUACUGAUUUAAAGACAUAAAAACAAACCGAUGAUCACAAGACUUAGGUGUAUAUCACAAAUUUGUUACUAAUAUUCGGUACUACGAUUAUCCAUGUUAAUAUUGCUGUAUUGAUUUAGGUACUGAAAAAUAGCUCGACAAAUGCAUGACUCAAUUCUAUAUCACUAAUUUCAGUACUAAAAUAUAGCAUUGAGAUUAACCCCAUUAAUAGUUCAAUACUGAAUAACAGCACCACGAUGGCCUGACUGAGUUGUAUAUUACUAAUUUUGGUUCUAAAAUUCAGUAUUGUAAUUAUCCACCUUAAUAUUUAAAUAUUGAUUUCAGUACUGAAAUACAGCUCCAAGAUGACCCGACUCUGUUCUAUACCACUCAUUUCGGUUCUAAAAUUCAGUAUUGCGAUUAUCCACUUUAAUACUUCAAUAUUGGUUUCAGUACAGAAAAACAUAACGACGAUCACCCGACUCACUUCUACACCACAAAUUUCGGUAUAAAUUUUACUAUUGUGAUUAUCCAUGUAAGUAUUUCAAUAUUAAUUUGAGUACUCAAAAAUAGCAUGACUAACACCUGACUCGGUUCUAUAUCACUAAUUUCAGUACUAAAACUUAGUAUUGUGAUUGUCCACGUUAAUAUUUAAUAUUGAAAAACCGCACCACGAUGACCCGACUAGGUUGUAUAUCACUAAUUUCGGUACUAAAAUUCAAUGUUCUGAUUAUCCACGUUAAUAUUUCAGUACUGAUUUCAAUACUGAACUAGAGCACCAAGAUGACCCGACUAUGUUCUAUAUCACUCAUUUCGGUACUGAAAUUCAGUAUUGCGAUUAUCCACCUUAAUAUUUCGAUACCGAUUUUAGUACUGAAAUAAUAAACAAGAUCACCCGACUCAGUUCUGUGUAACUAAUUUUGGUAUAAAAUUUAGUAUUGCGGAUAUCCGUGUUAGUAUUUCAGUAUUAGUUUGAGUACUCAAAUAUAGCACGACUAACACCUGACUCAGUUCUAUAUCACUAAUUUUGAUACUAAAACUCAGUAUUGCGAUUAUCCACCUUAAUAUUUCAAUACUGAUUUCAGUACAAAAAAAAUAGCACCAGGAUGACCUGACUCAGUUAUAUAUCACUAAUUUUGUAACUAAAAUUCAGUAUUGUGAUUAUCCACUUGAUAUUUCAAUACUGAUUUCAAGACUUAGAAACAAACCGAUGAUCACAAGACUUAGAGGUGUAUAUCACAAAUUUGUUACUAAUAUCUGGUACUGCGAUUAUCCAUGUUAAUAUUGUUGUGUUGAUUUCGGUAUUGAAAAACAGCUCGAGGAAUGCACGACUCAAUUCUAUAUCACUAAUUACAGUACUAAAAUAUAGCAUUGAGAUUAACCACGUUAAUAGUUCAAUACUGAAAAACAGCACCACGAUGGCCCGAUUGAGUUGUAUAUUACUAAUUUCGGUACUAAAAUUCAGUAUUGUAAUUAUCCACCUUAAUAUUCAAAUAUUGAUUUUAGUACUGAAAUACAUCACCAAGAUGACCCGACUCUGUUCUAUACCACUCAUUUCGGUACUAAAAUUCAGUAGUGCGAUUAUCCACUUUAAUACUUCAAUACUGGUUUCAGUACUGAAAAACAUAACGACAAUCACCCGAAUCACCUCUAUACCACAAAUUUCGGUAUAAAUUUUACUAUUGUGAUUAUCCAUGUAAGUAUUUCAGUAUUAAUUUGAGUACUCAAAAAUAGCAUGACUAACACCUGACUCGGUUCUAUAUCACUAAUUUCAGUACUAAAACUUAGUAUUGUGAUUGUCCAUGUUAAUAUUUAAUAUUGAAAAACCGCACCACGAUGACCCGACUCGGUUGUAUAUCACUAAUUUCGGUACUAAAAUUCAGUGUUCUGAUUAUCCACAUUAAUAUUUCAGUACUGAUUUCAAUACUGAACUAGAGCACCAAGAUGACCCGACUAUAUUCUAUAUCACUCAUUUCAGUACUGAAAUUCAGUAUUGCGAUUAUCCACCUUAAUAUUUCAAUACUGAUUUCAGUACUGAAAUAUAAAACGAAAUCACCCGACUCACUUGUAUAUCACUAAUUUUGGUAUUAAAAUUCAGUAUUGUGAUUCUUCACAUUAAUUUUUCAAUACUUAUUUCAAUACUAAAGCAACACUAGGAUGACCUGACUCAGUUUUAUAUCACUAAUUUUGGUAUAAAAUUCAGUAUUGCAAUUAUCUAUGUGAAUAUUUCAGUAUUCAUUUGAGUACUCAAAAAUAGCACGACUAACACGCGCCUUAGUUCUAUAUCACUAAUUUUGGUAUUAAAAGUCAGUAUUAUGAUUAUACAUGUUAACAUUUCCAUACUGAUUUCAAUACUGAAAUACAACACCACGAUGACCCGACUCGGUCGUGUAUCACUAAUUUCAGUACCGAAAUUCAGUAUUGUGAUUAUCCACAUUAAUAUAUCAAUAUUGAUUUCAGUACUGAAAUAAAAAAUGGCAGUCACCUCACUCAGUUGUAUAUCACUAAUUUUUGUAUUAAAAUUCAGUAUUGCGGUUAUCCACUUAUUAUUUCAAUACCGAUUUCAAGACUUAAAAAACAAAACGAUGUUCAUGAGACUUAGCUGUAUAUCACAAAUUUGUUACUAAUAUUUGGUACUGCGAUUAUCCAUGUUAAUACUGCAGUAUUGAUUUCAGUACUGAAAAACAGCUGGAUGAACGCAUGACUCAAUUCUAUAUCACUAAUUUCGGUACUAAAAUAUAGCAUUGAGAUUAACCACGUUAAUAUUUCAAUACUGAAAAACAGCAGCACGAUGACCCGACUGAGUUGUAGUACUGAAAAAUAAAACGAAAUUCCCCUGACCCAUUUCUAUGUAACUAAUUUUGGUAUAAAAUUUAGUAUUGUGGAUAUCCGUGUUAGUAUUUCAGUAUUAGUUUGAGUACUCAAAAAUAGCAUGACUAACACCCGACUCAGUUUUAUAUCAAUAAGUUCGAUACUAAAACUCAGUUUUGUGAUUAUCCACUUUAAUAUAUCAAUACUGAUUUUAGUACAAAAAAACAGCACCCGGAUGGCCUGACUCAGUUGUACAUCACUAAUUUUGUUACUAAAAUUCAGUAUUGCGAUUAUCAACUUAAUAUUUCAAUACUGAUUUCAAGACUUAAAAACAAACCGAUGGUCACAAGACUUAGAGGUGUAUAUCAUAAAUUUGUUACUAAUAUCUGGUACUGCGAUUAUCCAUGUUAAUAUUGUUGUAUUGAUUUCGGUAUUGAAAAACAGCUCGAAGAAUGCAUGACUCAAUUUUAUAUCACUAAUUUCAGUACUAAAAUAUAGCAUUGAGAUUAACCACGUUAAUAGUUCAAUACUGAAAAACAGCACCACGAUGGCCCGACUGAGUUGUAUAUUACUAAUUUCGGUUCUAAAAUUCAGUAUUGUAAUUAUCCACCUUAAUAUUUAAAUAUUGAUUUCAGUACUGAAAUACAGCACCAAGAUGACCCGACUGUGUUCUAUACCACUCAUUUCGGUACUAAAAUUCAGUAUUUCGAUUAUCCACUUUAAUACCUCAAUACUGGUUUCAGUACUGAAAAACAUAACGACGAUCACUCGACUCACUUCUAUACCAUAUAUUUCGGUAUAAAUUUUACUGUUGUGAUUAUCCAUGUAAGUAUUUCAGUAUUAAUUUGAGUACUAAAAAAUAGCGUGACUAACACCUGACUUGGUUCUAUAUCACUAAUUUCAGUACUAAAACUUAGUAUUGUGAUUGUCCACGUUAAUAUUUAAUAUUGAAAAACCGCACCAUGAUGAGCCGACUCGGUUGUAUAUCACUAAUUUCGAUACUAAAAUUCAGUGUUCUGAUUAUCCACGUUAAUAUUUCAGUACUGAUUUCAAUACUGAACUAGAGCACCAAGAUGACCUGACUAUGUUCUAUAUCACUCAUUUCGGUACUGAAAUUCAGUAUUGCGAUUAUCCACAUUAAUAUUUCAAUAUUGAUUUCAUUACUGAAUACAAAACGAGAUCACCCGACUCACUUGUAUAUCACUAAUUUUGGUACUAAAAUUCAGUAUUGUGAUUCUUCACAUUAAUUUUUCAAUACUUAUUUCAAUACUAAAAAUAACACUAGGAUGACCUGACUCAGUUUUGGAUCAUUAAUUUCGGUAUAAAAUUCAGUAUUGCGAUUAUCUAUGUGAAUAUUUCAGGAUUGAUUUGAGUACUCAAAAAUAGCACGACUAACACGUGCCUCAGUUCUAGAUAACUAAUUUUGGUAUUAAAACUCAGUAUUAUGAUUAUACAUGUUAACAUUUCCGUACUGAUUUCAAUAUUGAAAUACAACACCACGAUGACCCGACUCGGUCGUGUAUCACUAAUUUUAGUACCGUAAUUCAGUAUUGUGAUUAUCCACAUUAAUAUAUCAAUAUUGAUUUCAGUACUGAAAUACAAAAUGGUGAUCACCACACUCAGUUGUAUAUCACUAAUUUUGGUAUUAAAAUUCAGUAUUGCGAUUAUCCAUUUAAUAUUUCAAUACUGAUUUCAAGACUUAAAAGCAAAACGAUGUUCAUGAGACUUAGUUGUAUAUCUCAAAUUUGUUACUAAUAUUCGGUACUGCGAUUAUCCAUGUUAAUACUGCAGUAUUGAUUUCAGUACUGAAAAACAGCUGGAUGAACGCAUGACUCAAUUCUAUAUCACUAAUUUCGGUACUAAAAUAUAGCAUUGAGAUUAACCACGUUAAUAUUUCAAUACUGAAAAAUAGCACCAUGAUGACCCGACUGAGUUGUAGUACUGAAACAUAAAACGAAAAUCACCCGACUCAUUUCUAUGUAACUAAUUUUGGUAUAAAAUUUAGUAUUGCGCAUAUCCAUGUUAGUAUUUCAGUAUUAGUUUGAGUACUCAAAUAUAGCAUGACUAACACCUCACUCAGUUUUAUAUCACUAAUUUCGAUACUAAAAUUCAGUAUUGUGAUUAUCCACUUUAAUAUUUCAAUACCGAUUUCAAUACAAAAAAACAACACCCGGAUGACCUGACUCAGUUGUACAUCACUAAUUUUUUUACUAAAAUUCAGUAUUGCGAAUAUCAACUUAAUAUUCCAAUACUGAUUUUAAGACUUAAAAACAAACCGAUGAUCACAAGACUUAGGUGUAUAUCAAAAAUUUGUUACUAAUAUUCGGUACUACGAUGAUCCAUGUUAAUAUUGUUGUAUUGAUUUCGGCACUGAAAUACAGCUCGAUGAACGCAUGACUCAAUUCUAUAUCACUAAUUUCAGUACUAAAAUAUAGCAUUGAGAUUAACCACGUUAAUAGUUCAAUACUAAAUAACAGCACCAUGAUGGCCCGACUGAGUUGUAUAUUACUAAUUUCGGUUCUAAAAUUCUGUAUUGUAAUUAUCCACCUUAAUAUUUAAAUAUUGAUUUCAGUACUGAAAUACAGCACCAAGAUGAACCGACUCUGUUCUAUACCACUCAUUUCGGGUCUAAAAUCCAGUAUUGCGAUUAUCCACUUUAAUACUUCAAUACUGGUUUCCGUACUGAAAAACAUAACGAUGAUCACCCGACUCACUUCUAUACCACAAAUUUCGGUAUAAAUUUUACUAUUGUGAUUAUCCAUGUAAGUAUUUCAGUAUUAAUUUGAGUACUCAAAAAUAGCAUGACUAACACCUGACUCGGUUCUAUAUCACUAAUUUCAGUACUAAAACUUAGUAUUGUGAUUGUCCACGUUAAUAUUUAAUAUUGAAAAACCGCACCACGAUGACCCGACUCGGUUGUAUAUCACUAAUUUCGGUACUAAAAUUCAGUGUUUUGAUUAUCCACGUUAAUAUUUCAGUACUUAUUUCAAUACUGAACUAGAGCACCAAGAUGACCCGACUAUAUUCUAUAUCGCUCAUUCCGGUACUGAAAUUCAGUAUUGCGAUUAUCCACCUUAAUAUUUCAAUACUGAUUUCAGUACUGAAAUACAAAACGAGAUCACCCGACUCACUAGUAUAUCACUGAUUUUGGUACUAAAAUUCAGUAUUGUGAUUCUUCACGUUAAUUUUUCAAUACUUAUUUCAAUACUAAAAGCAACACUAGGAUGACCUGACUCAGUUUUAUAUUACUAAUUUCGGUAUAAAAUUCAGUAUUGCGAUUAUCUAUGUGAAUAUUUCAGUAUUGAUUUGAGUACUCAAAAAUAGCACGACUAACACGCGCCUCAGUUCUAUAUCACUAAUUUUUGUAUAAAAAGUCAGUAUUAUGAUUAUACAUGUUAACAUUUCCGUACUGAUUUCAAUACUGAAAUACAGCACCACGAUGACCCGACUCGGUCGUGUAUCACUAAUUUCAAUACUGAAAUUCAGUAUUGUGAUUAUCCACAUUAAUAUAUCAGUAUUGAAUUCAGUAUUGAAAUACAAAUGGCGAUCACCACACUAAGUUGUAUAUCACUAAUUUUGGUAUUAAAUUCAACAUUGCGAUUAUCCACUUAAUAUUUCAAUACUGAUUUCAAGACUUAAAAACAAAAUGAUGUUCACGAGACUUAGCUGUAUAUCACAAAUUUGUUACUAAUAUUCGGUACUGCGAUUAUGCAUGUUAAUACAGCAGUAUUGAUUUCAGUUCUGAAAAACAGCUGGAUGAAUGCAUGAAUCAAUUCUAUAUCAUUAAUUUCGAUACUAAAAUAUAGCAUUGAGAUUAACCACGUUAAUAUUUCAAUACUAAAAAACAGCACCAUGAUGUCCCGACUGAGUUGUAGUACUGAAAAAUAAAACGGAAAUCACCCGACUCAUCUCUAUGUAACUAAUUUUGGUAUAAAAUUUAGUAUGGUGGAUAUCCGUGUUAGUAUUUUAGUAUUAGUUUGAGUACUCUAAUAUAGCAUGACUAACACAUGACUCAGUUUUAUAUCACUAAUUUCGAUACUAAAACUCAGUAUUGUGAUUAUCCACUUUAAUAUUUCAAUACUGAUUUCAGUACAAAAAAACAGCACCCGGAUGACCUGACUCAGUUGUACAUCACUAAUUUUGCUACUAAAAUUCAGUAUUGCGAUUAUCAACUUAAUAUUUCAAUACUGAUUUCAAGACUUAAAAACAAACCAAUGAUCACAAGACUUAGGUGUAUAUCACAAACUUGUUACUAAUAUCCGAUACUGCGAUUAUCCAUGUUAAUAUUGAUGUAUUGAAUUCAGUACUGAAAAACAGCUCGACGAGCGCAUGACUCAAUUCUAUAUCACUAAUUUCAGUACUAAAAUAUAGCAUUGAGAUUAACCACGUUAAUAGUUCAAUACUGAAUAACAGCACCACGAUGGCCCGACUGAGUUGUAUAUUACUAAUUUCGGUUCUAUAAUUCAGUAUUGUAAUUAUCCACCUUAAUAUUUAAAUGUUGAUUUAAGUACUGAAAUACAACACCAAGAUGACCCGACUCUGUUCUAUACCACUCAUUUCGGUACUAAAAUUCAGUAUUGCGAUUAUCCACUUUAAUACUUCAAUACUGGUUUCAGUACUGAAAAACAUAACGACGAUCACCCGACUCACUUCUACACCACAAAUUUCGGUAUAAAUUUUACUAUUGUGAUGAUCCAUGUAAGUAUUUCAGUAUUAAUUUGAGUACUCAAAAUAGCAUGACUAACACCUGACUCGGUUCUAUAUCACUAAUUUCAGUACUAAAACUUAGUAUUGUGAUUGUCCACGUUAAUAUUUAAUAUUGAAAAACCGCACCACGAUGACCCGACUCAGUUGUAUAUCACUAAUUUCGGUACUAAAAUUCAGUGUUCUGAUUAUCCACGUUAAUAUUUUAGUACUGAUUUCAAUACUGAACUAGAGCACCAAGAUGACCCGACUAUGUUCUAUAUCACUCAUUUUGGUACUGAAAUUCAGUAUUGCGAUUAUCCACCUUAAUAUAUCAAUACUGAUUUCAGUACUGAAAUACAAAACUAGAUCGCCCGACUCACAUGUAUAUCACUAAUUUUGGUACUAAAAUUCAGUAUUGCGAUUCUUCACGUUAAUUUUUCAAUACUUAUUUCAAUACUAAAAGCAGCACGAGUAUGACCUGACUCAGUUUUAUAUCACUAAUUUUGGUAUAAAAUUCAGUAUUGCGAUUAUCUAUGUGAAUAUUUCAGUAUUGAUUUGAGUACUCAAAAAUAGCAUGACUAACACGCGCCUCAGUUCUAUAUCACUAAUUUUGGUAUUAAAAGUCAGUAUUAUGAUAAUACAUCCUAACAUUUCCGUACUGAUUUCAAUACUGAAAUACAGCACCACGAUGACAACUCGGUAGUGUAUCAGUAAUUUCAGUACUCAAAUUCAGUAUUGUGAUUAUCCACAUUAAUAUAUCAGUAUUGAUUUUAGUACUGAAAUACAAAAUGGCGAUCACCACACUCAGUUGUAUAUCACUAAUUUUGGUAUUAAAAUUCAGUAUUGCGAUUAUCCACUUAAUAUUUCAACACUGUUUUCAAGACUUAAAAACAAAACGAUGUUCAUGAGACUUAGCUGUAUAUCAAAAAUUUGUUACUAAUAUUCGGUACUGCGAUUAUGCAUGUUAAUACUGCAGUAUUGAUUUUAGUACUGAAAAACAGCUGGAUGAACACAUGACUCAAUUCUAUCUCACUAAUUUCGGUACUAAAAUAUAGCAUUGAGAUUAACCAUGUUAAUAUUUCAAUACUGAAAAAUAGCACCACGAUGACCUGACUGAGUUGUAUUACUGAAAAAUAAAACGAAAAUCACCCGACUCAUUUCUAUGUAACUAAUUUUGGUAUAAAAUUUAGUAUUGCGGAUAUCCGUGUUAGUAUUUCAGUAUUAGUUUGAGUACUCAAAUAUAGCACGACUAACACCUGACUCGGUUCUAUAUCACUAAUUUCGAUACUAGAACUUAGUAUUGUGAUUAUCCACUUUAAUAUUUCAAUACUGAUUUCAAUAAAAAAAGCAGCACCAGGAUGACCCGACUCAGUUGUAUAUCACUAAUUUUGUUACUAAAAUUCAGUAUUGGGAUUAUCCACUUUAUAUUUCAAUACUGAUUUGAAGACUUAAAAACAAACCAUGUUACUAAAAUUCAGUAUUGCGAUUAUCCACUUUAUAUCGCAAGACUUAGGUGUAUAUCACAAAUUUCUUACUAAUAUUCGGUACUACGAUUAUCCAUGUUAAUAUUGUUGUAUUGAUUUUCGUAGUGAAAAACAGCUCGAUGAACGCAUGACUCAAUUUUAUAUCACUAAUUUCAGUACUAAAAUAUAGCAUUGAGAUUAACCACGUUAAUAGUUCAAUACUGAAAAACAGCACCACGAUGGCCCGACUGAGUUGUAUAUUACUAAUUUCGGUUCUAAAAUUCAGUAUUGUAAUUAUCCACCUUAAUAUUUAAAUAUUGAUUUCAGUACUGAAAUACAGCACCAAGAUGACCCGACUGUGUUCUAUACCACUCAUUUCGGUACUAAAAUUUAGUAUUGCGAUUAUCCACUUUAAUACUUCAAUACUGGUUUCAGUACUGAAAAACAUAACGACGAUCACUCGACUCACUUCUAUACCAUAUAUUUCGGUAUAAAUUUUACUAUUGUGAUUAUCCAUGUAAGUAUUUCAGUAUUAAUUUGAGUACUAAAAAAUAGCAUGACUAACACCUGACUUGGUUCUAUAUCACUAAUUUCAGUACUAAAACUUAGUAUUGUGAUUGUCCACGUUAAUAUUUAAUAUUGAAAAACCGCACCAUGAUAACCCGACUCGGUUGUAUAUCACUAAUUUCGGUACUAAAAUUCAGUGUUCUGAUUAUCCACGUUAAUAUUUCAGUACUGAUUUCAAUACUGAACUAGAGCACCAAGAUGACCCGACUAUGUUCUAUAUCACUCAUUUCGGUACUGAAAUUCAGUAUUGCGAUUAUCCACAUUAAUAUUUCAAUACUGAUUUCAGUACUGAAAUACAAAACGAGAUCACCCGACUCACUUGUAUAUCACUAAUUUUGGUACUAAAAUUCAGUAUUGUGAUUCUUCACAUUAAUUUUUCAAUACUUAUUUCAAUACUAAAAAUAACACUCGGGUGACUUGACUCAGUUUUAGAUCACUAAUUUCGGUAUAAAAUUCAGUAUUGUGAUUAUCUAUGUGAAUAUUUCAGGAUUGAUUUGAGUACUCAAAAAUAGCAUGACUAACACGUGCCUCAGUUCUAUAUAACUAAUUUUGGUAUUAAAACUCAGUAUUAUGAUUAUACAUGUUAACAUUUCCAUACUGAUUUCAAUACGGAAAUACAACACCACGAUGACUCGACUCGGUAGUGUAUCACUAAUUUCAGUACCCAAAUUCAGUAUUGUGAUUAUCCACAUUAAUAUAUCAAUAUUGAUUUCAGUACUGAAAUACAAAAUGGCGAUCACCACACUCAGUUGUAUAUCACUAAUUUUGGUAUUAAAAUUCAGUAUUGCGAUUAUCCAUUUAAUAUUUCAAUACUGAUUUGAAGACUUAAAAGCAAAACGAUGUUCAUGAGACUUAGUUGUAUAUCACAAAUUUGUUACUAAUAUUCGGUACUGCGAUUAUCCAUGUUAAUACUUCAGUAUUGAUUUCAGUACUGAAAAAUAGCUGGAUGAACGCAUGACUCAAUUCUAUAUCACUAAUUUCGGUACUAAAAUAUAGCAUUGAGAUUAACCACGUUAAUAUUUCAAUACUGAAAAACAGCACCACGAUGACCCGACUGAGUUGUAGUACUGAAAAAUAAAACAAAAAUCACCUGAAUCAUUUCUAUGUAACUAAUUUUGGUAUAAAAUUUAGUAUUGCGGAUAUCCAUGUUAGUAUUUCAGUAUUAGUUUGAGUACUCAAAUAUAGCACGACUAACACCUGACUCACUUCUAUAUCACUAAUUUCGAUACUAAAACUCAGUAUUGUGAUUAUCCACUUUAAAAUUUCAAUACUGAUUUCAGUACAAAAAAACAGCACCAGGAUGACCCGACUCAGUUGUAUAUCACUAAUUUUGUUACUAAAACUCAGUAUUGCGAUUAUCCACUUAAUAUUUGAAUACUGAUUUCAAGACUUAAAAACAAACCGAUGAUCACAAGAAUUAGGUGUAUAUCAGAAAUUUGUUACUAAUAUUCGGUACUACGAUUAUCCAUGUUAAUAUUGUUGUAUUGAUUUCGGUAUAGAAAAAUAGCUCGACGAACGCAUGACUAAAUUCUAUAUCACUAAUUUCAGUACUAAAAUAUAGCAUUGAGAUUAACCAUGUUAAUAGUUCAAUACUGAAAAACAGCACCACGAUGGCCCGACUGAGUUGUAUAUUUCUAAUUUCGGUUCUAAAAUUCAGCAUUGUAAAUAUUUAAAUAUUGAUUUCAGUAUGAAAUACAGCACCAAGAUGAUCCGACUCUGUUCUAUACCAGUCAUUUCGGUACUAAAAUUCAGUAUUGCGAUUAUCCACUUUAAUACUUCAAUACUGGUGUCGGUGUCAAAACCGGCGGAUCUCGGGUAGGUCCCGAACUGUGCAUCUAGGCCGGAUGGUAACAGGAGGCAAGGGACACAAAGUUUUACCCAGGUUCGGGCCCUCUUGUUGGAGGUAAAACCCUACGUCCUUCUUGAUUAAUAUUGAUGAUAUGGGUAGUACAAGAGUUGAUCUACCACGAGAUCGUAGAGGCUAAAACCCUAGAAGCUAGCUUAUGGUAUGAUUGUUGUAUAUCUCUAUCGACUAGCCUGGCCUCGGUUUAUAUAAUGCACCAGAGGCCUAGGAUAACAAGAGUCCUAGCCGAAUACGCCGGUGGGGUGGAGUCCUUGUCUUGAUCGCCAAGUCUUUGUGGAAUCUUCCUUGUAUGCGGCAGCUGUCCGAACUGGCCCAUGAGUAUGCAGCCAUGGGGGUUGUCGGUGUCAAAACCGGCGGAUCUCGGGUAGGGGGUCCCGAACUGUGCGUCUAGGCCGGAUGGUAACAGGAGGCAGGGGACACGAAGUUUUACCCAGGUUCGGGCCCUCUCGAUGGAGGUAAAACCCUACGUCCUGCUUGAUUAAUAUUGAUGAUAUGGGUAUUACAAGAGUUGAUCUACCACGAGAUCAGAGAGGCUAAACCCUAGAAGCUAGCCUAUGGUAUGAUUGUUGAUGUGUAUGUUGUCCUACGGACUAAAACCCUCCGGUUUAUAUAGACACCGGAGAGAGUUAGGGUUACAUAAAGUCGGUUACAAUGGUAGGAGAUCUGAUCAUCCGCAUCGCCAAGCUUGCAUUCCACGCCAAGGAAAGUCCCUUCCGGACACGGGACGGAGUCUUCAAUCUUGUAUCUUCAUAGUCCAGGAGUCCGGCUGAAGGUAUAGUCCGGCCAUCCGGACACCCCCUAAUCCAGGACUCCCUAAGUAGCCCCUGAACCAGGCUUCAAUGACGACAGGUCCGGCGCGCAAAUUGUCUUCGGCAUUGCAAGGCAGGUUCCUCCUCCAAGUACUUCAUAGAAGAUCUUAAACACAAAGAUAGUGUCCGGCUCUGCAAAAUAAGUUUCCGCAUACUGCCAUAGAGAGAAUAAUAUUUACACAAAUCUGCUGACGUAUUCCGUGGUGCGACACACCACGACCAAGCCUUUAUCCGAGUCGUUUAAUUACCCACCUCAGCGUGUUAUGCGAGAUGGUUUCCUUGGCACGUCUUGUUAAAGCAGAGAUCGUGUCCCCUUAUUACGGGAUUCUCAUCAAUACAGGUGUGGGUAACCCAACCACUUCUAGGACUCCUAGAUCAUAGGCAAGUCCAAACGGACACGGGGAGGACGCUUGAUAUCCACCCUCUUUAUAAAGGGACAAAGCUUUUACUUUUCCCUCUCGUGCUCAAUCGAAUCCUUCCCCGCCUCAAGCUCAAACGCCCAAAGAUCAGGUCAGGUGCUCCGAACCUUCAGUCAUGUCCGGAUCCACCCUUCAAGGCCGAUGGAUGCCCUCCUCCGUCACGGAAGAAGACAUCAAAAGGUUGAGGGAGGCCAGGUAUCUGACCGCCGAAAUGUUGCAUCGGCUGCCUCCCAGGGGGCAGGUCGUCCCCUCUCCCAAACCCAACGAGAGCGUCGUGUUUGUCUCCCACUUCCUCCGAGGUCUAGGUUUUGCACUAGAUCCUUUCGUCAGGGGCUUGAUGUUUUAUUACAGGCUAGAUUUCCAUGAUCUAGCUCCGGACUCCUUCCUGCAUAUCACGGCUUUGGUUGUCGUAUGCGAGGCCUUCCUCCGGGUUACCUCCCACUUUGGCUUAUGGCUCAAGACCUUUGAAGUAAAGCCGAAGAUGAUCGAAGGGCAACAUGCAGAGUGUGGAGGCGCCUCAAUACACAAUAUGACGGGAGCUCUGUGGCCCAAAGGUUCCAUCCCAAAGGUGUCUGCAUUGUGGCAACAGGAGUGGUUCUACAUCACGACUCCUAGAAGUGCCAAGUGGGCGGCCGCCCCCGUUUUUCACUCGGACCUUCCACCACGAUUGAUGUCAUGGAUCAGCAGAGGACUGAGCUGGGGUCCAGCCAAGGACGUGCCUUUACUGCAAAGCCGCAUUCGAGAUCUCUUCAACGAAGAUCUCAGUUUGGUUGUGGUAAUACAAGUUAUGCUGGUUCGUCAAGUCCAGCCUUGCAAACGUCGGCCCCUUCACUUGUGGGAGUUCAAUCCCGAGGGUCCGUGUGCCAUUCAAAAUUUUCUUGGCCUGACGCAUGAGGAUAUGUAUAAGUUAUUCUUCGGACCUCAAGUAGAGUGUCCGGAAAUCACCGAGGACGUGGGCCUGAGUAGUAACCGCGCCGCCGAACAGGUAAGGAAUCCUCCGGCCGAACAUAUUAUCUUUCCUUCGUUAUGAAGUUAUUUCUGAGAGUUUGCUUUUUCGACCAGGACUGGCUAACAAAGGCGAAUUUGAUUCAGUGUUUGGCCCCCCUCCCUGAGGGUUUGGAGAAUCCGGUAUUGGAAAAGAUGCUCCAGACCGCACCUUGCCCGGAUCCCUCGAAGGAAGAUACUAUGGAGGAUAAUGCGGGCGGACGCGGGCCCCCAACGCUGCCUAUUCGAACCGAGGGAGCGAGCGUCUCCAUGAAGGAAGACGACCGGAAGAGGAAAAGGACUGCGCUCGGGAAUUCGGAGGCCGAAACUUCCAAACGGGAGAAGAAAUCUUCCACCGGGGGCCCUACCUUGGGGGGCGCUGCUGCCGCACAAAGUCCGCGGGGGGAUCAAUUCUCCCGGGAGUCGUAAGUGACCCAAAAACUUUAAUAGUACAGAUAUGCCAUCCUUUUCUUCUGAGAAAAUAACCAUCGCAUAUAUUUGUGCAGUUCGGGCCUUAGCCCCUCUCAAAUGAGCUCGUCUUCGGGGGAUCUUCUUCCAGAGAUGAUGGAGAGCGAGAUGCCUCCUCCGGACUCCUCCGCUCCAGAAGCGGGCGACCCUGAAGUGUCGUCGCGGAGGGCCUCUCCGAGUCCGGUGAGACCAGAAGGUAAUCCUAUUGAUCCCCGAGGCUCCCAGUGUCCGACUCCCGAAGAGAGCAGACAAAAGAGUCCGGCACCGUCUAGUGUGCGAUCGGAUGUUCUGAGGGAGUUGGUGGGGCGAGCGGCCAUCUCAGAUGAUCACCGUGUGCUGAUGAAUAUGGUGAUGGAGAGGAUAUCGUCCGCAGAAAGCGGAUUGCAUGAAGCCUUUAUGAGUCUACUGACACGCUUUGAGGUACGUAAAAGGAAUGUGUGAUAGUCCUACACAUGCUAGGUGUGCCCUGUGUAGAUAGUAGCCCCUGAGACUCUGGUUGUCGUCGGAAACGAUGACGAACGGAGGAUCAUAUUCCCAGAUAAUAACCAUACUGCCUCUAUGUGCAGGAGAUGGAAGCUCCGGUGGCCAGCCGGACUAGUGAUGUCUACUACACGACCUUAUUCUUGUAGACGUUGUUGGGCCUCCAAGUGUAGAGGUUUGUAGGACAGUAGCAAAUUUCCCUCAAGUGGAUGACCUAAGGUUUAUCAAUCCGUAGGAGGCAUAGGAUGAAGAUGGUCUCUCUCAAGCAACCCUGCAACCAAAUAACAAAGAGUCUCUUGUGUCCCCAACACACCCAAUACAAUGGUAAAUUGUAUAGGUGCACUAGUUCGGCGAAGAGAUGGUGAUACAAGUGCAAUAUGGAUGGUAGAUAAAGGUAUUUGUAAUCUGAAAAUAUAAAAACAGCAAGGUAACUAAUGAUAAAAGUGAGCGUAAACGGUAUUGCAAUGAUAGGAAAUAAGGCCUAGGGUUCAUACUUUCACUAGUGUAAGUCCUCUCAACAAUACUAACAUAAUUGGAUCAUAAAAUUAUCCCUCAACAUGCAAAAAAGAGUCACUCCAAAGUCAAUAAUAGCGGAGAACGAACGAAGAGAUUAUGGUAGGGUAUGAAACCACCUCAAAGUUAUUCUUUCCAAUCAAUCCGUUGGGCUAUUCCUAUAAGUGUCACAAACAGCCCUAGAGUUUGUACUAGAAUAACACCUUAAGAUACAAAUCAACCAAAACCCUAAUGUCACCUAGAUACUUCAAUGUCACCUCAAGUAUCCGUGGGCAUGAUUAUACGAUAUGCAUCACACAAUCUCAAUUCAUCUAUUCAACCAACACAAAGAACCUCAAAGAGUGCCCCAAAGUUUCUACCGGAGAAUCACGACGAAAACGUGUGCCAACCCCUAUGCAUAGGUUCCCAAUGUCACGAAAACCCGCAAGUUGGUCACCAAAACGUACAUCAAGUGGCACGUGGUAUCCCAUUGUCACCACAGAUAUCCACGGCAAGACAUACAUCAAGUGUUCUCAAGUCUUUAAAGACUCAAUCCGAUAAAAUUACUUCAAAGGGGAAACUCGAUUCAUUACAAGAGAGAAGAGGGGGGAAGAAACAUCAUAGGAUCCAAAUAUAAUAGCAAAGCUCGCGAUACAUCAAGAUCGUAUCAUCUCAAGAACAUGAGAGAGAGAGAGAGAGAUCAAACACAUAGCUACUGGUACAUACCCUCAGCCCCGAGGGAGAACUACUCCCUCCUCGUCAUGGAGAGCACCGGGAUGAUGAAGAUGGCCACUGGAGAAGGAUUGCCCCCUCCGGCAGGGUGCCGGAAUGGGUCUAGAUUGAGUUUCGGUGGCUAUGGAGGCUUCUGGCAGCGGAAUUAGGUUUUUUGCUCCGUCCUUGGUCUAAUGGGGGUACGUAGGUAUAUAUAGGAGGAAGGAGCACGUCGGUGGAGCUCUGAGGGGCCCAUGAGGCAGGGGGGCGCGCCCUCCACCCUCGUGACCUCCCCAGAAACUUCUUGGAGUAGGGUCCAAGUCUCCUGGAUCACGUUCGGUGAGAAGAUCACGUUCCCGAAGGUUUCAUUCCGUUUGGAUUCCGUUUGAUAUUCUGUUUACUCGAAAUACUGAAAUAGGCAAAAAACAACAAUUCUGGGCUGGGCCUCCGGUUAAUAGGUUAGUCCCAAAAAUAAUAUAAAAGUGGAAAAUAAAGCCCAAUAUAGUCCAAAAUAGUAGAUAAAGUAGCAUGGAGCAAUCAAAAAUUAUAGAUACGUUGGAGACGUAUCAGGCAUCCCCAAGCUUAAUUCCUGCUCGUCCUCGAGUAGGUAAAUGAUAAAAAGAGAAUUUUUGAUGUGGAGUGAUACUUUGGCAUAAUUUCAAUGUAAAUCUUCUUAAUCAUGGUAUGAAUAUUCAGAUCCUAAAGGUUCAAGACAAAAGUUCAUAUUGACAUAAAAAUGAUAAUACUUCAAGCAUACUAAUUAAACAAUUAUGUCAUCUCAAAAUAACAUGGCCAAAGGAAGUUCAUCCCUACAAAAUCAUAUAGUUAGGCUAUGCUUCAUUUUCAUCACACAAAGAUGUUCCCAACUUCUAUACCCCCGAUGACAAGCCAAGCAAUUGUUUCAUACUCAAAUAAUCUCAAAUUUUUUCAACCUUCACGCAAUACAUGAGCGCGAGCCAUGGACAUAGCACUAUGGGUGGUAUAGAAUAUGAUGAUGGGGAUUGUGUGGAGAAGACAAAAAAGGAGAAAGUCUCACAUCAACGAGGCUAAUCAAUGAGCUAUGGAGAUGCCCAUCAAUUGAUGUUAAUGCAAGGAGUAGGGAUUGCCAUGCAACAGAUGCACUAGAGCUAAGAAUGCUCAACAAAAGAAAACUAGUGGGUGUGCAUCCAACUUGCUUGCUCAUGAAGACCUAGGGCAUUUUGAGGAAGCCCAUCGUUGGAAUAUACAAGCCAAGUUCUAUAAUGAAAAAUUCCCAGUAGUAUGAACAAGACAACUUAUGAGACUCACUAUAUGAAAAUCAUGGUGCUACUUUGAAGCACAAUAUAUGAGACUCACUACAUGAAGAACAAGGUGCUACUUUGAAGCAUAAGUGUGGAAAAAGAGAUAGUAGCAUUGCCCUUUUUAUUUUAUCCUUCUUUUUUUGGGGGCCUUUCUUUUUUUUCUUUUUGGCCUUUCUCUCCUUUUUUGAUUGGGAAUGCUCUAAUAAUGAUGAUCAUCACACUUCUAUUGAUUACAACAUAAUGAUUACAACUCGAUACUAGAACAAGAUAUGACUCUAUAUGAAUGCCUCUGGCAGUGUACCAGGAUGGUGCAAUGAAUCAAGAGUGACAUGUAUGAAAAAUAAUGCAUGGUGGCUUUGCCACAAAUACGAUGUCAACUACAAGAUCAUGCAAUGGCAAUAUGACAAAAGUAAAGCAUGUCAUGAUGAUGAUGAUGAUGAUGAUGAUCGAAGUUGCAUGGCAAUAUAUCUCGGAAUGGCUAUGGAAAUGCCAUGAUAGGUAGGUAUGGUGGCUGUUUUGAGGAAGAUAUAGGGAGGUUUAUGUGUGAAAGAGUGUAUCAUGUCACGGGGUUUGGAUGCACCGGCGAAGUUUGCACCAACUCUCAAUGUGAGAAAGGGCAAUGCACGGUACCGAAGAGGCUAGCAAAUGGCGGAAAGGUAAAAGUGCGUAUAAUCCAUGGACUCAACAUUAGUCAAAAGAACUCAUAUACUUAUUGCAAAAAUUUAAAAUUCAUCAAAAAUCAAGUACUAUGCGCAUUCUCCUAGGGGGAUAGGUUGGUAGGAAAAGACCAUCACUCGUCCCCGACCGCCACUCAUAAGGAUGCACAAGCCAGGUACACUUCAUGCUUCAAAUUUGUUACACAACUUUAACCAUACGUGCAUGCUACGGGACUUGCUAACUUCAACACAAGUAUUUCUCAAAUUCACAACUGCUCAACUAGCACGACUAUGAUAUUAUCACCUCCAUAUCUCAAAACAAUUAUCAAGCAUCAAACUUAUCUUAGUAUUCAACCCACUAAAAAGAAAGUUUCACAUAUCUUGAAUACCAAGUAUAUAUUAACAUUAAGCAAAUUACCAUGCUAUUAACGACUCUCAAAAUAAUCUAAGUGAAGCAUGAGAGAUCAAGUUUCUUUAAAACAAACCACCACCGUGCUUUAAAAGAUCUAAGUGAAGCACUAGAGCAAAAAUUAUCACGCUCAAAAAGAUAUAAGUGAAGCACAUAGAGUAUUCUAACAAAUUUCAAUUCAUGCAUGGCUCUCUCAAAAGGUGUGUACAGCAAGGAUGAUUGUGGUAGACUAACAAGCAAAGACACAAAUAAUACAAGACGCCCCAAGCAAAACAUCAUGUGGUGAAUGAAAAUAUAGCUCCAAGUAAAUUACCGAUGGAAGUGGACAAAAGAGGGGAUGCCUUCCGGGGCAUCCCCAAGCUUUGACUUUUUGGUGUCCUUGGAUUAUCUUGGGGGUGCCAUGGGCAUCCCCAAGCUUAGGCUCUUGCCACUCCUUGUUCCAUAAUCCAUCAAAAGAAUUCACCCAAAACUUGAAAACUUCACAACACAAAACUCAAUAGAAAUCUCGUGAGCUCCGUUAGAGAAAGAAAACAAAAGACUACUUUAAGGUACUGUAGUGAACUUGUUCUUUAUUUGUAUUGCUGUUAAACCUACUGUAUUCCAACUUCUCUAUGGUUUAUAAACUCUUUCACUAGCCAUAGAUUCAUCAAAAUAAGCAAACAACACACGCAAAACAGAAUCUGUCAAAAACAGAACAGUCUGUAGUAAUCUGUUACUAACGCAAACUUCUGGAACCCAAAACAUUCUACCAAAAUUAGACGAACUGGGAAAUUUGUUUAUUGAUCAGCAUCAAUUGGAAUCACUAUUUUAUCACGUUCUGGUGAUUUUUGACAAUUCGGUCACUGAGCGCAAAGAUUCUGGAAUUUACAGCAAGAUCAAAUAACUAUCUUCCAAGAAGAUCUAAUAGGUUUAACUUGGCACAAACACUAAUUAAAAGGUAAAACCACAUCUAAACAGAAUCUAGAUGGAUUAUUUAUUCCUAAAAAAACCAAAAACAAAAAACACAAAAUAAAAUUGGGUUGCCUCCCAACAAGCGCUAUCGUUUAACGCCCCUAGCUAGGCAUGAUGAUUUCAAUGAUGCUCACAUAAAAGAUAAGAAUUGAAACAUAAAGAGAGCAUCAUGAAGAAUAUGACUAGCACAUUUAAGUCUAACCCACUUCCUAUGCAUAGGGAUUUUGUGAACAAACAACUUAUGGGAACAAGAAUCAUCUUGCAUAGGAAGGUAAAACAAGCAUAACUUCAAAACUUUAAGCACAUAGAGAGGAAACUUGAUAUUAUUGCAAUUCCUACAAGCAUAUGUUCCUCCCUCAUAAUAAUUUUCAGUAGCAUCAUGAAUGAAUUCAACAAUAUAACCAGCACCUAAAGCAUUCUUUUCAUGAUCUACUUGCAUAGAAAUUUUAUUACUCUCCAUAUAAGCAAAAUUCUUCUCAUUCGGAAUAGUAAUGGGAGCAAACUCAACAAAAUAACUAUCAUAUGAUAGAGAAUUAAGAUCAAGAUGACAAGUUUCAUGGUUAUCAUUAUUCUUUAAAGCAUACGUGUCAUCACAAUAAUCAUCAUAGAUAGGAGGCAUGCUUUCAUCAUAGUAAAUUUGCUCAUCAAAACUUGGGGGACAAAAAAUAUCAUCUUCAUCAAAAAUAGCUUCCCCAAGCUUGUGGCUUUGCAUAUCAUAAGCAUCAUGGAUAUUCAAGGAAUUCAUACUAACAACAUUGCAAUCAUGCUCAUCAUUCAAAUAUUUAGUGCCAAACAUUUUAUAGAUUUCUUCUUAUAGCACUUGAGCACAAUUAUCCUUUCCAUCAUACUCACGAAAGAUAUUAAAAAGGUGAAGCGUAUGAAACAAACUCAAUUCCAUUUUUUAUGUAGUUUUCUUUUAUAAACUAAACUAGUGAUAAAACAAGAAACUAAAAGACUCAAUUGCAAGAUCUAAAGAUAUACCUUCAAGCACUCACCUCCCCGGCAACGGCGCCAAAAAAGAGCUUGAUGUCUACUACACAACCUUCUUCUUGUAGACGUUGUUGGGCCUCCAAGUGCAGAGGUUUGUAGGACAGUAGCAAAUUUCCCUCAAGUGGAUGACCUAAGGUUUAUCAAUCCUUAGGAGGCGUAGGAUGAAGAUGGUCUCUCUCAAGCAACCCUGCAACCAAAUAACAAAGAGUCUCUUGUGUCCCCAACACACCCAAUACAAUGGUAAAUUGUAUAGGUGCACUAGUUUGGCGAAGAGAUGGUGAUACAAGUGCAAUAUGGAUGGUAGAUAAAGGUAUUUGUAAUCUGAAAAUAUAAAAACAGCAAGGUAACUAAUGAUAAAAGUGAGCGUAAACGCUAUUGCAAUGAUAGGAAAUAAGGCCUAGGGUUCAUACUUUCACUAGUGUAAGUCCUCUCAACAAUACUAACAUAAUUGGAUCAUAAAAUUAUCCCUCAACAUGCAACAAAGAGUCACUCCAAAGUCACUAAUAGCGGAGAACGAACGAAGAGAUUAUGGUAGGGUACGAAACCACCUCAAAGUUAUUCUUUCCAAUCUGUGACGCCCGGGUAAUUAAACUACAGUAACCCUCUACUAAGGAUGCCACGUCACCUCGGUUACUGUUGAUAAUCUCUUAUUAGUUCAAAAACCGAUUCAAAUUCAAAUUCAAAAUCAAGUAAACAAUAAAAGUUUUCAAGUAUUAAAACUAAAAUGUUCGGAGUGAGCCAAAUAAUGCAUAGGUAAUUAUGGUGGAGAAACCACACCUUUAUAAAUUUUUAAAUACCAUAAGAUGAAUAAAAUAGCAGUAAAAACAAUAAUUUAAAUACCUUUGGUAAUUAAUAAAAUAUCAAACUAAUUUAUUUGAGGACUAGACUUUUUGUGACUAUGGGCUAAGUUGAAAUACUAAUUUAUAUUGCUACGUGUAUAUUUUACUAAAACUAAAAUUAAUAAGAAACAAAACUAAAACAGAAAAGGUAACAUAAAUAAAAAAAGAAAAAGGCAAAACCGAAAAUAAAACAAGAGAAAAGGAAAACCCCCCUCCCCUGGGCCAAGGCCCAGCUGGCCAGGCCAGGCCGGCCCACUCCCCACGUCGCCUCCUCCUCUAUUCACAGAGGGGGACGUGGGCAGAGCCGAUGCCCGCCACGGCACCGGCCGACGCCGUGGCGGCCAUCCGGCCGGCGACCCCAGCCUACAAGACCCCGGUACCCCUCUCUAAACCUAGCCGGACCCCCACUCCCCCUCCUCGCGCCCCCAUCUCCCUCCCCUCGUCUUCCCCGCGGCGACCCGACGCCGUUGCCCGAAGCUGCUGUCGCCGCGUCGCCAUCAUUGUCGUACAUGUUGCCAUCGGCCACCUUCGUCGUCCGUUGGCGUCCGGGAGGUUCACCGUCGUCCCCUACGUCGUCUACGCACCACCGUUCGAGCCCGGGGCCACUACAUCGAGCGGAUCGAACUCUUCUUCAACCUUCGUCCACCGGCGCGCCUCUGUCGACUCCGUCGUCGUCCUGUGCUCCGGGCCCUCACCGAGCCUUUCGUGCGCUCCCCGGUGAGCUCCCGCUCGAAAGCCCUCUCCCUAGUUCUCGAAUCCGUGUCCGUAGCCGCCGUUCCCGUCGCGGCCAAAGCUCAUCGCCGCCGGCCAUGUCGUCGCAAAGCUCACAGCUGCUGUCGCUCGCACCUGUGCUUGGUCUUGAGCUCCUUGAGCUCCCACGAAGACAACGCGCCCGUCCGCUCACGCCAUGGCCGCCCUCGACCCUUGUGCUCCCCUGCAUCCCCGCGCACAGUCUGGCCGCACACCUACAGCCACCCGUGCGGCAGCCCGUGCGGCGGCUGCGCCUACUGCUGUGCGCGCUUGUAUCUGUCGCUGCCGUGGCCCCUAUUGCUCCUGCCGCUGUUGUUUGACACUGAAUCCUGCUGCUUCCUUCUUCAGUUAGGCUAGGUGUCGAUUUAUUCAGUUUCGUCAGUAUAAGCAUGCACCGUACAUGCAAGUCUUUGUUUUGUGCAUGUAGUAGCUAGUGUCGCGGUGUUAGCUCCCGUGGGAUAGUGUGGCCAUUAGCUCAAACGUGGCUGGUAGAUUAGGAAGGAUCUCUUGCUGUAACGACAUGGCGCUGCAGUUAGUAGCACGCAACACAAAGUACUCUCUCACAGUUCUUCAGUUACAGAGCGUCGAGAGAGUGCGAGGACAUCGGCAGCAACUACAACUGCCUCUGCCGCUCGCGCCGUGCCCUACGCCCGUCCGUGCGCGCCCGCCUGCAAUGGUCACGCCCGCACCCGCUACGUCCUGGCGCAUGGCCUUCGUGCGCGCCUGUGCACAACCACGCUGGGGCUGGCCUUUGUGCCUCUGCUAGCGGGUCCCCAACCAUCCCAAUUAAGGGGCUAAUCCCCUAUUAGCCCAUAAUACCCUCCUGUUUAGUUUAUUUCGGUUUAACUGAUUAGUUAGUCUAGACCCUAUGACAUGUGAACCGUACUGUAAAUUAAAAUGAUCAGACAAGUUAAAAAUGCUUAAGUCUAUGACACGCGGGACCCAUGCACUAUUCACUGAUUGACCUAGUCAACACCGGCUGUGCUGUUGACUUUGACCUGCCCCCACAUGUCAUUGACUGUGCCUGGCACUACACUAGCUGACAAGAGUAAUUUUACUUUUUAUUUUCGAAAUAAUAAUGAAUCCAGAAAUUCUAGGAUAUUGUUAAAACUUUAGGAAAUCAUAUAAAAUAAACGUAAGUCGGAUGAAAAUAAUUUGUAUAUGAAAGUUGCUCGGAACGACGAGACGAACCCGGAUACGCAGCCCGUUCGUCCACCACACACCUCUAACAUACCAAACACGCAACUUUCCCCCUCCGGUUCAUCUGUCCGAAAACACGAAACACCGGGGAUAUUUUCCCGGAUGUUUCCCCCCUUAACCGGUACCACCUCAUACCACGCUAGGGCACCCCUAGCACCGUUACUUGUCUUGUCAUGCACCGCCAUGCUUAUGUUUGCAUUAUAUUUAUUGUUUCUUCCCCCUCUUCUCUCUGGUAGACUACGAGACCGACGCUGCUGCUGCCCAGUUCGACUACGGAGUUGACGACCCCUCUCUCUUGCCAGAGCAACCAGGCAAGCCCCCCCCUGAUCACCAGAUAUCGCCUAUUCUACUCUAUACUGCUUGCAUUAGAGUAGUGUAGCAUGUUACUGCUUUCAGUUAAUCCUAUACUGCUGCAUAGCCUGUCCUUGCUACUACUGUUGUUACCUUUACCUGUAAUCCUACAUGCUUAGUAUAGGAUGCUAGUAUUUCCAUCUGUGGCCCUACAUUCUUGUCCGUCUGCUAUGCUAUACUAUCGGGCUGUGAUCACUCGGGAGGUGAUCACGGGUAUAUACUAUAUACUUAUACAUGAUACAUGUGGAGACUAAAGUCGGGUCGGCUGGUGGAGCACCCGCGAGUGGAUCUUUGUGGCGGAGCGACAGGGCAGGUUGAGACCGCCUAGGAGAGAGGUGGGCCUGGCCCUGUUCGGCGUUCGCAGAUACUUAACACGCUUAACGAGAUCUUGGUAUUUGAUCUGAGUUGGCUACGAGCCUAUACGCACUAACCAACUACGUGGGAAAGAUAUGGGCACUCGGCGUCGUGGUAUCAGCCGAAGCACUUCGUGAUGCCAGCGACUGAGUGGCGCGCGCCGGAUUGGAACGUAAGCCUGCUCUUGUAUUAAGGGGGCUAGUUCUGCUUCCGGCCGCGUACGCAACGUGCAGGUGUGCUCAGGGCGAUGGCCCAGACCCCUGCGCGCUUAGGUUUAGACCGGCGUGCUGGCCUCUCUGUUGAGCCUAGGUGGGGCCGCGACGUGUUGAUCUUCCGCGGCCGGGCAUGACCCAGGAAAGUGUGUCCGGCCAAAUGGGAUCAAGCGUGUUGGGUAAGUUGGUGCACUCGAAUAGUCGUGAUCUUCGGUAACAGGACGACUUGGAGUUGUACCUUGACCUUAUGACAACUAGAACCGGAUACUUAAUAAAACACACCCUUCCAAGUUCCACAGACAACCCGGUGAUCGCUUUUCUACAGGGCGACGAGGAGAGGAUCGCCGGGUAGGUUUAUGCUAUGCGAUGCUACUUGGAGAUGCUACUUGGAGAUGCUACUUGAAGAUGCUACUUGGAGGACUUCAAUCUACUCUCUUCUACAUGCUGCAAGACGGAGGCUGCCAGAAGCGUAGUCUUCGCUAGGACUAGCUAUCCCCCCUUUUUAUUAUGGCAUUCUGCAGUUCAGUCCACCGAUAUGGCCUCCUUACACAUAUACCCAUGCAUAUGUAGUGUAGUUCCUUGCUUGCGAGUACUUUGGAUGAGUACUCACGGUUGCUUUCUCCCCCCUUUUCCCCCUUUCGUUUCUUUCUGGUUGUCGCAACCAGAUGCUGGAGUCCAGGAGCCAGACGCCACCGUCGACGACGACCCCUACACCGGAGGUGUCUACUACUACGUGCUGCCCGCUGACGACGACCAGGAGUAGUUUGGAGGAUCCCAGGCAGGAGGCCUGCGCCUCUUUCGAUCUGUAUCCCAGUUUGUGCUAGCCUUCUUACGGCAAACUUGUUUAACUUAUGUCUGUACUCAGAUAUUGUUGCUUCCGCUGACUCGUCUAUGAUCGAGCACUUGUAUUCGAGCCCUCGAGGCCCCUGGCUUGUAUUAUGAUGCUUGUAUGACUUAUUUAUGUUUUAGAGUUGUGUUGUGAUACCUUCCCGUGAGUCCCUGAUCUUGAUCGUACACAUUUGCGUGCAUGAUUAGUGUACGAUUGAAUCGGGGGCGUCACAAGUUGGUAUCAGAGCCAACUGCCUGUAGGAAUCCCCCUUUCCAACUUCUUGGCCGAAGUCGAGUCUAGACAUUACAAAACUUUUACUAACAUGGCUGUGUGCCUUACGGGCCCACGUCGCCAUUGGGUGGUACUAGGAUCUUUUACUCCUCGACCUUUACUCUGGGACUCUGAUCUCUCCUCUAUUCGGGUUAAAUGAAGUUUACUAAAUCUAACAUUAGGAUCUCGUUAUCACUUUCACCCGGAGAGCCCCUUAUUACUAAUGAUCGUCUGCUGCACCAGAAGACCCUGAAGAUACUCUCCGCUGUUAACCCGAGAACUUGUGUUCAUCGCGUUUGCAAUUCACCUUCCACCGCAAACCCUUAUGGAUAACUACUUGCCUUUGUUAUUCUUACAUUCAUCCCAGUGGUCUUGUUAUUACAAGAUACCCUGAAAAACUCGUCGUUGUUUCGAUAAUCCCUUGAGCUUACUGCCUUGCUGUUCUUUGUCACUUGAAUACCCCUACGGUUAAUUCUCGCACUUAUCGAGUAUCCACUCAUCCCCAGUUGAUUCAUGUAUUUCACAAAAGUCUUCGAAAUGCCAUUCGAUCUUCCGAAAAUCCCGAGCAGCCUAUUCCUCUUGAAAUUCUUGCUUGCUUGCAUUAUGGUUAGUCCCAUAAGUCUCAUAGUCUUAUUGACAUUCCUUGUCAUUAUCAUUUUGAGUCUGUUGACUCAAUAUGUUUGCGAAUACCCGCAAACAUCAUUGAUCCUUAUAAAUUACCUUUCCGGCUGAGCUGCCAUUCUUUUAACUAGAAUUGGUUCUCGACCAACCUAAGGCUAUUCAACUUAUCCAUCCCUAAUCAGAGCAUUGCUUCUGAUCCCUUGAUUUGGAAAUCAUAAUUCCUUUGCAUUUGACAAUUGAGUUAGUCAGUUGUUUCUAUAAUUUGAUCUCCUUGCACUCUUCUUCCUCUAGUUGAGUACCGAUGCUCACGUCAGAUCCCUUGUGGACCAUCAGGUCCAUUGUUGGAUUUUAUCCGUCACCAUCCUUCAUAUUCAAUAACCUUGUGAGCCUUCCCUUGGAUACAUAAUGCCCUUGGUAAUUGUAUCAUCUACUUUCUCAACCUUGCUCUACUUUCGAGCUUGUGAUAUUUACUCUUGAAACUUGUGGUAUAUGUUUCUAAGAAGCCCCUAUAGGUUGAACCUAUGCCUUCCUUAAUAUGUGUGAACUCGAAAGUUUUCACAAGUCAUACUCUUCUGGUAUUUUGCCAGAUAAAAUUUCAACACUACGACUUCAUUGAACGCGAGAAGUGAAUGAAAGGUUGUGCAUUGGAGAAGUGGGAGUCGACCUUGAACUUUGUGUUCAUGCCCAUGGACACGAUGUACAUCUUCUCAUCGAAGCUUCUUUUAAAAUUAAUUAUUCCCUUGGUAUAAGUUCAUCUUAUAGCUGAGAUUUGGCCUUUUUGCAAUCGUGGUUCCGACCAUGUUCUCCCUUAAAUACCAUUUCUUGUGCAAGUUUAAGCACUUGUCUUUUGCAGAGCAACUCCCCAGUCCAACCUCUACUUUGAUUCGUCGUCGAGUAUUACCCUCCUGGUAUCUCGAGAUUAUCUUGGAAUUGCAUAACUUCUUAUGAGUUCUUCAUCAAGUACUACAUUCUCACUGAUUACAGUUUUUCACGUGCUCGGAGUUAUUAAACACUCACGGACAUUGAUAACUGAAUCGAGUCCGCCUCGCGAUUAAAUAACUCGUAGUAAUCUUCUUUGCUUACGAGUUUGUACCCAUUCCUAGCCUGUUGGGCUAUAUCAUUGUCGUGAUGAUUCUAAUUGUGCUACCUGGUCCUUAUUCUCGGAGCACCAAUUUGCGACGAUAGCUAAGCUUACGCCAAUCUCCCUCAUCAUUCCAUUUCGCCUUGAACAACAAGCUUGAUUUCAAGUUUGUGUCCUACCCAUGGUUCCAAUAACCUUCCGCUUCAUCAUUACUUUGAUCUGAUGUCAUCGCUGAUUGAAUCAUCUUCAUGAAAUCCCUCGACAAAUGUGUCGUGAUCGUCAUCGACCUUAUGAGCUCUUCCAGGAUAUCAAUUGAGUUCAUGAUGAGAAAUAUUAUCCUUGCCCCCGAUGAUUUGUGUUAGUUUUGACCACUUUAUUGCCUUCCGGUCAACACAAACGUGUUCGUGUUUUGUGUUAUACCUUGAGUUUCCUGCUAUCCAGCAUUUGUUCUACUUUACCUUGGAGUAUUACCAUCUUUUAAAUAUCAAGGAUGUUGUGAGGAUUGCUCCACCUCUUAAGAAUUCUUGGAAUAGUGAUACUUCUCAUCAUCACCAUUCUUUCUUGGUCCUCACGUUGAUUCCAACCGGGGUACCAACAAGAAUGGUGCUGUUUGGAUUCUGCCUUUCUAGCAACCCUAUUACUUUGAAGUUAAUGGCUGGCCAUUCAUUCUUAGACUAUUGAUUAUUGAAUCACCAUUCUGACAUUGGUCGUGCAGCCCAACCCAUAUUUCGGGCGCACCUUUCUACCAAUGUUUAAUUGUGUAUGUUUUCCUCAAACAUGCUUCAUUAUAUCAUUUGAUCCGACAAAUGAUAUUUCCUUGUUCACCUAAUUGUGGAAACCCAUCUUUUGUUAAUCUCGAUGAAUUACCGCUGAUUCCACCAGCCACCUCCUCAUCCUCUCGUUGGUUUACUGAUGAACUCAUGUUUCGAAACUCCCUUCCAUAGUUCAUUUCCCGAGAAUCUUGCAAUGUCAUUUCGUUGAUUUGCGUUGCACCUUUUCUUCUUAGGUAUCCUAAGUCUGAGGUAUCCUGACACCAAUCGGAUCUGAAUCUCGGUCAGAUAUGAUGGUUGGGACAACUUUCCAAGAGUUAUGAUGUUGAUCCUUUGAUGACCCGGUAACAUGAUGUCAUGCCUAGCACCCCCUCCCCCGGCUGGAGGACCUAUCAUUAUAGAUACCUUUUCAGCAAGGUUAUCCAUUCAUCCAUGAGGAAAUUGUAAGACUUAUUCUACAAGUUAUUCCUGAUGGAUCCUUCGUGUUUCCAAAGUCUGAUCUUUACCUGAAGACCAUGUCAAUGUUAUCUCGAAGCAUGUCAAUGGUACUCCGAUUUGCAACAGGAACAUUUGAAGCACGAUGCUAGAUUUUAUUUAUCAUUUAUCCUAACACCGUUGUAUGGGUAAUAUCAUGAGAUUCUCCCCCCCCCUUACCUAAAUGGUUUUCUACUUUAUAUCCUGUCAUGGAUAUCUUGCUCUGCUUGUCCUUGGGAAGGAUAUACCCUUGAAAUAUGUGUUUAAACAUAUUUUCCUUUCCAUUGUUCUGUUUAAUCUGAUGAUCAUAUUUUCCCUCCAUUAGUUUGUUUAAACCUUUUCUAUGAUCUAUAUGAUAUAAGCAGUAAUAAUCCACUGCUUGUGCAAACACCUCGAUGUACAACUUUGUCAGUAAGACCCUGUUUCUAGUGUUGACGACAUUUCGGUAGCCACCGACGGACGGGAACUUUGCCUAUUGGUCCGCCUCGUUCAACGAGCAGGAAAAUGGUUCUCUUCGUCCCUUGCCCUUGGUAUCGAUGUUGUUGUCGACAUAACUGACAGGCUAUCCUCUGACAUGUCUUGCUUACAUGAUCGUGCGAGACAUUACCGCCCUUCCUACUUUUAACCCACAUGGUGGGCCCAUAACCCACAGUUCCACCAGGAUCGAAACCUGACUCUCCUGUACACCCCCUGUUCCCAAAGUUAUUCCUCCUGCAUGGACUCGUACAUAAUUCAUGAGCCACCUUCCGAUGGGAUCAUCAAUUCUGGCAAUGAAAACAAUAAUUAUUCCGUUGCUUGAAACCCCUUUCACCUUCUGACUAGGCAUUGAACGAUUGCUUGGCUACCUGAAACUUCUUGUUGGACCUUCCAACUUUACUCUCGAUGUGUUCUAUUUGUUCAACUCGAGAGGUACUCAUAUGCUCAUUCAUGGGUUAAUCCCAGGUUAUUACCCUUAUAGCAUUCUAUCGUUUUCGAUCUACCCCGUUACCUAUUCGUAAAUACGAUGAAGAUCCCGAAGAAAAGAUGCCGACUUCAUCAUAAGGACCUGAAGCAGAGAAAUGAAGACAUCAAUGUAUUGGACCGGUUCUAUUCGAGAAGAGCAAGCCAGAAUGAGAAGACCCGCUAGAUUCGUAACCGAACCUUCCCCCCCUUUCACUACCUCUUAAAUCUCGGGACGAGAUUUCUUGUAGUGGAGGAGAUUUGUGACGCCUGGGUAAUUAAACUACAGUAACCCUCUACUAAGGAUGCCACGUCACCUCGGUUACUGUUGAUAAUCUCUCGUUAGUUCAAAAACCGAUUCAAAUUCAAAUUCAAAAUCAAGUAAACAAUAAAAGUUUUCAAGUAUUAAAACUAAAAUGUUCGGAGUGAGCCAAAUAAUGCAUAGGUAAUUAUGGUGGAGAAACCACACCUUUAUAAAUUUUUAAAUACCAUAAGAUGAAUAAAACAGCAGUAAAAACAAUAAUUUAAAUACCUUUGGUAAUUAAUAAAAUAUCAAACUAAUUUAUUUGAGGACUAGACUUUUUGUGACUAUGGGCUAAGUUGAAAUACUAAUUUAUAUUGCUACGUGUAUAUUUUACUAAAACUAAAAUUAAUAAGAAACAAAACUAAAACAGAAAAGGUAACAUAAAUAAAAAAAGAAAAAGGCAAAACCGAAAAUAAAACAAGAGAAAAGGAAAACCCCCCUCCCCUGGGCCAAGGCCCAGCUGGCCAGGCCAGGCCGGCCCACUCCCCACGUCGCCUCCUCCUCUAUUCACAGAGGGGGACGUGGGCAGAGCCGAUGCCCGCCACGGCACCGGCCGACGCCGUGGCGGCCAUCCGGCCGGCGACCCCAGCCUACAAGACCCCGGUGCCCCUCUCUAAACCUAGCCGGACCCCCACUCCCCCUCCUCGCGCCCCCAUCUCCCUCCCCUCGUCUUCCCCGCGGCGACCCGACGCCGUUGCCCGAAGCUGCUGCGCCGCGUCGCCAUCGUUGUCGUGCAUGUUGCCAUCGGCCACCUUCGUCGUCCGUUGGCGUCCGGGAGGUUCACCGUCGUCCCCUACGUCGUCUACGCACCACCGUUCGAGCCCGGGGCCACUACAUCGAGCGGAUCGAACUCUUCUUCAACCUUCGUCCACCGGCGCGCCUCCGUCGACUCCGUCGUCGUCCUGUGCUCCGGGCCCUCACCGAGCCUUUCGUGCGCUCCCCGGUGAGCUCCCGCUCGAAAGCCCUCUCCCUAGUUCUCGAAUCCGUGUCCGUAGCCGCCGUUCCCGUCGCGGCCAAAGCUCAUCGCCGCCGGCCAUGUCGUCGCAAAGCUCACAGCUGCUGUCGCUCGCACCUGUGCUUGGUCUCGAGCUCCUUGAGCUCCCAUGAAGACAACGCGCCCGUCCGCUCACGCCAUGGCCGCCCUCGACCCUUGUGCUCCCCUGCAUCCCCGCGCACAGUCUGGCCGCACACCUACAGCCACCCGUGCGGCAGCCCGUGCGGCGGCUGCGCCUACUGCUGUGCGCGCUUGUAUCUGUCGCUGCCGUGGCCCCUAUUGCUCCUGCCGCUGUUGUUUGACACUGAAUCCUGCUGCUUCCUUCUUCAGUUAGGCUAGGUGUCGAUUUAUUCAGUUUCGUCAGUAUAAGCAUGCACCGUACAUGCAAGUCUUUGUUUUGUGCAUGUAGUAGCUAGUGUCGCGGUGUUAGCUCCCGUGGGAUAGUGUGGCCAUUAGCUCAAACGUGGCUGGUAGAUUAGGAAGGAUCUCUUGCUGUAACGACAUGGCGCUGCAGUUAGUAGCACGCAACACAAAGUACUCUCUCACAGUUCUUCAGUUACAGAGCGUCGAGAGAGUGCGAGGACACCAGCAGCAACUACAACUGCCUCUGCCGCUCGCGCCAUGCCCUACGCCCGUCCGUGCGCGCCCGCCUGCAAUGGUCACGCCCGCACCCGCUACGUCCUGGCGCCUGGCCUUCGUGCGCGCCUGCGCACAACCACGCUGGGGCUGGCCUUUGUGCCUCUGCUAGCGGGUCCCCAACCAUCCCAAUUAAGGGGCUAAUCCCCUAUUAGCCCAUAAUACCCUCCUGUUUAGUUUAUUUCGGUUUAACUGAUUAGUUAGUCUAGACCCUAUGACAUGUGAACCCUACUGUAAAUUAAAAUGAUCAGACAAGUUAAAAAUGCUUAAGUCUAUGACACGCGGAACCCAUGCACUAUUCACUGAUUGACCUAGUCAACACCGGUUGUGCUGUUGACUUUGACCUGCCCCCACAUGUCAUUGACUGUGCCUGGCACUACACUAGCUGACGAGUAAUUUUACUUUUUAUUUUCGAAAUAAUAAUGAAUCCAGAAAUUCUAGGAUAUUGUUAAAACUUUAGGAAAUCAUAUAAAAUAAACGUAAGUCGGAUGAAAAUAAUUUGUAUAUGAAAGUUGCUCGGAACGACGAGACGAACCCGGAUACGCAGCCCGUUCGUCCACCACACACCUCUAACAUACCAAACGCGCAACUUUCCCCCUCCGGUUCAUCUGUCCGAAAACACGAAACACCGGGGAUAUUUUCCCGGAUGUUUCCCCCCUUAACCGGUACCACCUCAUACCACGCUAGGGCACCCCUAGCACCGUUACUUGUCUUGUCAUGCACCGCAAUGCUUAUGUUUGCAUUAUAUUUAUUGUUUCUUCCCCCUCUUCUCUCCGGUAGACUACGAGACCGACGCUGCUGCUGCCCAGUUCGACUACGGAGUUGACGACCCCUCUCUCUUGCCAGAGCAACCAGGCAAGCCCCCCCCCCCUUGAUCACCAGAUAUCGCCUAUUCUACUCUAUACUGCUUGCAUUAGAGUAGUGUAGCAUGUUACUGCUUUCAGUUAAUCCUAUACUGCUGCAUAGCCUGUCCUUGCUACUACUGUUGUUACCUUUACCUGCAAUCCUACAUGCUUAGUAUAGGAUGCUAGUAUUUCCAUCUGUGGCCCUACAUUCUUGUCCGUCUGCUGUGCUAUACUAUCGGGCCGUGAUCACUCGGGAGGUGAUCACGGGUAUAUACUAUAUACUUAUACAUGAUACAUGUGGAGACUAAAGUCGGGUCGGCUGGUGGAGCACCCGCGAGUGGAUCUUUGUGGCGGAGCGACAGGGCAGGUUGAGACCGCCUAGGAGAGAGGUGGGCCUGGCCCUGUUCGGCGUUCGCGGAUACUUAACACGCUUAACAAGAUCUUGGUAUUUGAUCUGAGUUGGCUACGAGCCUAUACACACUAACCAACUACGUGGGAAAGAUAUGGGCACUCGGCGUCGUGGUAUCAGCCGAAGCACUUCGUGACGCCAGCGACUGAGUGGCGCGCGCCGGAUUGGAACGUAAGCCUGCUCUUGUAUUAAGGGGGCUAGUUCUGCUUCUGGCCGCGUACGCAACGUGCAGGUGUGCUCAGGGCGAUGGGCCCAGACCCCUGCGCGCUUAGGUUUAGACCGGCGUGCUGGCCUCUCUGUUGAGCCUAGGUGGGGCCGCGACGUGUUGAUCUUCCGCAGUCGGGCAUGACCCAGGAAAGUGUGUCCGGCCAAAUGGGAUCAAGCGUGUUGGGUAAGUUGGUGCACCCCUGCAGGGAAGUUAAUCUAUUCGAAUAGCCGUGAUCUUCGGUAACAGGACGACUUGGAGUUGUACCUUGACCUUAUGACAACUAGAACCGGAUACUUAAUAAAACACACUCUUCCAAGUUCCACAGACAACCCGGUGAUCGCUUUUCUACAGGGCGACGAGGAGAGGAUCGCCGGGUAGGUUUAUGCUAUGCGAUGCUACUUGGAGAUGCUACUUGGAGAUGCUACUUGAAGAUGCUACUUGGAGGACUUCAAUCUACUCUCUUCUACAUGCUGCAAGACGGAGGCUGCCAGAAGCGUAGUCUUCGCUAGGACUAGCUAUCCCCCCUUUUUAUUCUGGCAUUCUGCAGUUCAGUCCACCGAUAUGGCCUCCUUACACAUAUACCCAUGCAUAUGUAGUGUAGUUCCUUGCUUGCGAGUACUUUGGAUGAGUACUCACGGUUGCUUUCUCCCCCCUUUUUUCCCCCUUUCCUUUCUUUCUGGUUGUCGCAACCAGAUGCUGGAGUCCAGGAGCCAGACGCCACCGUCGAUGAUGACCCCUACACCAGAGGUGUCUACUACUACGUGUUGCCCGCUGACGACGACCAGGAGUAGUUUGGAGGAUCCCAGGCAGGAGGCCUGCGCCUCUUUCGAUCUGUAUCCCAGUUUGUGCUAGCCUUCUUAAGGCAAACUUGUUUAACUUAUGUCUGUACUCAGAUAUUGUUGCUUCCGCUGACUCGUCUAUGAUCGAGCACUUGUAUUCGAGCCCUUGAGGCCCCUGGCUUGUAUUAUGAUGCUUGUAUGACUUAUUUAUGUUUUAGAGUUGUGUUGUGAUACCUUCCCGUGAGUCCCUGAUCUUGAUCGUACACAUUUGUGUGCAUGAUUAGUGUACGAUUGAAUCGGGGGCGUCACACAAUCAAUCCGUUGGGCUAUUCCUAUAAGUGUCACAAACAGCCCUAGAGUUCGUACUAGAAUAACACCUUAAGACACAAAUCAACCAAAACCCUAAUGUCACCUAGAUACUCCAAUGUCACCUCAAGUAUCCGUGGGUAUGAUUAUACGAUAUGCAUCACACAAUCUCAAUUCAUCUAUUCAACCAACACAAAGAACCUCAAAGAGUGCCCCAAAGUUCUACCGGAGAAUCACGACGAGAAUGUGUGCCAACCCCUAUGCAUAGGUUCAUGGACGAGAUGGAGCUGCCACUGUUGAAGCCUUGCGGGCGGAACUUGCCCGAGCCAAGGAACAAGCAAGAUUGGGUAAUGCGGCUGCUUUGAAGGUGGCCGAAGAGUUGAGAGCCGAGAAGGCCGCACAUGGCGAGAGCCGGGAUAAGAUGGCCAAUAUGGCUGUAGAAUUAAAAGCCGCCAUAGACCGUUGCCGGGCUCUUGAAAAGGAAAACCAGGCGAAGGCAUCGGACCUUGAGAAGGCUGCUGCAACAGGAAAAGGCCUCCGCUCUGCUAUGAGGGCAAAGAAGGAGGAGCUGCGGGAAGCCGGGGAUAUUGUAGCUGGGAAGUCCUUUAUGCUGUAGAGGAAGUACGGAGAUCCACGGUAUGCCCCUCUGGAUCGGCUGUGGAGUUCGGAGGAUGCGUAUAUGGAUUUGGCGGUGAGCGCUGCCGAUGCGGCCAAGUACUUCCAGAGUCAGACGGGCCGUGAAGUAGACCAGCUAUUUUGGAAACAAUUCCUUUCUCCCGAGCGUCCGCUUUCGUUGACGGGCCAAUUAGCCGAAUGGGCCGAACUAAAUAGGUUGUCCAGACUCUCCAUGAGGUCUGUUGUGGAUCAGCUAUGGCCGGGAAGGUCAAAACCGAGCAGCUAUUUCAGCUUGGUGCAGCAGGUCCUCGACGUGGUGCCGCGCAUAAAUGCGAUGAAGAGGUCGGCGUGCAUAGAAGGCGCACGGAUGGCCUUUGCCCGUGCUAAAGCAUACUGGGCAGAGAUGGAUGCUACCACUGUUGCAGCGCAGGAUUCGGCCAUAGGUCAAAGGGCUGAUGAGCACUACUUUGAGGAAGUUCUUGAGGGUGCUCGUUUGAUAGAGACCUAGUGCUCAAAAAAUAUUAUGUUUGAGUGACAUGUAAUCUCAUUGUAAGCGAAAUGCUUUUAUAAAUUUUUAUAAGGAUACUUUUAUACUUUUGCCUGAAAGUAAUGUGAUGCCUCCUGGGCGGCCGUUUAUGUAUACAUGUGUAUAACCUGAAAGAUUGCAGUCAUCGGCUUCAACCCCCACGCAUAUAAUGCGGAGGUGUUCGCAGAAAUGCGUGUUCACACUUAACCCAACGUCUUGGUCCUAUUAAGGAGGUGAUAGCGGAGCGGUCGAGGCAACUGGACUAUAAUGCUUUAACACUUUCACUUAGCCAUAGGAGUUUGACAGUGGGGCUACUAGAUAGCCCCUGGUGGCUCCGCACUCUCCCGAUCCCGGGGUGCGUAUAUGCCUGGCCGGAAAGCGGCCCUUCGUUAAGGCGGAGGAAUUCUAACAUUCCCAUGGGUCAUCGAGUGGUUGACCAGUCUCACGCUAGAUCAUGACAGUCUGUUUUCGGCUUUCUCUACUAAGGUGCUCGUCCGGAUGAACCAGGGCACAAUCGCAGUAGUUCUCCUGGUGCUACCUUAGCCGGUAAAGCGGAACGUAAGGCACCAAAACAUAGGAGCCGGGCAAACCCAACAUUUGACCAAAGACAAUGAUUCGGAGCUGAUGCAUAUAGGGCCAAACCCGCGACGCCGAACACUCCCUAAGGUAUUCGGUCUUUGUGGUAUAAACCGGGCCUGAAGAAUGGCCUUUGUAAGAAGCCCCUUGUGUCUAGGUACGUGCAUUGUUCUGGCGUGGCCACAUGCCAAGACGUCAGCAUCCUUCUCAACGAUGGAUAUGUAUCAACAAGAGACAGUAAAAAAGGUUUACGCAGGGUCUUAAUCUAAAAAGAAUCCUUGGGGCGGUUCCCUGCUGCACGUCUGCGCCUGUGUCUCCGUUGUGCCAUAUCCUGGACGGGUGUAGCACGAUGAUCAUCUGUAAAAGAGAGGAAUUUAGGUAAAAAGGUUGUCGUGCAAAAGGAUAGUUUUCUAAAGAAACCAUGUAUAAUUCAAGAUAGGAAGAAAUUGCCACUCGUCUGCGCGCGUUGAGCCCCUUGUAUUUUUGAAAAAUAGGGGUGUGACCAUUUAUUCGAUAUGAGUAGUGGCGCUGGACUUGAUUAGUUGUGUCUGAGGUCUUGACGACCUAUUGGAUGCUUUUGAUGGUCCGGGCGCCUUUAGUGUGCGGCUGCCAAGGCAGCCUCACUCUCUUCGGCGCGUAGAGAUCGCUUGAUAUUUCCGUGCACUGAAAUGAUGCCACGUGGACUGGGCAUCUUGAGUGUUAGGGAGGCGUAGUGUGGUAGUGCAUUAAAGCGAGCAAAAGCUUCGCGUCCGAGUAGUGCUUGAUAGCCACUUUGAAACGGAGCGAUGUGGAAAGUUAAAUGCUCGCGACGGAAUUUACCGGGGGAGCCGAAUAUAACUUGUAGUAGGAGGGAGCCCGUACAACGAGCCCCUGGGCCUGGCGUUACUCCUUUAAAGGUAGUAUUGCUAUGGUGAAAUUGUGUUGGGUCUAGUCCCAUCCCGCGGAUUGUAUCCUGGUAUAUUAGGUUUAGGCUACUGCCGCCAUCCAUCAAGACUCGUGUGAAGUGGUAUCCGCCAAUUACUAGGUCUAAUACCAGGGCAGCCCAUCCUGCAUGCCGGAUACUUGAGGAGUAAUCGCGAUGGUCGAAGGUGAUUGGUUGAGACGACCAGUGGCGGGACUUCGCGGGGACAGGCACUUUGCUAUAUUUUUCUGGGAGUGUCGUGUUGUUUUUUCUCUUGAUCACGUGUAACAUGUUUACUGUUUUGAUUUCAGGUGGAAAUUUCUUCUGUUCCCCCUUGUCUUGCGUGGGGGGUUUGUCCUCGUCUUCACUUGGUGUAUCCUCCCCCUUGUGUACGGCGUUAAGCUUGCCGGACCGCUUGAAGACCCAACAUUCUCUAUGGGUAUGAUUAGCAGGUUUGCCAGGGGUACUAUGGAUCUGACACACUUGGUCCGGAAUUUUGUUGAGGCUGGACAGUUCAUCCCUGGUGCCUUUGGGGGACGGCUUUUGAUUUGGCCGAGGGACUUUGAAUCCGGCGUUUACAGCUGUGCCCUUCGUGCUGUCUUCUUUAUUCCGGCGUUUGUUAUUGCUGUUGCGCCGUGAUUUCCCGUUUCCAUCUCUAACUUCAGAUGUACUGGGGUCGCUGGUGCUGCAUCUGGCUAGCCAGCUGUCCUCACCCGUGCAAAAGCGAGUCAUGAGGUUUGUUAAUGCGGCCAUCGUUCUCGGCUUGUUUUGGCCGAGGUGUCUGGCGAGCCAUUCGUCACAGACGCUAUGCUUGAAAGCCGCUAAGGCGUCGGCGUCCGGGCAGUCGACAAUCUGGUUCUUUUUAGUAAGAAACCUAUUCCAAAGCUUUCGGGCUGACUCUCCGGGCUGUUGAGUUAUGUGACUCAGGUCGUCCGCAUCCGGAGGUCGGACAUAAGUCCCUUGAAAGUUUGCCCAAAAGGCGUCUUCGAGCUCUUCCCAACUUCCAAUGGAGCUUUCAGGGAGGCCUUUGAGCCAGUGACGAGCUGGCCCUUUGAGUUUCAGAGGUAAGUACUUGAUGGCAUGGAGAUCAUCCCCUCGAGCCAUAUGGAUAUGAAGGAUAUAGUCCUCAAUCCAGACCCCAGGGUCUGUUGUUCCGUCGUAUGCCUCUAUGUUUACGGGCUUGAAUCCCUCUAGAAAUUCAUGGUCCAGCACCUCAUCGGUGAAACAUAGGGGGUGCGCGGCACCCCUGUAGCUGGGUGUGCCACGUUGUUAGGAUGUUUGUUGUGUUGCAUUGUAUGCUGGGGCGCGCUUGCGUGGUCCAUAGAUGGAUCUUGUUGCACCGUCCUUCGGGUGCGAGCCCUUGCAUGGGUCGCGUGUUGUAUUGUGAGCGGCGUUGAAUGUCGUUCUGUGUUGGUAGAGGGGUCGUCUAUCCGACCAGGUGGCUGUUUUGAUAUUUGGUUGUGGGGGGUCUGAGGCCCCCUCAUCGAAUUCGGGUAGCAGCUUCUGCUUUGGGUAGCUCUUGGAGGGGCGAUUGUCGCCGUACCUUGCUACAGUGUUGAGUAUUUUGCUCCAUCUGAAUUGGAGUGUGUUUUGCGCGGCCUUGAGCCUCUGCUUCUGCUUUUUGAGGCUCCUUGCGGUGGCAACGAGCCUUUUACGGGCAUUCUGCUGCUCCGAGUGCCUGUCCGGCGUUAUGUCGUCCAGACCAUUGUCAUUGAUAGGAUUUGUUUGUUCGGUUUGAUUAUCCGGAUUGCCGUUGUCUAGCAGCGGUUCGCCCUGCUCCAGCGCUGGAUCAAUGUGAUUGCUAUUUCUGCCGAGGCAGGAUUUGGGGCGGCGCUUGCGUCGCCGCUUUGACUGCUUCUCAAGGGAACAAUCCUUCGGUGCGUCCUUCCGCUCCUCGUCGUCAUCUUUGGGUGCGUCCACCGUGUAUACGUCAUAUGAUGAGGUGGCGUUCCAGGGCUCGAUAGGCGCUGGUUCUUCAUAGUCUCCUUCAUCGGCGUCCAUACCAUCAAUGUCAUCGGAGUUGAAGUCGAGCAUGUCGGUUAAAUCGUUGACAGUGGCUACCAAGUGGGUGGUGGGUGGGCUUUGAAUUUCUUCAUCAUCCGAAUCCCAACCUUGCUGACCGUAGUCCGGCCAGGGCUCUCCCGAUAAAGAGAGAGACUUCAGUGACUUCAGGAUAUCGCCGAAAGGCGAGUGCUGACAGACGUCCGCGGCCGUGAGCUCCAUGAUCGGCGCCCAAUCGGAUUCAAUCGACAGGGGCGCGGAGGGUUCGGAAGCGGAGAAUAAUCCGGCUCCAUGGAGUCACGAGUCUUGCGGAGUACGGGGCUGGUGUUCGGCUCAACCGCCGUUAGGAUCACAACCCCCGAGGUGGCGUCCAACCGCCCAUCCUCGAUCAGCGCGGUAGGCUCCGAACUAAGGGUCGGAGCCGAUGCGGAUGCGGCCUCCAGGGUGCUGUUCGGCGGCAGAGCUAGAUCGUGCUCGUCGUGACAGUGCGGCGCGCUCGACAGUGGUCCAAAUCCGUCGAAGAUCAAGUCCCCGCAGAUGUCGGCAGUGUAGUUUAAACUUCCGAAUCUGACCUAACGGCCAGGGGCAUAGCUUUCGAUCUGCACUAGAUGGCCAAGUGAAUUGGCCCGCAGUGCAAAGCCGCCAAAGACGAAGAUUUGUCCGGGGAGGAAGGUCUCACCCUGGACUGCAUCGUCAUUGAUGAUCGUAGGAGCCAUCGGGCCUGACGGUGACGGCAUAGAGGAACUCUCAAUGAAAGCACCAAUGUCGGUGUCAAAACCAACGGAUCUCGGGUAGGGGGUCCCGAACUGUGCGUCUAGGCCGGAUGGUAACAAGAGGCAGGGGACACGAAGUUUUACCCAGGUUCGGGCCCUCUCAAUGGAGGUAAAACCCUACGUCCUGCUUGAUUAAUAUUGAUGAUAUGGGUAUUACAAGAGUUGAUCUACCAUGAGAUCAGAUAGGCUAAACCCUAGAAGCUAGCCUAUGGUAUGAUUGUUGAUGUGUAUGUUGUCCUAUGGACUAAAACCCUCCGGUUUAUAUAGACACCGGAGAGGGUUAGGGUUACAUAAAGUCGGUUACAAUGGUAGGAGAUCUGAUCAUCCGCAUCGCCAAGCUUGCCUUCCACGCCAAGGAAAGUCCCUUCCAGACACGGGACGGAGUCUUCAAUCUUGUAUCUUCAUAGUCCAGGAGUCCGGCUGAAGGUAUAGUCCGGCCAUCCAAACACCCCCUAAUCCAGGACUCCCUCAGGGGUCCUCGGCCCAAUCCAACUGAUCGGGAGACGAUGUGAUGAGUACCCCCUAGUCCAGGACACCGUCAGUAGCCCCCUGAACCGGUCUUCAAGUUAGGGACGCUCCUCGAUUCUUCCGAACUGUUCUUCAUCUUCGGUUGACGGUCUUGAAAACUGGUUCAACAAAUCCUCUCAUCUUCGAUCUUGAGGACCGCCGAAAUGCAUUCGGCGAGUUUACACGUCGGGUAUCCGAGAAGCCCCUUUAAGUUUCCGGCCUUUAUCAAUGCCUUGUUAUUUUUAUGCCACACCUCGGGUUUGAAGUUGUUCCCGGGAGGCAGUGUCCUCUUGCGUCCGAGCUCUAACACCGGACCGCAUUCGAGGUAUCUUUUGCGGCCGAGCACCAAUGCCGGACCGCUUCCGAGCUCCAACGCCGGACUAUUUCCAAGCUCCAACGCCCGACUGUAUCCGAGCUCCAAUGCCGGACUAUAUCCAAGCUCCAACGUCGGACAGUGUCCCAGCUCCAACGCCGGACUAUAUCCGAGGUGUCAUAUCACCUUGGUUCAAAAAAGUUGAAGGAGUUUAGCCGAGCUUAAUGGUGGAAAUGCCCUCUAUGGAGCCAGCCACUAGCACCCGAGCUUUAUGCCGGACUGCUUCCAGGUGGUGCACCACCCCGACUGUGGGCCGAUUUUUUGUCAAUAUUUUUUAUUAUUGCAAUUUAUUCUCUGCCGAGAUACAUGGCCAGUAGCCCUCAAGGUGUGUAUCAGUCUAAAACCCGAGAUGCACCUGAAGGAUGACGUAAGACCGCUGAUCCCAGCAACCGCUGAGACUCGGGUUGAUUUGCAAAAUCGGCCUGAGGAUCAAGUCCUAGCUCGGCAGAAUACUUCGGGACACAAAAAGCGGCGUGCUUAGUCCUCGAGACUCGGGUUGGGUGCGGCCGACCAACCUGAGGAUCAAAAUCUCCUCGGCAACUGUAUUGCACUUAAAAUUUUCUGCAUUGAACAGGCAAUGCAGUAGCCCCCGAGACACUGGUCGGGUGGCAACACCAGAUCAGGGGAUCGAUGUGCCCCUUUAAUAUUUGUAAAUAAUAAGGCCGAAGCCCAGUAGCCCCCGAGCCUUAAUGCGGGCACGAGUGGCCGAAUUAAGGAUCGAUAUCCAUAGUAAAAUCACAAAUUAUGCGUAAUGACUCUAUGUAUCCAAGUACUUUACGUCAUUAAUGCUCGGAUCUGCAUUGUACAAAACUUUGUUGACCGACCAUCGGCUUCCACCUCCUCGGCCAGUAGCCGAGGAGUGUUUGUCCUACUUUAUAAAGCCUUUAUGAGGGCAAAGAUUUACAACAAACAAGGCAAUCUGGCCAUGCGGUUUUAUAAACAAAGGUACGCAGAGAGUUAUAUUACUAUUUAACAGAAGAAAUGUCUUCCAAAGAAAAUAGUCCCACUAUCGGUUCCUUUCUUUGGGUUGUCAUGCUAAGCAUGAUCAUUAAACCUCAGCUCUAAUGUAAGAUCAAAAUAUUGAGGAUUUAGUUUGGGAGGCCAGCUAAUAGCCCCCGGUAGUGUUCGGCGUCAGUCGGGGUCAAGCCGUAAACACUUCGGCCAAUGUUAUGAACGGCCCAUCAUUUAACAUAGUCAUCGGAUCGCUGACCAGUUUACGCUUAUUGUGACAGUCAGUUUUCGGCUUUCUCCACUGAGGUGCUUAACCAUGUGAGCUAGAAGCACAAUCGCAGUGGUUCUCCCUUUGCACGCCUAGCCGAACAAAAGGGAACGUAGGAAGCAAGUGCAGGAGCCGAGCAACCCAACUAUUGACCGAAGACACAAUUUGAAACCGAUGCAUAUAUAGCAAUAUCUGAGAAUGUUUUUGCCGAAUCCCUAAAGGUGUCCGGCGUUGCACUGCGAGACUAAUGCUGGAAAAGCACAAAUAGUUUAGAAGUGCCAAAAACCUUGGAAAACCAAGAAACGUCAGUAAAAACAUGACGUCCGAAGAAUAUCAAGUGUUCGGUGCCAAUCCGAAAGUUGGUCUUAGAAAAAAGAAGUGCUUCUGUCGUGCUUUAACAUGAUACAUCCUAUCUCAAGACUUUGAGCGGGUCAGCCUAUGGCUUCAACCUCCUAUCCCGAGGGCGGAGUACUUCUCAUCAGGCCAGUUUAGCAAACUAAACUCUAGCGGCUUUGAGAGAGAAAUUAGGCUCCUUGGCUAGUGACCGUACACUCGUGUCGAAAAAAGGAGUGAUAAAUAAUAAUAAAAAAACUUUGCAACAACUAAGAAGAAGAACACUUAUUAUAAAAUGGCUCAAAUAAACUUAAGAGCCCCCAAGUGACUUGGGUAGAAGAAUGAUUGCAUGUACCGCAGUACUUAUAUCAUAUCUAUGUUCAACCGAACUUUAAACGCGUCUUAACUGACCGUCAGCUUCUCCCUCUUCGGUCAAGGACCGAAAAGUGUUAUGUACUCCAUCGGUCGAGAAUAUCGACGGUGUUUCCAAUAACCAGGCAAUCAGGCCAUAAGGUUGUAACAGACAAAGCGCGCUCAGGGAACUUAUGCUAUAUUACCGUGAAGUGUAAGAAGCAUCUUCGAAGAAAAUAGUACCCCCACCGAUACCUUUCUUCGGUGCUCAUUGUUAUUAUGAGACUUGUGCAAUAGAUUUUUUGUACUCAUGAGUUCCAUUGUGUGCCGACCAUCAUUGAAAACUAUAAGAGCACUAGCUUUCGGCUUCACCCAGUCUGAGGUCCGGCUCGGGCGACCCGAUCGUGACAAUCGCAGAGGUGCUCCCUUUACUCCCUAGCCGGACAAUCGGGAACGUAGGGGUAAACACAGGAGCGAGGCAACCCAGCUUGCAAAUCGCUUAAGUCAAUAUGGUGCAUAUUAUGGUGUAAUACACGUACAAGGAAUGAAGCCGUACAAGUAUAAUCAUAUGCAAGUGGAAAAGCUUCAUGAAAGAAGCCCCCAAAUGAAUUGGGUAUUUGAAUUUAUGUGUCACAAACAAAGUUUGGACAAGGAAAUUUUUUACAAGCAACUUUUUUCCAAAAAAGUAUAAUGCUUGGUCGAACCGAACACAAGUUAGAAAUUAAAGCUUUGAGCAUGAAAGCGACUUAGCUGGUUAAUGUGUUCGGUAUUGAUGACGCGGUCCGAGCUUGGUGCGGGGCAAGGUUCCAUCCCCCAAGCUGGUCCCAAGGUGGCGGAGCGGAGAGCUCAACACGCCGAAGUGGUGACAUAGCACGAUCAAUGCAGACCGGCAGAGUGACGCCGAAGUCCCGGGAUCAUUUUCAUGUGCACAAAAAAUAGUGCAAACCGGAGAUAAUAGUAAUAAUGAUAAUUAAAAAAUAUUGCAUAAUAAAUAAUUUAUGCAAAGUGAGGAAUAGAAGAAAUAUGGCCUGGCGAAAGUCAAUGUCGAUGCAGGGCGUCGGCGUGAUGUCGUAAAGGUGUGGCAAAGCCUGAAUUCACAGGUCGGUCCGAGCUCCGGAUGCGGUGUUCGCCGGACUAUGUACGGAAACUGAUCGAACCCCCGCGCGACCUCGUUAAUGCGGUCACCAUUUGAUAGACCUGUGUACAUAUCAUGGACAAACCAGAGUAAUGAUUCCUUGGGAAAAAUGAACCCAAACAAGCAAAAAAUACUGAGAUUAAUAGCACCUGGUUUAUUUGUUGUACCAAUCCGAAGGAAGGUGAUUCCCAAAAUUGGGACUCGCUCCGCACACCCAUUGCCUGAUGGGCGAUAAAACGACGGCAUGGCAAUGCUGGUAAAGGUUGACUCGCCGAGGCAAAGCCCUCGGCCCAGCUAACGUGAUGGAGCUGGUCGGCUAGUGACGCCGAAGUGUCUGGAGUAGGUUGAUAAAGAGAUGGCGAAGCCUCCGGUCCAGCCGAGAUGUCGAAGCCUCAACAUCAGCCGAUGAGUCUAAGUAGGUCGGCGUGAUGGACACCAACUUGAAGAAGCAAUAGUGAGGCCCUGUUGAUGCAGGUCGUGACGUGGUCGAUGCCGGCUUGAUGAAGCAACCGUGCGGCGAUGCCGGUAUGCCCGCUCCGUGUAAUCCGUGGGGCGGCGAUGUUGAUGAUGAUUUAUCCUUCACGAUGCCGGACUCUUGUUCGGCUUGCUGAGAUGAUGAUCCAAAGAAGUUGAGCUUGGCUAAAGUGACAACGUGUCUAGCGAAGGUCGGCAGCCGUGGAGUAAUAUUGUCGGACUGGUUUGACACCAGCAUGAUAUUGAAGAUCAUGUUCAAAAGAUCUUAAAGUUAGUGGGAUGUGUUCGGGAACAAAACACAAUACCCCAUACAAAACUUCCUUCAAAAGGGAUGUCCGAAAUCCCGUUCAUAAAAAAGAUGAACUCGGGUCGGAUUCGUUUUCACACAGAAAAUAGAUCCGAAAAGUGAUGCACUAAUCAGAAGGUUCCCGGAGUUUGGACGGUCGGAUCGAGCUGAAAUUUUGAGAGGUGGUGGAUAUAGGAAUUCCGCAGCCGAUCAACGGUUGGAUCUUCCAAAGGACGUCUGAGCUAGAAGCUGGACACCACGCUCUAAACUCAUCCAAAUUCCCAUCCAGAUUUGACAGGGCUCCGGUAUAUCGUGGAUUGCCAGAGAUUCCUCCAUCGGAACUCGACGAAAUUUUCCAGGGUUGUUAUAGACUCAAUUCUGCACAAUUCUACCAAAGCGAUCGUCAAAGUGAUACUCGAGGAGGUGGUGGCAGCAGAUACGAGUUCGCUAUCCAAAAAAAGCACGGUCGCUUGAGGGCAAUGUUGAUGAGCCCCCGAGCUCCAUAGAUGAUUCCUCCGUGAUCUUGAUAAAGAUCGGAGUUGAUGUUUGAUGAAGGCCCUUGUCCGAACAUGGUGAUCUGAACACGGGGCGCAAUUCUUGGUCGAACCAAGGUGACCAGUCGAACUGGUGACGAAGACGCCCGAAGUCGCAGUUGAUCUGCAGGCGAGCUAUCGAUCCUUUUGUCGAUCACACAGCGGAACUCUCAAUGAAAACACCAAUGUCGGUGUCAAAACCGGCGGAUCUCGGGUAGGGGGUCCCGAACUGUGCGUCUAGGCCGGAUGGUAACAGGAGGCAAGGGACACAAGGUUUUACCCAGGUUCGGGCCUUCUUGAUGGAGGUAAAACCCUACGUCCUGCUUGAUUAAUAUUGAUGAUAUGGGUAGUACAAGAGUUGAUCUACCACGAGAUCAUAAAGGCUAAAACCCUAGAAGCUAGCCUAUGGUAUGAUUGUUGUAUAUCUCUAUUGACUAGCCUGGCCUCGGUUUAUAUAAUGCACCAGAGGCCUAGGAUAACAAGAGUCCUAGCCGAAUACGCUGGUGGGGUGGAGUCCUUGUCUUGAUCGCCAAGUCUUUGUGGAAUCUUCCUUGUAUGCGGCAGCUGUCCGAACUGGCCCAUCAGUAUGCGGCCAUGGGGGUCCUCGGCCUAAUCCAACUGAUCGGGAGACGAUGUGAUGAGUACCCCCUAGUCCAGGACACCAUCAACUGGUUUCAGUACUGAAAAACAUAACGACGAUCACCCGACUCACUUCUAUACCACAAAUUUCAGUAUAAAUUUUACUAUUGUGAUUAUUCAUGUAAGUAUUUCAGUAUUAAUUUGAGUACUCAAAAUUAGCAUGACUAACACCUGACUCGGUUCUAUAUCACUAAUUUCAGUACUAAAACUUAGUAUUGUGAUUAUCCACGUUAAUAUUUAAUAUUGAAAAACCGCACCACGAUGACCCGACUCGGUUGUAUAUCACUAAUUUCGGUACUAAAAUUCAGUGUUCUGAUUAUCCACGUUAAUAUUUCAGUACUGAUUUCAAUACUGAACUAGAGCAAUAAGAUGACCCGACUAUGUUCUAUAUCACUCAUUUCGAUACUAAAAUUCAGUAUCGCGAUUAUCCACAUUAAUAUUUCAAUACUGAUUUCAGUACUAAAAUACAAAACGAGAUCACCCGACUCACUUGUAUAUCACUAAUUUUGGUACUAAAAUUCAGUAUUGUGAUUCUUCAUGUUGAUUUUUCAAUACUUAUUUCAAUACUAAAAACAACACUAGGAUGACCUGACUCAGUUUUAUAUCACUAAUUUCGGUAUAAAAUUCAGUAUUGCGAUUAUCUAUUUGAAUAUUUCAGUAUUGAUUUGAGUACUCAAAAACAGCAUGACUAACACGUGCUUCAGUUCUAUAUCACUAAUUUUUGUAUUAAAACUCAGUAUUAUGAUUAUACAUGUUAACAUUUCCGUACUAAUUUCAAUAAUGAAAUACAACACCACGAUGACCCGACUCAGUCGUGUAUCACUAAUUUCAGUAAUGAAAUUCAGUAUUGUGAUUAUCCACAUUAAUAUAUCAAUAUUGAUUUCAGUACUGAAAUACAAAAUGGCGAACACUACACUCAGUUGUAUAUCACUAAUUUUGGUAUUAAAAUUCAGUAUUGCGAUUAUCCACUUAAUAUUUCAAUACUGAUUUCAAGACUUAAAAACAAAAUGAUGUUCACGAGACUUAGCUGUAUAUCACAAAUUUUUUACUAAUAUUCGGUACUGCGAUUAUGCAUGCUAAUACUGCAGUAUUGAUUUCAGUACUGAAAAACAACUGGAUGAACGCAUGACUCAAUUCUAUAUCAUUAAUUUCAGUACUAAAAUAUAGCAUUCAGAUUAACCACGUUAAUAUUUCAAUACUGAAAAACAGCACCAUGAUGUCCCGACUAAGUUGUAGUACUGAAAAAUAAAACGAAAAUCACCCGACUCGUCUCUAUGUAACUAAUUUUGGUAUAAAAUUUAGUAUGGCGGAUAUCCAUGUUAGUAUUUCAGUAUUAGUUUGAGUACUCAAAUAUAGCAUGACUAACACAUGACUCGGUUUUAUAUCACUAAUUUCGAUACUAAAACUCAGUAUUGUGAUUAUCCACUUUAAUAUUUCAAUACUAAUUUUAGUAUAAAAAGCAGCACCCGGAUGACCUGACUCAGUUGUACAUCACUAAUUUUGUUACUAAAAUUCAUUAUUGCGAUUAUUAACUUAAUAUUUCAAUACUGAUUUCAAGACUUAAAAACAAACCAAUGACCACAAGACUUAGGUGUAUAUCACAAAUUUGUUACUAAUAUUCGGUACUACGAUUAUCCAUGUUAAUAUUGAUGUAUUGAUUUCGGUACUGAAAAACAGCUCGACGAAUGCAUGACUCAAUUCUAUAUCACUAAUUUCAGUACUAAAAUAUAGCAUUGAGAUUAACCACGUUAAUAGUUCAAUACUGAUUAACAACACCAUGAUGGCCUAACUGAGUUGUAUAUUACUAAUUUCGGUUAUAAAAUUCAGUAUUGUAAAUAUCCACCUUAAUAUUUAAAUAUUGAUUUCAGUACUGAAAUACAGCACCAAGAUGACCCGACUCUGUUCUAUACCACUCAUUUCGGUACUAAAAUUCAGUAUUGUGAUUAUCCACUUUAAUACUUCAAUACUGGUUUCAGUACUGAAAAACAUAACGACGAUCACCCGACUCACUUCUACACCACAAAUUUCGGUAUAAAUUUUACUAUUGUGAUUAUCCAUGUAAGUAUUUCAGUAUUAAUUUGAGUACUCAAAAAUAGCAUGACUAACACCUGACUCGGUUCUAUAUCACUAAUUUCAGUACUAAAACUUAGUAUUGUGAUUGUCCACGUUAAUAUUUAAUAUUGAAAAACCGCACCACGAUAACCCGACUCGGUUGUAUAUCACUAAUUUCGGUACUAAAAUUCAGUGUUCUGAUUAUCCAUGUUAAUAUUUCAGUACUGAUUUCAAUACUGAACUAGAGCACCAAGAUGACCCGACUAUGUUCUAUAUCACUCAUUUCGGUACUGAAAUUCAGUAUUGCGAUUAUCCACCUUAAUAUUUCAAUACUGAUUUCAGUACUAAAAUACAAAACGAGAUCACCCGACUCACUUGUAUAUCACUAAUUUUGGUACUAAAAUUCACUAUUGUGAUUCUUCACGUUAAUUUUUCAAUACUUAUUUCAAUACUAAAAGCAACACUAGGAUGACCUGACUCGGUUUUAUAUCACUAAUUUCGGUAUAAAAUUCAGUAUUAAGAUUAUCUAUGUGAAUCUUUCAGAAUUGAUUUGAGUACUCAGAAAUAGCAUGACUAACACACGCCUCAGUUCUAUAUAACUAAUUUUGGUAUUAAAUGUCAGUAUUAUGAUUAUACAUGUUAACAUUUCCGUACUGAUUUCAAUACUGAAAUACAGCACCACGAUGACCCGACUCGGUCGUGUAUCACUAAUUUCAGUACUGAAAUUCAGUAUUGUGAUUAUCCACAUUAAUAUAUCAGUAUUGAUUUUAGUACUGAAAUACAAAAUGGCGAUCACCACACUCAGUUGUAUAUCACUAAUUUUGGUAUUAAAAUUCAGUAUUGCGAUUAUCCACUUAAUGUUUCAAUACUGAUUUCAAGACUUAAAAACAAAACGAUGUUCACGAGACUUAGCUGUAUAUCAAUUUUUUUUACUAGUAUUCGAUACUGUGAUUAUGCAUGUUAAUACUGCAGUAUUGAUUUCAGUACUGAAAAACAGCUGGAUGAAUGCAUGACUCAAUUCUAUCUCACUAAUUUCUAUACUAAAAUAUAGCAUUGAGAUUAACCACGUUAAUAUUUCAAUACUGCAAAACAGCACCACGAUGACCCGACUGAGUUGUAUUACUGGAAAAUAAAACGAAAAUCACCCGACUCAUUUAUAUGUAACUAAUUUUGGUAUAAAAUUUAGUAUUGCGGAUAUCCGUGUUAGUAUUUCAGUAUUAGUUUGAGUACUCAAAUAUAGCACGACUAACACCUUACUCGGUUCUAUAUCACUAAUUUCGAUACUAAAACUUAGUAUUGUGAUUAUCCACUUUAAUAUUUCAAUACUGAUUUCAAUACAAAAAACAGCACCAGGAUGACCCGACUCAGUUGUAUAUCACUAAUUUUCUUACUAAAAUUCAGUAUUGCGAUUAGCCACUUUAUAUUUCAAUACUGAUUUGAAGACUUAAAACAAACCAUGUUACUAAAAUUCAGUAUUGCGAUUAUCCACUUUAUAUCACAAGACUUAGGUGUAUAUCACAAUUGUCUUACUAAUAUUCGGUACUACGAUUAUCCAUGUUAAUAUAGUUGUAUUGAUUUCGGUAGUGAAAAACCGCUCGACGAACGCAUGACUCAAUUCUAUAUCACUAAUUUUAGUACUAAAAUAUAGCAUUGAGAUUAACCACAUUAAUAGUUCAAUACUGAAAAACAGCACCACGAUGGCCCGACUGAGUUGUAUAUUACUAAUUUCGGUUCUAAAUUUCAGUAUUGUAAUUAUCCACCUUAAUAUUUAAAUAUUGAUUUUAGUACUGAAAUACAGCACCAAGAUGACCCGACUGUGUUCUAUAGCACUCAUUUCGGUACUAAAAUUCAGUAUUGCGAUUAUCCACUUUAAUACUUCAAUACUGGUUUCAGUAGUGAAAAACAUAACGACGAUCACUCGAUCACUUUUAUACCAUAUAUUUCGGUAUAAAUUUUACUAUUGUGAUUAUCCAUGUAAGUAUUUCAGUAUUAAUUUGAGUACUAAAAAAUAGCAUGACUAACACCUGACUUGGUUCUAUAUCACUAAUUUCAGUACUAAAACUUAGUAUUGUGAUUAUCCACGUUAAUAUUUAAUAUUGAAAAGCCGCACCACGAUGACCCGACUCGGUUCUGUAUCACUAAUUUCGGUAUUAAAAUUCAGUGUUCUGAUUAUCCACGUUAAUAUUUCAGCACUGAUUUCAAUACUGAAAUAGAGCACCAAGAUGACCCGACUAUGUUAUAUAUCACUCAUUUCGGUACUGAAAUUUAGUAUUGCGAUUAUCCACAUUAAUAUUUCAAUACUGAUUUCAGUACUGAAAUACAAAACGACAUCACCCGACUCACUUGUAUAUCACUAAUUUUGGUACUAAAAUUCAGUAUUGUGAUUCUUCACGUUAAUUUUUAAAUACUUAUUUCAAUACUAAAAAUAACACUAGGAUGACCUGACUCAGUUUUAUAUCACUAAUUUCGGUAUAAAAUUCAGUAUUACGAUUAUCUAUGUGAAUAUUUCAGGAUUAAUUUGAGUACUCAAAAAUAGCACGACUAACACGUGCCUCAGUUCUAUAUAACUAAUUUUGGUAUUAAAACUCAGUAUUAUGAUUAUACAUGUAAACAUUUCCGUACUGAUUUGGAUACUGAAAUACAACACCACGAUGACCCGACUCGGUCGUGUAUCACUAACUUCAGUACUGAAAUUCAGUAUUGUGAUUAUCCACAUUAAUAUAUCAAUAUUGAUUUCAGUACGAAAAUACAAAAUGGCGAUCCCUACACUCAGUUGUAUAUCACUAAUUUUGGUAUUAAAAUUCAGUAUUGCGAUUAUCCACUUAAUAUUUCAACACUGAUUUCAAGACUUAAAAGCAAAACGAUGUUCAUGAGACUUAGCUGUAUAUCACAAAUUUGUUACUAAAAUUCGGUACUGCGAUUAUCCAUGUUAAUACUACAGUAUUGAUUUCAGUACUGAAAAACAACUGGAUGAACGCAUGACUCAAUUCUAUAUCACUAAUUUUGGUACUAAAAUAUAGCAUUGAGAUUAACCAUGUUAAUAUUUCAAUACUGAAAAACAGCACCACGAUGACCCGACUGAGUUGUAGUACUGAAAAAUAAAACGAAAAUCACCCGACUCAUUUCUAUGUAACUAAUUUUGGUAUAAAAUUUAGUAUUGCGUAUAUCCAUGUUAGUAUUUCAGUAUUAGUUUGAGUACUCAAAUAUAGCACGACUAACACCUGACUCACUUCUAUAUCACUAAUUUCGAUACUAAAACUCAGUAUUGUGAUUAUCCACUUUAAUAUUUCAAUACUGAUUUCAGUACAAAAAAACAGCACCAGGAUGACCCGACUCAGUUGUAUAUCACUAAUUUUGUUACUAAAACUCAGUAUUACGAUUAUCCACUUAAUAUUUCAAUACUGAUUUCAAGACAUAAAAACAAACCGAUGAUCACAAGAAUUAGGUGUAUAUCACAAAUUUGAUACUAAUAUUCGGUACCACGAUUAUCCAUUUUAAUAUUGCUGUAUUGAUUUCGGUAUAGAAAAACAGCUCGACGAACGCAUGACUCAAUUCUAUAUCACUAAUUUCAGUAUUAAAAUAUAGCAUUGAGAUUAACCAUGUUAAUAGUUCAAUACUUAAAAAACAGCACCACGAUGGCCCGACUGAGUUGUAUAUUUCUAAUUUUGGUUCUAAAAUUCAGUAUUGUAAUUAUCCAUCUUAAUACUUAAAUACUGAUUUUAGUACUGAAAUACAGCACCAAGAUCACCCAACUCUGUUCUAUACCACUCAUUUCGGUACUAAAAUUCAGUAUUGCGCUUAUACACUUUAAUACUUCAAUACUGGUUUCAGUACUGAAAGACAUAACGACGAUCACCCGACUCACUUCUAUACCACAAAUUUCGGUAUAAAUUUUACUAUUGUGAUUAUUCAUGUAAGUAUUUCAGUAUUAAUUUGAGUACUCAAAAUUAGCAUGACUAACACCUGACUAGGUUCUAUAUCACUAAUUUCAGUACUAAAACUUAGUAUUGUGAUUAUCCACAUUAAUAUUUAAUAUUGAAAAACCGCACCACGAUGACCCGACUCGAUUGUAUAUCACUAAUUCGAUACUAAAAUUCAGUGUUCUGAUUAUCCACAUUAAUAUUUCAGUACUGAUUUCAAUACUGAACUAGAGCAAUAAGAUGACCCGACUAUGUUCUAUAUCACUCAUUUCGGUACUGAAAUUCAGUAUUGCGAUUAUCCACAUUAAUAUUUCAUUACUGAUUUCAGUACUAAAAUACAAAACGAGAUCACUCGACUCACUUGUAUAUCACUAAUUUUGGUACUAAAAUUCAGUAUUGUGAUUCUUCACGUUGAUUUUUCAAUACUUAUUUCAAUACUAAAAACAACACUAGGAUGACCUGACUCAGUUUUAUAUCAAUAAUUUCGGUAUAAAAUUCAGUACUGCGAUUAUCUAUUUGAAUAUUUCAGUGUUGAUUUGAGUACUCAAAAAUAGCACGACUAACACGUGCUUCGGUUCUAUAUCACUAAUUUUUGUAUUAAAACUCAGUAUUAUGAUUAUACAUGUUAACAUUUCUGUACUAAUUUCUAUACUGAAAUACAGCACCACGAUGACCCGACUCGGUCUCGUAUCACUAAUUUCAGUAAUGAAAUUCAGUAUUGUGAUUUUCCACAUUAAUAUAUCAAUAUUGAUUUCAGUACUGAAAUACAAAAUGGCGAUCACCACACUCAGUUGUAUAUCACUAAUUUUGGUAUUAAAAUUCAGUAUUGCGAUUAUCCACUUAAUAUUUCAAUAUUGAUUUCCAGACUUAAAAACAAAACGAUGUUCACAAGACUUAGCUGUAUAUCACAAAUUUGUUACUAAUAUUCGGUACUGCGAUUAUCCAUGUUAAUAUAGCAGUAUUGAUUUCAGUACUGAAAAACAACUCGAUGAACGCAUGAAUCAAUUCUAUAUCACUAAUUUCGGUACUAAAAUAUAGCAUUGAGAUUAUCCACGUUAAUAUUUCAAUACUGAAAAUCAGCACCACGAUGACCCAACUGAGUUGUAGUACUGAAAAAUAAAAUGAAAAUCACCCGACUCAUUUCUAUGUAACUAAUUUCGGUAUUAAAUUUAGUAUUGCGGAUAUCCGUGUUAGUAUUUCAGUAUUAGUUUGAGUACUCAAAUAUAGCACGACUUACACCUGACUCAGUUCUAUAUCACUAAUUUUGAUACUAAAACUCAGUAUUGCGAUUAUCCACCUUAAUAUUUUAAUACCGAUUUCAGUACAAAAAACAGCACCAGGAUGACCCGACUCAGUUGUAUAUCACUAAUUUUGUUACUAAAAUUCAGUAUUGUGAUUUUCCACUUAAUAUUUCAAUACUGAUUUCAAGAGUUAAAAACAAAGAAAUGAUCACAAGACUUAGGUGUAUAUCAGAAAUUUGUUACUAAUAUCCGGUACUACGAUUAUCCAUGUUAAUAUUCUUGUAUUGAUUUCGGUACUGAAAAACAGGUCGACGAACGUAUGACUCAAUUCUAUAUCACUAAUUUGAGUACUAAAACAUAGCAUUGAGAUUAACCACGUUAAUAGUUCAAUACUGAAAAACAGCACCACGAUGGCCCGACUGAGUUGUAUAUUAAUAAUUUCGGUACUAAAAUUUAGUAUUGUAAUUAUCCACCUUAAUACUUAAAUAUUGAUUUCAGUACUGAAAUACAGCACAAAGAUGACCCGACUCGUUCUAUACCACUCAUUUCGGUACUAAAAUUCAGUAUUGCGAUUAUCCACUUUAAUACUUCAAUACUGGUUUCAGUAGUGAAAAACAAAAUGACGAUCACCCGACUCACUUCUAUACCACAAAUUUCAGUAUAAAUUUUACUAUUGCGAUUAUCCAUGUAAGUAUUUCAGUAUUAAUUUGAAUACUCAAAAAUAGCAUGACUAACACCUGACUCGGUUAUAUAUCACUAAUUUCAGUACUAAAACUUAGUAUUGUGAUUAUACAUGUUAAUAUUUAAUAUUGGAAAACCGCACCACGAUGACCCGACUCGGUUGUAUAUCACAAAUUUCGGUACUACAAUUCCGUGUUCUGAUUAUCCACGUUAAUAUUUCAGUACUGAUUUCAAUACUGAACUAGAGCACCAAGAUGACCCGACUAUGUUCUAUAUCACUCAUUUCGGUACUGAAAUUUAGUAUUGCGAUUAUCCACCUUAAUAUUUCAAUACUGAUUUCAGUAUUGAAAUACAAAACGAGAUCACCCGACUCACUUGUAUAUCAUUAAUUUUGGUACUAAAAUUCAGUAUUGUGAUUCUUCACGUUAAUUUUUUAAUACUUAUUUCAAUACUAAAAGCAACACUAGGAUGAGCUGACUCUGUUUUAUAUCACUAAUUUCGGUAUAAAAUUCAGUAUUGCGAUUAUCUAUGUGAAUAUUUCAGUAUUGAUUUGAGUACUCAAAAAUAGCACGACUAACACACCUGCCUCAGUUCUAUAUCCCUAAUUUUGGUAUUAAUACUCAAUAUUAUGAUUAUACAUGUUCACAUUUCCGUACUGAUUGCAAUACUGAAAUACAACACCACGAUGACCCGAUUGGUCGUGUAUCACUAAUUUCAGUACUGAAAUUCAGUAUUGUGAUUAUCCACAUUAAUAUAUCAAUAUUGAUUUAGUACUGGAAUACAAAAUGGCGAUCACCACACUCAUUUAUGUAUCACUAAUUUUGGUAUUAAAAUUCAGUAUUGCGAUUAUCCACGUAAUAUUUCAAUACUGAUUUCAAGACUUAAAAACAAAACGAUGUUCACGAUACUUAGCUGUAUAUCACAAAUUUGUUACUAAUAUUCGGUACUGCAAUUAUCCAUGUUAAUACUGUAGUAUUGAUUUCAGUACUGAAAAACAGCUGGAUGAACGCAUGAAUCAAUUCUAUAUCACUAAUUUCGGUACUAAAGUAUAGCAUUGAGAUUAACCAUGUUAAUAUUUCAAUACUGAAAAAUGGCACCACGAUGACCCGACUGAGUUGUAGUGCUGUAAAGUAAAAUGAAAAUCACCUGACUCAUUUCUAUGUAACUUCGAUAUAAAAUUUAGUAAUGCGGAUAUCCGUGUUAUUAUUUCAGUAUUAGUUUGAGUACUCAAAUAUAGCACGACUAACACCUGACUCAGUUCUAUAUCACUAAUUUCGAUACUAAAACUCAGUAUUGCGGUUAUCCACCUUAAUAUUUCAAUACUGAUUUGAGUACAAAAAAACCGCACCAGGAUGACCCGACUCAGUUGUAUAUCACUAAUUUUGUUACUAAAAUUCAGUAUUGCGAUUAUCCACUUAAUAUUUCAAUACUGAUUUCAAGACUUAAAAACAAACCGAUGAUCACAAGACUUAGGUGUAUAUCACAAAUUUGUUACUAAUAUUCGGUACUACGAUUAUCCAUGUUAAUAUUGUUGUAUUGAUUUCCGUACUAAAAAACAGCUCGGCGAACACAUGAUUCAAUUCUAUAUCACUAAUUUCAGUACUAAAAUAUAGCUUUGAGAUUAACCACGUUAAUAGUUCAAUACUGAAAACAGCACCACGAUGGCCCGACUCACUUGUAUAUUACUAAUUUGUGUACUAAAAUUCAGUAUUGCAAUUAUGUACCUUAAUAUUUAAAUAUUGAUUUCAGUACUGAAAUACAGCACCAAGAUGACCCGACUCUGUUCUAUACCACUCAUUUCGGUACUAGAAUUCAGUAUUGCGAUUAUCUAAUUUAAUACUUCAAUACUGGUUUCAGUAUUGAAAAACAAAACAACGAUCACCCGACUCACUUCUAUACCACCAAUUUCGGUAUAAAUUUUACUAUUUCGAUUAUCCAUGUAAGUAUUUCAGUAUUAAUUUGAGUACUCAAAAAUAGCAUGACUAACACGUGACUCGGUUAUAUAUCACUAAUUUCAGUACUAAAAUUUUGUAUUGUGAUUGUCCAUGUUAAUAUUUAAUAUUGAAAAAAUGCACCACGAUGACCCAUCUCGGUUGUAUAUCACUAAUUUUGGUACUAAAAUUUAGUGUUCUGAUUAUCCACGUUAAUAUUUCAAUGAUGAUUUCAAUACUGAACUAGAGCACCAAGAUGAUCCGACUAUGUUCUAUAUCACUCAUUUCGGUACUGAAAUUCAGUAUUGCGAUUAUCCACCUUAAUAUUUCAAUACUAACUUCAGUACUGAAAUACAAAACGAGAUCACCCAACUCACUUGUAUAUCACUAAUUAUGGUACUAAAUUCAGUAUUGUGAUUCUUCGCGUUAAUUUCUCAAUACAUAUUUCAAUACUAAAAACAACACUAGGAUGACCUGACUUAGUUUUAUAUCACUAAUUUCAGUAUAAAAUUCAGUAUUGCGAUUAUCUAGGUGAAUAUUUCAGUAUUGAUUUGAGUACUCAAAAAUAGCACGACUAACACCUGCCUUAGUUCUAUAUCACUAAUUUUGGUAUUAAAACUCAGUAUUAUGAUUAUACAUGUUAACAUUUCCAUACUGAUUUCAAUACUGAAAUACAGCACCACGAUGGUAUCACUAAUUUCAGUACUGAAAUUCAGUAUUGUGAUUAUCCACAUUAAUAUAUUAAUAUUGAUUUUAGUACGGAAAUACAAAAUGAUGAUCACCACACUUAGUUGUGUAUCACUAAUUUUGGUAUUAAAAUUCAGUAUUGCGAUUAUCCCCUUAAUAUUUCAAUACUGAUUUCAAGACUUAAAAACAAAACGAUGUUCACGAGACUUAGCUGUAUAUCACAAAUUUGUUACUAAUAUUCGGUACUGCGAUUAUCCAUGUUAAUACUGCAGUAUUGAUUUCAGUACUAAAAAACAGCUGGAUGAACGCAUGACUCAAUUCUAUAUCACUAAUUUCGAUACUAAAAUAUAGCAUUGAGAUUAACCACGUUAAUAUUUCAAUACUGAAAAACAGCACCACGAUGACCCAACUGAGUUGUAGUACAGAAAAAUAAAACGAAAAUCACCCGACUCAUUUCUAUGUAACUAUUUCGGUAUAAAAUUUAGUAUCGCGGAUAUCCGUGUUAUUAUUUCAGUAUUAGUUUGAGUACUCAAAUAUAGCACGACUAACACCUGACCAGUUCUAUAUCACUAAUUUUGAUACUAAAACUCAGUAUUGCGAUUAUCCACCUUAAUAUUUCAAUACUGAUUUCAGUACAAAAAACAGGACCAGGAUGAUCUGACUCAGUUGUAUAUCACUAAUUUUGUUAUUAAAAUUCAGUAUUGUGAUUAUCCACUUAAUAUUUCAAUACUUAUUUCAAGACUUAAAAACAAACCGAUGAUCACAAGACUUAGGUGUAUAUCACAAAUUUGUUACUAAUAUUCGGUAUUAUGAUUAUCCAUGUUAAUAUUGCUGUAUUGAUUUCAGUACUGAAAAAUAGCUCGAUGAACGCAUUACUCAAUUCUAUAUCACUAAUUUCAGUACUAAAAUAUAGCAUUGAGAUUAACCAUGUUAAUAGUUCAAUACUGAAAAACAGCACCACGAUGGCACGACUGAGUUGUAUAUUACUAAUUUCGGUACUAAAAUUCAGUAUUGUAAUUAUCCACCUUUGAUCACAAGACUUAGGUGUAUAUCACAAAUUUGUUACUAAUAUCGGUAUUGCGAUUAUACAUGUUAAUAUUGUUGUAUUGAUUUCUGUACUGAAAAACAGCUCGACGAACGCAUAACUCAAUUCUAUAUCACUAAUUUCAGUACUAAAAUAUAGCAUUGAGAUUAACCACGUUAAUAGUUCAAUACUGAAAAACAGUACCACGAUGGCCCGACUGAGUUGUAUGUUACUAAUUUCGGUAUUAAAAUUCAGUAUUGUAAUUAUCCACCUUAAUAUUUAAAUAUUGAUUUCAGUACUGAAAUACAGCACCAAGAUGACCUGACUCUGUUCUAUACCACUUAUUUCAGUACUAAAAUUCAGUAUUGUGAUUAUCCACUUUCAUACUUCAAUACUGGUUUCUGUACUAAAAAACAAAACGACGUUCACCCGUCUCACUUCUAUACCACAAAUUUCGGUAUAAAUUUUACUAUUGCGAUUAUCCAUGUUAGUAUUUCAGUAUUAAUUUGAGUACUCAAAAAUAGCAUGACUAACACCUGACUCGGUUCUAUAUCACUAAUUUCAGUACUAAAACUUAGUAUUGUGAUUAUCCAUGUUAAUAUUUAAUAUUGAAAAACUGCACCACGAUGACCCGAUUCGGUUGUAUAUCACUAAUUUCGGUACUAAAAUUUAGUGUUCUGAUUAUCCACGUUAAUAUUUCAGUACUGAUUUCAAUACUGAACUAGAGCACCAAGAUGACCCGACUAUGUUCCAUAUCACUCAUUUCGGUACUGAAAUUCAGUAUUGCGAUUAUCCACCUUAAUAUUUCAUUACUGAUUUCAGUACUGAAAUACAAAACGAGAUCACCCGACUCACUUGUAUAUCACUAAUUUUGGUACUAAAAUUUAGUAUUGUGAUUCUUCACGUUAAUUUUUUAAUACUUAUUUCAAUACUAAAAACAAUACUAGGAUGACCUGACUCAGUUUUAUAUCACUAAUUCCGGUACAAAAUUCAGUAUUGUGAUUAUCUAUGCUAAUAUUUAAGUAUUUAUUUGAGUACUCAAAAAUAGCAUGACUAACACGUGCCUCGGUUCUAUAUCACUAAUUUUGGUAUUAAAACUCGGUAUUAUGAUUAUACAUGUUCACAUUUCGGUACUGAUUUCAAUACUGAAAUACAGCACCACGAUGACCCGACUCGGUCGUGUAUCACUAAUUUCAGUACUAAAAUUCAGUAUUGUGAUUAUCCACAUUAAUAUAUCAAUAUUGAUUUCAGUACUGAAAUACAAAAUGACGAUCACCACACUUAGUUGUAUAUCACCAAGGGAAAGAAGAGCAGCAACACCAAGGGGCGUCACCAAGGGAAAGAAGAGCAACAACACCAAGGGGCGGCAUCAUAACCUGGCAAGUCAAGGGGGCAAUGGUAAGCGCAAAGCUGAUAGUAAUUUGGAUUUUGUGGCUAACACCAAUACGCAGAAUAAGGGUCAGCGUCGCAAGGGAGAGCCACCUCCUCGGUUUGGAGGGCCAAAUUUCAGUCUUGAGGAGCUGAUGAAUCAGCCCCGCCCGAAGCAUUUUACAUGGGAAAAUUCGGCCGCUCCAGAACAAUCAUGGGCUAGACGGUGGCUUGGGUUCCAGCGCUUAUGGUCUGGGUUAUGGUGGUGGCGGUUCAAGUUCCGGUUUUCAAGGCCAAGGCAAUCAGGGUGGUUAUAAUCAACAAUCUGAUCAGGGGAAUCAGCAGUAGCAGCAGUCUGGUUAUCAAAGUAACCCAAAGCAGUUGAAUAGUGGGCAGUACCAUGUUUUCUCCAUGAGUCUGUGUAAGCGGUAUCAAAAGCUCCAUAAAAGGGCAGUAAACGCGGUUGAGCCGGUAAUUCCUCGUUACUUGCGAUGGUCUGAACACCCCAUUCUCUCGAGCCGUGAAGAUCACACGCCCCGGGUUGAUAACCCGGGUCACUUGGCUUUGUUGGUGGCACCUCAGGUUGGAGGAUACAAAUUCCCUAAAGUGCUAAUGGAUGGAGGCUGUAGAAUCAAUAUCCUUUAUUAUGACACUUUUCGUUGCAUGGGAUUAACUGAUAAAAAUCUUAAGCCGUCGAACACUAUUUUUCAUGGAGUGGUGCCUGGUAAAUCAGCAUAUCAUGUGGGAAAAUAUCUUUGGAGGUUGCCUUUGGAGAUGAGUAUGAUUCCAGAUCUGAGACGGUGACCUUCGAAGUCAAGAGCCUUUAUCAUGCUCUGUUUGGAUGGCCGGGUUACGCUAAGUUCAUGGCAAGGCCUUGUUAUGUUUAUUUGCAGCUUAAGAUGCCGGGUCACAAGGGCACCAUCACACUGCAUGGAAGUCACAAGAUAGCCUUGGAAUGUGAAGAAGGCGAUGCUGCUUACGCUGAGUCUGUCUGUGCAACAGAGGAAUUGAAAUUUUACAAGGAUAAUGUUGACCCGACGGAUAUGACAUCCUUGAAGAAGCCAACCACGGGGCAUGACCCCUUGUUGAAGUUUAAGUCGGCAGAUGACACUAAGCUAGUUGACUUCAUUCCUGGCGAUUCAUCCAAGCAGUUCAGCAUCAGUGCUAAUCUGGAUCUGAAAUAGGAAAGUGCGCUCAUCGAGUUCAUCUGUGAGAACUGGGACAUCUUUGCAUAAGCCUUUAGACAUGCCAGCUGUGCCGAGGGAACUCGCUGAGCGCACUCUCAAUAUUGAUCCAAAGUUUAAACCGGUCAAGCAAUUCCUUUCAAUGAAGAGAGGCGCAAGGCUAUUGGUGAAGAAGUCGCCUGGCUCUUGGCGGCUGGGUUUAUCGUUGAAAUUUUUCAUCCUGAGUGGUUGGCUAACCUGGUGCUGGUGCUUACAAAAAACGGCACCUGGCGCAUGUGUGUGGAUUAUACAGACUUAAACAAGGCCUGUUCGGCUGAUCCCUUUGCUCUCCCCCGUAUUGAUCAUAUUAUUGAUGCUACGGUGGGUUGUGAAUGUUUGAGUUUUUUGGAUGCUUAUUCUGGUUAUCAUCAGAUCAAGAUGGCAGUUAAGGACCAGGAGAAGACAGCCUUCAUCACUCCCUUUGGAGCCUUCUGUUAUGUGUCUAUGCCUUUUGGGCUCAAGAAUGCACAGGCGACUUACCAGCGGUGUGUGCAAAAUUGUCUUCAUGAUCAGAUUGGGCGCAAUGUUCAUGCUUAUGUGGAUGAUAUUUCAACAUGGAGUUUCUUCAUGCACUUUUACACCAAUAUGACCUAAACGGCAGUGCCACAAAUAAGUUGCACUAUCAUUAUUUGAAGGAAAUAUUCCCUAGAGGCAAUAAUAAAGUUGUUAUUUAUAUUUCCUUAUAUCAUGAUAAAUGUUUAUUAUUCAUGCUAGAAUUGUAUUAACCGGAAACUUGAUACAUGUGUGAAUACAUAGACAAAACAGAGUGUCUCUAGUAUGCCUCUACUUGACUAGCUAGUUAAUCAAAGAUGGUUAAGUUUCCUAGCCAUAGACAUGUGUUGUCAUUUCAUGAACGGGAUCACAUCAUUAGGGAAUGAUGUGAUGGACAAGACCCAUCCGUUAGAUUAGCAUAAUGAUUGUUUAGUUUUAUUGAUAUUGCUUUCUUCAUGACUUAUACAUGUUCCUUUGACUAUGAGAUUAUGCAACUCCCGAAUACCGGAGGAACACCUUGUGUGCUAUCAAACGUCACAACGUAAUUGGGUGAUUAUAAAUAUGCUCUACAGGUGUCUCCGAUGGUGUUUGUUUAGUUGGCAUAGACCGAGAUUAGGAUUUGUCACUCCGUGUAUCGGAGAGGUAUCUCUGGGCCCUCUCGGUAAUGCACAUCACUAUAAGCCUUGCAAGCAAUGUGACUAAUGAGUUAGUCACAGGAUGAUGCAUUACAGAACGAGUAAAGAGACUUGCCGAUAACGAGAUUGAACAAGGUAUGAUGAUACCGAUGAUCGAAUCUCGGGCAAGUAACAUACCGAUGACAAAGGGAACAACGUAUGUUGUUAUGCGGUUUGACCGAUAAAGAUCUGCGUAGAAUAUGUAGGAGCCAAUAUGAGCAUCCAGGUUCUGCUAUUGGUUAUUGACCGGAGAUGUGUCUCGGGCAUAUCUACAUAGUUCUCGUACCCGUAGGGUCCGCACGCUUAAUGUUCGAUGAUGAUUUGUAUUAUGAGUUAUGUGAUUUGAUGACCGAAGUUUGUUCGGAGUCUCGGAUGAGAUCACGGACAUGAAGAGGAGUAUCGAAGGUCGAGAGGUAAAGAUCGAUAUAUUAGAAGGCUAUAUUCGGACAUCGGAAAGGUUCCGAGUGAUUCGCGUAUUUUUCGGAGUACCUGAGAGUUACGGGAAUUCGUCGAGGGAAGUAGUGGGCCUUAAUGGGCCAUACGGGAAAGGAGAGAAGGGCCUCAGGGGUUGGCCAUGCGCCCCCCCCAUGGCAAGUCCGAAUUGGACUAGGGAGGGGCGGCGCCCCCCUCUCUUUCCUUCUCCCUCUCCUACUCCUUCCCUCUCUCCCCUCUUGGAAAAGGAAGGGGACUCCAACUAGGAUUUGGAAUCCUAGUUGGACUCCCCUAUAGGCGUGCCCCUCCUAGGCUGGCCUCCUCCUCCUCCCUCCUUUAUAUAUGUGGCCAAGGGGGCACCCCAAAGCACAACAGACAAUCUCUUAGCCAUGUGCAGUGCCCCCUCCACAGUUACACACCUCGGUCAUAUCGUCGUAGUGCUUAGGCGAAGCCCUGUGCCGGUAGCUUCAUCAUCACCGUCACCAUGCCGUCAUGCUGACGGAACUCUCCCUUGGCCUCAACUGGAUCAAGAGUACGAGGGACGCCAUCGAGCUGAACGUGUGCUGAACACGGAGGUGUUGUACGUACGGUGCUAGGAUCGGUUGGAUCGUGAAGAUGUACGACUACAUCAACCGCGUUGAUAUAACGCUUCCGCUUUCGGUCUACGAGGGUAUGUGGACACACUCUCCCCACUCGUUGCUAUGCAUCACCUAGAUAGUUCUUGCGUGAUCAAGCAAUUUUUCUGAAAUUACUGCGUUUCCCAACAUUAUUAGCUUUGCAUCUUUUGGCUUCAAUAUUAUAAAUAUGUGUAUCACUACGAUCAAGAUUCAAUAAACCAUUUAUAUUGAGUGUAUGAUCGUAGAAGGUUUCAUUCAUGUAAAUAGAACAACAAUUAUUCUUUGACUUAAAUGAAUAACCGUAUUGCAAUAAACAUGAUCCAAUCAUAUUCAUGCUCAACGCGAACACCAAAUAAUAUUUAUUUUAGGUUCAACACAAAUCCCGAAGGUAAAGGGAGUGUGCGAUGGUGAUCUUAUCAACCUUGGAAUCACUUGCAACACACAUCAUCACCUCGCCCUUAACUAGUCUCUGUUUAUUUUGCAACUCCCAUUUCGAGUUACUACUCUUAGCAAUUGAACCAGUAUCAAAUACCGACUGGUUUCUAUAUACCUUUGUUCACUUUGCCAUCCUUGUUAUCCGCCAAGUAUCUAGGGCAGUUCCACUUCUAGUGACCAUUUCCAUUGUAGUAGAAGCACUCAGUUUCAGGCUUGAGUCUAGCUUUGGGUUUCUCCACGGGAGUGACAACUUGCUUGUCAUUCUUCUUGAAGUUCCCUUUCUAUCCCUUUGUCCUUCACUUGAAACUAGUGGUCUUGUUAACCAUCAAUACUUGAUGAUAUUUCUUGAUUUCUACCUUCGCCGAUUUCAGCAUCGCGAAGAGCUCGGGAAUUACUUUCGUCAUUCCUUGCAUAUUAUAGUUCAUCACGAAGUUCUAGUAACUUGGUGAUAGUGACUAGAGAACUUUGUCAAUUACUAUCUUAUCUGGAAGAUUAACUCCCACUUGAUUCAAGCAAUUGUAGUACCUAGACAAUCUGAGCACAUGCUCACUAGUUGAGCUAUUCUCCUCCAUCUUGUAGGCAAAGUACUGUCAGAGGUCUCAUACCUCUUGACACGGGCAUGAGUAUGAAAUACCAAUUUCAACUCUUGGAACAUCUUAUAUGCUCCGUGGCGUUCAAAACAUUUUUGAAGUCCCGGUUCUAAGCCGUAAAGUAUGAUGCACUAAACUAUCAAGUAGUCAUCAUACCGAGCUUGUCAAACGUUCAUAACGUCUGCAUCUGCUCCUGCAAUAGGUCUGUCAACUAGCGGUGCAUCAAGGACAUAAUUCUUCUGUGCAGCAAUGAGGAUAAUCCUCAGAUCAUAGACCAAGUCCGCUUCAUUGCUACUAUCAUCUUUCAACUUAUUUUUCACUAGGAACAUAUCAAAAAUAAACAGGGAGCUACAUCGCGAGCUAUUGAUCUACAGCAUAGUUAUGCAAAUACUAUCAGGACUAAGUUCAUGAUAAAUUAAAGUUCAAUUAAUCAUAUUACUUAGGAACUCCCACUUAGAUAGACAUCCCUCUAGUCAUCUAAAUGAUCACAUGAUCCAUAUCAACUAAACCAUGUCCGAUCAUCACGUGAGAUGGAGUAGUUUUCAAUGGUGAACAUCACUAUGUUGAUCAUAUCUACUAUAUGAUUCACGUUCAACCUUUCGGUCUCAGUGUUCCGAGGCCAUAUCUGCAUAUGCUAGGCUCGUCAAGUUUAACCCGAGUAUUCUGCGUGUGCAAAACUGGCUUGCACCCGUUGUAUGUGAACGUAGAGCUUAUCACACCCGAUCAUCAUGUGGUGUCUCGGCACGACGAACUGUCGCAACGGUGCAUACUCAGGGAGAACACUUAUACCUUGAAAUUUAGUGAGAGAUCAUCUUAUAAUGCCACCGCCGAACUAAGAAAAAUAAGAUGCAUAAAGGAUAAACAUGACAUGCAAUCAAUAUAAGUGAUAUGAUAUGGCCAUCAUCUUCUUGUGCCUUUGAUCUCCAUCUCCAAAGCACCGUCAUGAUCACCAUCGUCACCGGCUUGACACCUUGAUCUCCAUCGAAGCAUCGUUGUCAUCUUGCCAACUAUUGCUUCUACGACUAUCGCUACCGCUUAGUGAUAAAGUAAAGCAAUUACAUGGCGAUUGCAUUUCAUACAAUAAAGCGACAACCAUAAGGCUCCUGCCAGUUGCCAAUAACUUUUACAAAACAUGAUCAUCUCAUACAACAAUUUAUAUAGAAUCACGUCUUGACCAUAUCACAUCACAGCAAGCCUUGCAAAAACAAGUUAGACGUCCUCUACUUUGUUGUUGCAAGUUUUACAUGGCUGCUAAGGGCUUCUAGCAAGAACCGUUCUUACCUAGGCAUCAAAACCACAAUGAUUUUUCGUCAAGUGUGAUGUUUUAACCUUCAACAAGGACCGGGCGUAGUCACACUCGAUUCAACUAAAAUUGGAGAAACAGACACCCACUCGCCACCUGUGUGCGAAGCACGGCGGUAGAACCAGUCUCAUGAACGCGGUCAUGUAAUGUCGGUCUGGACCGCUUCAUCCAACAAUACCGCCGAAUCAAAGUAUGACAUGCUGGUAAGCAGUGUGACUAUUAUCUCCCACAACUCUUUGUGCUCUAUUCGUGCAUAUAACAUCUACGCAUAGACCUGGCUCGGAUGCCACUGUUGGGGAACGCAGUAAUUUCAAAAAUAUUCCUACGAUCACGCAAGAUCUAUCUUGGUGAUGCAUAGCAACGAGCGAGGAGAGUGUGUCCAUGUACCCCGUAGACCGAAAGCGGAAGCAUUAUAUCAACGCGGUUGAUGUAGUCAUACGUCUUCAUGAUCCAACCGAUCAAGUACCGAACGCACGGCACCUUCGCGAUCUGCACACGUUCAUCUCGGUGACGUCUCUCGAACUCUAGAUCCAGCUGAGGCCGAGGGAGAGUUCCGAAGCACGACGGCGUGGUGACGGUGAUGAUGAAGUUACGGCGCAGGGCUUCGCCUAAGCACUAUGACGAUAUGACCGAGGUGGAAAACUGUGGAAGGGGGCACCUCACACGGCUAAAGAUCAACUUUGAUGUGUUCUAGGGUGCCCCCCUCCCCCCAUAUAUAAAGGAGGGAGGGGAGGCCGGCCGGCCACAAGGGGCGCGCCAAGGGGAGAGGAAUCCUACUCCUAGUAGGAGUAGGUUUCCCCCUUUCCUAGUCCAACUAGGAGGAGAAGGAAGGAGAGGGAGAGGGAGAGGGAAAGAGGGGUCAGGCCCCCUCCCCUAGUCCUAUUCGUAAUCCCCAUGGGGGGGCGUGCCACCUCCUGGGGCGGCCCUCUCUCUCUCCCCUCAAGGNNNNNNNNNNNNNNNNNNNNNNNNNNNNNNNNNNNNNNNNNNNNNNNNNNNNNNNNNNNNNNNNNNNNNNNNNNNNNNNNNNNNNNNNNNNNNNNNNNNNNNNNNNNNNNNNNNNNNNNNNNNNNNNNNNNNNNNNNNNNNNNNNNNNNNNNNNNNNNNNNNNNNNNNNNNNNNNNNNNNNNNNNNNNNNNNNNNNNNNNNNNNNNNNNNNNNNNNNNNNNNNNNNNNNNNNNNNNNNNNNNNNNNNNNNNNNNNNNNNNNNNNNNNNNNNNNNNNNNNNNNNNNNNNNNNNNNNNNNNNNNNNNNNNNCCUCUGGCACUCCAGUUUUAUCCGAAACUCUCCGGAACACUUUCGGUGUCUGAACAACAUGGUCCAAUAUAUCAAUCUUUAUUUCUCGACCAUUUCGAGACUCCUCGUCAUGUCCGUGAUCUCAUCCGGAACUCCGAACUACCUUCGGCAUCAGAACUACCUUCGAACGUUAAGCGUGCGGACCCUACGGGUUCGAGAACUAUGUAGAGAUGACCGAGAAUCAUCUCUGGUCAAUAACCAAUAGCGGAACCUGGAUGGUCAUAUUGGCUCCUACAUAUUCUACGGAGAUCUUUAUCGGUCAAACCGCAUAACAACAUACGUUGUUCCCUUUGUCAUCGAUAUGUUACUUGCCCGAGAUUCGAUCGUCGGUAUCAUCAUACCUAGUUCAAUCUCAUUACCGGCAAGUCUCUUUACUCUUUCCGUAAUGCAUCAUUCCGCAACUAACUCAUUAGUCACAUUGCUUGCAAGGCUUAUAGUGAUGUGCAUUACCGAGAGGGCCCAGAGAUACCACUCUGAUACACGGAGUGACAAAUCCUAAUCUCGAUCUAUGCCAACCCAACAAACACCUUCUGAGACACUUGUAGAGCAUCUUUAUAAUCACCCAGUUACGUUGUGACGUUUGAUAGCACACAAGGUGUUCCUCCGGUAUUCGGGAGUUGCAUAAUCUCAUAGUCUGAGGAACAUGUAUAAGUCAUGAAGAAAGCAGUAGCGAUGAAACCGAAACGAUCAUAAUGCUAAGCUAACGAAUGGGUCUUGUCCAUCACAUCAUUCUCUAAUGAUGUGAUCCCGUUCAUCAAAUGACAACACAUGUCUAUGGCUAGGAAACUUAACCAUCUUUGAUUAACGAGCUAGUCAAGUAGAGGCAUACUAGGGACACUCUGUUUGUCUAUGUAUUCACACAUGUAUUAAGUUUCCGGUUAAUACAAUUCUAGAAUGAAUAAUAAACAUUUAUCAUGAAAUAAAGAAAUAAAUAAUAAAUUUAUUAUUGCCUCUAGGGCAUAUUUUCUUCAUCUUCGUGAGGGAAGUUCAGAUUGAGAGGGGAUGUUCAACUGUAUGUUGUUGUGAUCUAGGAGGCUAUUAGUAUUUGUACUCAUCUCCUAUAACAACUUCUGUAAUCUGUGCCCUAGCUGCACCCAUAUAUAAACAUCCCAAGGCCACCGUAUCGCUUGUGUCGAUCCAAUCUCUCUUUCUCUCGUUUCACAUAAGGUACUGCAGUUUUGAGUGACAAGUUAAGUCCUUAUGUACCAAGGAGCAAUAAACCAAGCCGAUUUUAUAAAGGGACAAGUAAAGAAAAGGUGCAGCUCAUCUUCUUGCACUGCACACCUACAACAAACCUUUUGGAUAUGUUUUGAGUAUCGCCCCGCUCUGUCUCCUGUCGGAAGAGCCUUCCGAAGCAAUCGCCAUGUGAAAGUCCGAAUCCUUGGAAUGAUCUCCUUGCAUUUCCAAACCUGUUUCAGUAGCUGGAUCAUGUCCUGAGAGAGUAUUUCUGGCUGCUCUUCCUGUCCUUUAUCAUACAUAACCUGCAAACAAGCAUGAUAUGCAGAUUUUGCGUUUGCAGUUGCCAUCUUGGCCCAGCUUCCAACAAAGAAAAGCUUGGUCCUCUUCAUUGAUAGUUUGCUUUAUAAUAAGAGUUGCACUAGGGGCGAAAACUGAGUUGAUUAGUUCUUCAUACCAUACUUUUUGAUUAGGCAGCCAAAGAUCUUUUAACAAGAGCUGGGUAAUUGAAACCUUGCGGCUGGAUAAUUAAGUCCUCAUAGAUAGUAAACCAAGAAGCGUACCAAGGCGUGCUUCAGAUGGAAAUGUUGCCUUGGGUAAGCUAAGGCAGAUUUAAGAGUGUUACGAUUAAAAAACAUUUAGUUGAAUUGUAUAAACCAUAACAUUAAAAAAGAAACUGGAAUAAGGUAAGCCAGGUGCUUUUUUAACAUAGUACAAUCAAAAUCGUUCACAUACAUGAGCAUACACUCACAUGUAUGAACACACGCAUGCUCACCCUACCUCUAUGAGCAUCUUCGAGGGACAGAGCCGACAUAGUAUCUUGAGAUUUUUAUGAAGUCACCAUGGGUGCCUCGAACAUCUCCUCCCACUAAAUAAACAUCAUCAGAAAUCUGAAAUAAAUCCAGCAAUAAUACGAGCACCAAUGUCAAGUAUAGGACUUGAACCCUGGUAGGUAGGGGAUACUUCCGUCCUCCUAACCAUCCAACCACAGGUUGGCUCGCAGGCGAGUGCGUCGUUACUAGACACUUGGCUUAUAGAGUCCACCAUCAAGGAGUCGUCAACUGGGGUGUAGAUGAACAUGUGGCAGGGACGUUGGUCCUGUGGGGCCUUACCAUGACGACUUCCUGACUGUCUACUAAAACAAGUUUGGCGUAGCUUCAAUGAGGGAGGGGUGAUGACGGCGUCGUGCCUGUGUCUCGCUUCAGUGUUUAUAGUCGUUGCUAGGCGGUCUACACACGUGGGUGUAAUUUUUGUUAUUUUUUAAUUCUUUACUGUCCUGGCAUGAUGAAUAGAUCGGAAGUUUUUUUCUCCAAAAACACUAAAAAGCACCCAUUAAUGAGUGUUGUCGCAUGUCUAGCUGGUCCACGCACAUUUCCCACUAUCACACGCCCUUUCCCGUCGGAGCGCACCUUUCCCAGCGCCCUUACCCGGGGAAGCACAACUAUAUAAACCGACACUCUCUUUGUUUUUGUGAUACGUGUGACACAUAUCUACAAAUUGGUAGUGUUCAUGCCACUUAUACCAUUUUGACAUAGUUUGGCACAAUUUUAUAUUAAUUUAUUGCACUAACUAAUUAAUCCGGUACCCAACGUAAGUUGGGUUUUUUAUUUAUGUUUUAGGACUUUUCAAAAACCAUCUUUUUAGGGACAAAAGUAUUGAAAAAAAAUAUUUUGAAUGUCUCCAUCGGGAAGGAGACGACUGAAGAGCCGGUAGAGGAGGGCCCAUGUGGGCCCCACACGGCCCUGGCUCGCGGUAUCAACAAAAAAAUGCCGUAAGGGAGAUCCCGACGGCUUCCAUGCAUAGCCAACAAGUGAAAGUCGACAGUGAGCAGGGCACAAUCAUGCACUGAAGGUCGACACUGCUGCCUCGAUGCAAUGUUGCUCUUGAGCCUGCUGCUAGGGGUGAGCGGGGAUGGUGAGUAGAUGAGCAUCGAGGGGUGCAUCAUAGUUGGGUGGACCUCGGAGGUGGAGAAGGAUUUUGAAGUUAGGUUUUUGUGAGUUGGGCACCAUUAGGUUGGCGGGAUUUAGAAGUUAGGUAUACGACAGCUUCAUGCAUCUGUUGGUCGCUGAUAAUGUGCGCACUCUGUGCGGGGCCGGUUUAUGUGCUUUUUAUCGUUCUCUAGUUUUCUCGUCGUUCGAUUGAGUUUUUUGUUGGUUUUGAUUGGGAUUUUCUUCUGUGUUUUCAAGUUUUUCCUUCAUUUUUCUGUUUCUUCAUGAUUUUCUUUGGUUUAUCUGCUUUCUUCUUUUUUCAUCGGUUUUCUUUGCACUUUCUCGGUUUGCAUUGAUUUUUUUCGUUCCAUUCUUUUUUCUUCAGUUUUCUUUGUUNNNNNNNNNNNNNNNNNNNNNNNNNNNNNNNNNNNNNNNNNNNNNNNNNNNNNNNNNNNNNNNNNNNNNNNNNNNNNNNNNNNNNNNNNNNNNNNNNNNNNNNNNNNNNNNNNNNNNNNNNNNNNNNNNNNNNNNNNNNNNNNNNNNNNNNNNNNNNNNNNNNNNNNNNNNNNNNNNNNNNNNNNNNNNNNNNNNNNNNNNNNNNNNNNNNNNNNNNNNNNNNNNNNNNNNNNNNNNNNNNNNNNNNNNNNNNNNNNNNNNNNNNNNNNNNNNNNNNNNNNNNNNNNNNNNNNNNNNNNNNNNNNNNNNNNNNNNNNNNNNNNNNNNNNNNNNNNNNNNNNNNNNNNNNNNNNNNNNNNNNNNNNNNNNNNNNNNNNNNNNNNNNNNNNNNNNNNNNNNNNNNNNNNNNNNNNNNNNNUUUCUUUCGCGGUAUUCUUCUUUUUUCUUGUUUCAUUCUCUGUUUUCAUUCUUUUAUCACCAGUUUCAUUGUUGUUUUUGUCUUUUUGUUUCUUUUGUCAAAUUAGUCCCUAAAAACGAUCGUGUUUUCCUCGCUCUUUUUGUAUAGAACAGGAAUAUUUAUUUACACACGUUUAAUUUUUUUCAAAUACAUGAACCAUUUUUGUGUACAUCUGAAAUAUCUUUCUAGCCGUUGAAUAUUUUUUGAAAUACCUGAUAUACUUCUUUUUCAAACACAUAUUUGGAUGUCAACUAUUUACAUACACACUCAACCUUUUCGUAUACAUCAGAAAUAUUAUUAUAUACACAUUUAACUUUUUCCUCAAUACAUGAUCAAUAUUUUUGAAAUAUUAUCUUUUUGUGUCUACCUUUUUUGAAAUAUUAUAUUUUUGUGUCUACCUUUUUUAUACGUAUACAUGCUUAACAUUUUCCAAUCAGAUAAUUAAAAAAUUUAAACUUAUAAUUUUUUUAUCUCCUUUUUGCAUAAACAUUGUGCAAUUUUUCUAUACAUUAGGAACAUUGUUUUUAUGCAACUUUAAAAAUCUCAAAUACAUGAUUUGCAUUUUAUCAAAAACAAUUAUGUCUGAAUUUUGCCAGACACAUUAUAUAUUUUUUAUAAAUCAGGAAUAUUUUUAUAUACACAUUUAACAUUUUCCAAAUACGUGAUUAACAUUCUUCAAAAAUAUUUUUAGUCUACUUUUCAUAUAAACAUUUCACAUUUUUGUAUACAUCAAAAAUAUAUUUGUAUAUAAACAUAUAACAUUUUUUAAAAUACAUGAAUUAAGUUUUUCAUAUAUAUGUAUUGAUGUCUACUUUUUCAUCCGCAUUGUACAUUUUGCGUACACAUUAGAACAUUUCUAUACAAGUUUAACAUUUUCUGAAUACAUGAUUAACAUUCUCAAUUAUGUAUAGAAAUUGAUUUUAAUAAUAGAUAUAACUAGAAUAUUUCUAAAUUCAAGCAAAUAAAACAAUUAAGAGAAAAAGAAAUGUAAAAAUGUGAAAAAAGGGAAGAAGAAAAGCGUUGAAGGUCUGUGCUCUGCACUGGGCCUGUUCAUUCUCGAGCGCUUGUAGAGGCUAGCGCCAAGAGCAGCUAUAAUCGGACUCUUCCAAUUGACCGGACAACCGCAGGACCACUGACCGAACAAAAAAAGUGCUCCCAGUUUGAAUUUUUGUGCGGGUUUUUUCGUGAACAAAAAGUUCAUCAAAACCUAUUAACAUGGGAUCUUGUUUCAAAGCUCUCGAUGUGAGAAAUCCGAUGGUGAAAACAGUUCGAGAUUUGGAUGCACGAUUUAAGAGAUAAAAUGUUUAAAAUAAACAAAUCUAUGAAAAAAAAAAGGGAAACUCCCCGGCUGCCACAAGUGGCGCGCAUGCAGUGCGCCACUUUCUCGCAUCCUGGGGUGGAAGUGAUCUUAGGAAGGUGUACACUUCAAUUAGUGAUUUUGGGUGAUUGAGCGCUCGCACGUUCGGGAGGCUCAUUCGUUCGGGAGCGUCAGUUAGUCGGUUUUCUUCUGUUUUUUGCUUUUCUUUUUCUUCCCUUUUUACAUUAUUUUUUGGUUUUUUGCAGUUUUUUGUAGUUUUUUGUUUUCUUUGCAGUUUCACCGGGUUUCUUCAUUUUUUAAUUGUUUUCCCUGUUCUUUUUUCUAUGAUUUCUUUGGCUAUUUCUUUCUUUUGGGUAUUUUCCUUUUUUUCUUUGGGUUUUUAUUUCUUUUCUGAUUUUCUUCGUCUCUUUGAACGUUUCUACUUGUUCGUUUUUUCUCCUUUCCCCCCUUCAUUUUUAUGUUUCUUUCUCGCAUUUUACAGGUCUUUUGCUUUUCUUUCUCCCUUUUUUCUUCACUGUUCUGUUUCUUCUUUUUCUUUUUCUGUUUUAUGAAUUUUAUUUAUUUCCCUUGGUACAUUUCUAGUAUACAUCAGGAACUUUUAUAUACACAUGAAACAUUUUCUAAAUACUCCCUCCGUUCCAAAAUAUAGUGCUUCCUCUAUUUUUAUGCUUCAAUUUUGAUCAUAAAUUUAACCAACGAGACAGACUGCGGCGGGAGCAAAAGUUACACCAGUGAAUUCGUAUUCAAAAGAAGUUUUCAAUUAUAUAAUUGUUUCUCCCGCUGUAGUCGGUCUCGUUGGUUAAGUUUAUCAUCAAAGUUGAACCUCGGGAAGCACGGAUGCACUAUAUUUUGGAAUGGAGGGAGUACAUGGUUAACAUUUUGGAAAACAUAUUUUUUAUGUCUACUUUUUGCAUAAAAAUGUUUAACAAAUUAUACACAUCAGGAACAUUUUUAACGUGCACAUUUAACAUUUUGCAAAUACAUGAUUAACAAUUUCUCAAACAUAUAUUUUUGGUAUCUACUUUUUUCAUAAACAUAAUCCAUUACUUUGUAUACAUCUAGAACAUUUUUAUUUUCUAAAUACGGGAUUAACAGUUUUUCAAACAUACAUUUAUUAUGCCCACUUCUUUUUAUAUACAUUGUACAUUUUUGUAUACAUCAGGAAUGUUUUAUGUAUACAUGUUUAACAUUUUACAAACACAUUGUGCAUUUUUUUGUAUAAAUAGGGAAUAUUUUUUAUAUACAUGUUUAACAUUUUGCUAAUGCAUGAUUAACAUUUUUAAAACGUAUAGGUUUUGGUGCCCUAUUUUUUAUAUAUACAUUGAACAGUUUUUAUGCAUUUUUAGUAUACAUCAGAAACAUUGUUUUACACAUUUAGCAUUUUUCGAAUGCAUGAUUAACAUUGUCUAAAAAAUAUAUGUAAAUUUGUUUUUUGUAAUACAGUCUGCCAGUCCAAAAAAUUGUCUUUGAUUUAUUACAACUUUGUACCAAUUUAUACUAAAUCAAAUACAUUUAUUUGGGACGAAGUGAGUAUGCAGAUAAUAUUUUGGAAUAAGAAAAAAAAUCUUAAAAGAAAAAAAUGUGAAAUAAAACAGUAAAAAAACAAGCGCUUUUGAAGCAUUUUGCCUCGUGGGCGCUAGGCGCGCCCUUGCAAAACGGAAAGCCUGGCCCAGGGAAGCCUGGUCCAUGCUCUCAGGUUUACUUCAGAGGCCUGGGACGUACAGUAGUACUCGGGAUGUUGUGCUCGGCUCGGGCAUGCAGUCCGUCGAGCGUCUAGGUGCUCUGUACCUAGCACCGCAAUCCACUCAACCCUCUCCGUCGCUCGGCGCCGCGCCGCCUGCCGUGAGCAGGAGCACGCCACGACACGCGACGCCAAAGCUGGCACGCACCUUUCCCAUGGGCCGGUAAGCACGACCGCGAGACGUGGCGUCCCGCCUCCCCGCUGGCACGCAGCUCUCCUCCACGUAGCCGCGCCACGGCGCCACGUACAGCGCCGCGCGCGCUACAAAUACGGUGCCUCAACCUCCAGUUCCCAGCACAGCCACACACAGAGCCAGUGACACAGAGAUAGUUCAACCAUGGCGACCAGAGGCAGAGCAACCAUCCCUCUCCUCUUCCUCCUGGGCACAAGCCUUCUCUUCGCCGCGGCUGUUUCGGCCUCCCAUGACGAGGAGGAGGACAGGCGCGGUGGGCGCUCGCUUCAGCGGUGCGUGCAGCGGUGCCAGCAGGACCGGCCGCGGUACUCUCAUGCCCGGUGCGUGCAGGAGUGCCGGGACGACCAGCAGCAGCACGGAAGGCACGAGCAGGAGGAGCAGGGCCGCGGGCAUGGCCGGCACGGCGAGGGGGAGCGUGAGGAGGAGCAGGGCCGUGGCCGUGGGCGGCGCGGCCAGGGAGAGCGUGAGGAGGAGCAGGGCCGUGGACGUGGGCGGCGCGGCGAGGGAGAGCGUGAUGAGGAGCACGGGGAUGGCCGGCGGCCGUACGUGUUCGGCCCGCGCAGCUUCCGCCGCAUCAUCCGGAGCGACCACGGGUUCGUCAAGGCCCUUCGCCCGUUCGACGAAGUGUCCAGGCUCCUCCGGGGCAUCAGGAACUACCGUGUCGCCAUCAUGGAGGUGAACCCGCGCGCGUUCGUCGUGCCGGGACUCACGGACGCAGACGGCGUCGGCUACGUCGCUCAAGGUACUGUCCAUCUUGUACACGCACUGUUGCAUGCAGCAUGCAUCUGCCAGAGUGCCGAUCGAUGAUAAUUAACGUGCGCAUGCAUGCAUGCAGGCGAGGGGGUGCUGACGGUGAUCGAGAACGGCGAGAAGCGGUCCUACACCGUCAGGCAAGGCGAUGUGAUCGUGGCGCCGGCGGGGUCCAUCAUGCACCUGGCCAACACCGACGGCCGGAGGAAGCUGGUCAUCGCCAAGAUUCUCCACACCAUCUCCGUCCCCGGCAAGUUCCAGGUAAUUAAGAAGUUGAUGCCGCUCGAAUCCCCCAUGUAGAUAUCCUGGCCGACAAUGCACUGACUGGCUGACUGACACGUGGAUACCCCAUGCAGUAUUUCUCGGCCAAGCCUCUCCUCGCUAGUUUGAGCAAACGCGUGCUCACAGCGGCGUUAAAGGUACGUACCAACUUACAUGCAUGCACGAAUUAAUAGAUAAAUUUCUCUUGUUUCUUCACUCAAUCCAUUUACACAAUUACAUCCAUGGACAUGGACGUGAACGUGCAGACCUCGGAUGAGCGGCUGGGUAGUCUCUUGGGCAGCCGCCAAGGCAAGGAGGAGGAGGAGAAGUCCAUCUCCAUCGUCCGCGCGUCAGAGGAGCAGCUCCGCGAGCUGCGUCGCCAGGCGUCCGAGGGUGACCAGGGCCACCACUGGCCUCUCCCCCCGUUCCGCGGCGACUCGCGCGACACCUUCAACCUCCUGGAGCAGCGCCCCAAGAUCGCCAACCGCCAUGGCCGCCUCUACGAGGCCGACGCCCGUAGCUUCCACGCCCUCGCCCAACACGACGUCCGCGUCGCCGUGGCCAACAUCACGCCGGUACGUCACCACGCUUAAUAAUUAGGCUCCUCGUCUCGUCGACCGGCGAUGGCACUUGAUAUCGUGAUUUGUCACUCAACUGUUGCUUACACGCAUGCAUGUGUCGAUCUGCAGGGUUCUAUGACCGCGCCCUACCUGAACACCCAGUCGUUCAAGCUCGCCGUCGUGCUGGAAGGCGAGGGCGAGGUGGAGAUCGUCUGCCCGCACCUCGGCCGCGACAGCGAGCGCCGCGAGCAAGAGCACGGCAAGGGCAGGUGGAGGAGCGAGGAAGAGGAGGACGACCGGCGGCAGCAACGCCGACGCGGGUCCGGCUCCGAGUCGGAGGAGGAGCAGGACCAGCAGAGGUACGAGACGGUCCGCGCGCGGGUGUCGCGCGGCUCGGCGUUCGUGGUGCCCCCCGGCCACCCGGUGGUGGAGAUCGCCUCGUCCCGCGGCAGCAGCAACCUCCAGGUGGUGUGCUUCGAGAUCAACGCCGAGAGGAACGAGCGGGUGUGGCUCGCCGGGAGGAACAACGUGAUCGCCAAGCUGGACGACCCCGCCCAGGAGCUCGCCUUCGGCAGGCCCGCGAGGGAGGUGCAGGAGGUGUUCCGCGCCAAGGAUCAGCAGGACGAGGGCUUCGUCGCCGGACCCGAGCAGCAGCAGGAGCAUGAGCGCGGGGACCGCCGCCGUGGUGACCGCGGGCGCGGCGACGAAGCCGUGGAGGCGUUCCUGAGGAUGGCAACCGCCGCGCUCUGAGGCGGCAAGGCCGCUGUUGUUAAGUGAAUGUGUGAGCUGGAGCCCGUGCCAUUUGAGAGCUGAACUUGUAUGUGUGUGUAAGUUUGUCAGUACGCGGGAGUAGCAUAAAUAAGUCGUGGCACGGGCUCAGUACGAUGAUGUAAGUUGCGUACCUACCUUCUACCAAGGCAUGCAUGCCCAACAUAAAUAAACACAAGGGCGUUGCGCCUCUUUUUCAGUAUUUUCCUGUACUUUAGUUACAUGCAAAUCAUCUGAAAAAUGAAUUUUCCGGCACUUUAGUUACAUGCAAAUCAUCUGAAAAAUGAUUUUUCCUCCACUUAUUUACAUGCAAAUCAUCUGAAAAAUGAAUUUUCCUCCACUUUAGUUACAUGCAAAUCAUCUGAAAGAAGAAUUUGUGUCGUGUCUCUCAGAGAACCAAAAAAAAUUAACUUUCUCUUCCUCGACAGGCAUGGGUUUACUUGUAGUGAGGUAUGGAUUUGGUUUCGCGAGAGGCAUAUUCGUCUCUCUUUCGGAAAAGAGAAAAAAAAAUGACUGUUCAAUUUUUUCGUCAAUUUUUUGUUAAGAAAGUACGUCAAUAGUUUUAAACUAUUAAAGAUCUUGAUGUGAGAAAAGAGAAAAAGAAAAAAUGACUUUUCAAUUUUUUCGUCAAUUUUUUGUUAAGAAAGUACGUCAAUAGUUUUAAACUAUUAAAGAUCUUGAUGUGAGAAAUCGGAAGAUGAAAACGGUGUUUUAAAGAUCUCGACGUUAGGAAUCAAAACGGUCCGGUCCGAAAUUUGACACACGGUUCGAGAGAUUGAACAUCUUAAAUAAAAGUUUUCGGGUAGAUUGAACAUUUUAAAUAAAAGCUUUCGGGUUAUGACAAGGAGCGCACAUGCGCUGUGCUAUUUGUGGCAUUCUGAGAUGCUAUUUGUGGCAUUCUAAGGAGCGCACAUACAGUGUGCUAUUUGUGGCAUUCUGAGAUGUGGGAGAGAACUUUGCAAAGAUUACUUUUUAAUUAGUGCCUAUGGCGAGAAGUGUGUGGGGCGAAGCUAUAUCUCGCUUUUAGCGAGCUGCAUGGGAGCAUAGCCUCAAGCGCGAGAUGGUUAGGGCGGCCCAGGGUCCUUAGUUUUUCUCCUCUGUUUUUUCAUUCAUUUUUUAUAUCUUCCAAAAGAAUCUAAUAUAUAUAUAUAUAUAAUAUAUAUAUAUAUAUAUAUAUAUAUAUAUUACAAAACUAAAGUUUACUUAAAAAUUCAGAACAUUGAAUUUUAAAAUACUAAGUUUUGUAAAUUAUGUUGUUACCGCAGUUUUAGGAAGUGUAGAUAACUUAAGAAAAACUGUCUCUUAUAAUGAAAAAAUGUCCUGUGUUUUAGAAAAAAUGUAUGCGAUAAUUUUUAAAUGUGCAUACAAUGUAAAAAAAUGCGUGCCUAACGUAAAGUCCAGACGGUAUGUAACACUCCAAAGAAAAAAAAUUCUGGCAAUUGAAGGAACGUCCGUGACAAUUAAAAUAAAUGUUUACACAACUGAAAAACAAUUCUCGCAUAGUUCAGAAAAAGUACUUCCAUUAAAAAAAUGUACAUGAUGUUUAUAAUGAAGAAAACCAAAGUAUAAUGAAGAAAGGAAUUAUAACGAAGAAAAAAAGGUUGUAGGUUCUUCUUUGACGCCUGCAGCUCAACCGUUACGAGCACACAGAAGCACCUCUGAAAGAGCACACGAACGCGCCAUCACAUGAAUGAAAAGCAAAGAAAACCGAAGAAAAAGAAGAAAACCAAGAAAAAAACAAAGUAUAUAAUGAAGAAAAAAAGGUUGUGGGUUCUUCGUGGACGCCUACGGUUCAACCGUUAUUAGCACAGAGAAGCACCUCGGAAGAUUCACAUGUACAUGGUGUUUUUAAAAAUAUUCACUAGUUUCCAAAAAAUUGUCCAUGAAAUCUCAAAAUUGUUUAUACAAUGUAAAAGAAUUUUUUGUACAGUUUGAAAAAUGAUUUUGUCAUUCAAAAAAUGCGUAACGUAUUUGUAAAAUGUUACCAUGUAUUGGAAAAAGUGUUCAAACCAUGUAUUUUAAAGAAAUGUAUGUUACUAGCACAGAGAAGCACCUCUGAAAAAGCACAUGAACUCGCCAUGACAUGAUUGCAGACACCCAAACCAGAAGCGAGCAAGCAUGGCAGGCCAGCAGAUGGACAGACAUGGGUGCAUUUCCCUGAGCGAGCGCAUGUUGAUGUUGGCAUGGCACCAACAUACGUACUCUGAUUCAACGGAUCUCAAGAAGCCGGGUAGAACACACACACACACACACACACACACACCAGUACAGAGUACACCACUCAUCACACUGACCAUCAUGACCAGUGCCCCCUCCAUAUCCCCCUCAUCCAUGCAGCUACGCUACCCGGACAGGGGCACGCACGCAUCCACACACGGCCCCGGCCGUGGCCGGAGACCGGAUGGCACAUGCCAAUAUGCCAUCAUCCGUCCCUUACGUGGGUACGUACACGCAUGGCGCGUCCCAUCGAUCUCGCCCACUCGAGCUCGAUCGAUUCUCCUAGCUAGCUAGCUUCCCGCGCGCUCGAUUUCGACCGGGGCAUGCAGAUGCCCGAGCUGACCAAAACCAUCAUGCGGGCGCCUUUUGCCUGAGGCGCUCGUCAAUCAUGUCGCUCCGGCGUCGGCCUCGGCCACCGCCCCGAGAAGGGAGAAAAGCCGCGGUAGCCUCUCCCGUCGUCAUCACGAGCCGUGCCCCUGCCGGCUGCCGUGCGCGGUCACCCCCGACCCCGAGCGCCCUGCCUACACAACAGCUUACUAAUUCUCUCUGACCACGGGCGGCCCCGGCGAUCAGUGUCGGCACGACCGACACAGUGGUACGGAGAAACUAAUAAAACUGCUAUCCCUAGUAGUACUAGAAAAGGACUUGAGAGAAGACUUGCGCGCGUGGUUUGACCUUGGGACAAAGGAGCAAACAACAAUACGUUGGCUUCACUGCUGCUGAGUGCUGACUUGCAUAUGCUCAGGCUGGCACACAGCGCAGUAGCAUGUGUUUGGCCUGCCAAAACGCAGGACUAUCAGGCUAUCAGCUAGUAAUCCAUUCGGUUCCGUCUGUUUACAGGCAUAUGCAUGCUACUGUACAUGCAGCUAUGAUCUGUCACAGAAUUAUCGAUCGACGAUGGCAGAGCCGCAGAGGACGACGGUAGCGCCGGGCUGCCUGUGCACAUUUUAAACGGCAGCUGUUGGGAAUUCACCUUCUGCAUGCAAACUCCACAAACGGUCCUGGUUAACUCUUUGCAUUGUUUUCGUCUAGAUAGAUAGGUUAGGCCUAAGUUGAGAUUCGGAGCGAUCUAUUCGCCCUGCACCAACAUGUUGGAGAUGCCUAUGCAUGCACCCUAUGGCGACAGUGACAACGCUAUCAUUCAUGCCACCUUUGCAAAACUGAAACGUGCAUGGAUAUUUUCCAUACGUGACAGCAACACUGAUAUUUUCCAACUCCCCGUACACGCAUACCUUUACCACGAGUCACAGCGCGGACAAAGAACGAAGAUGUAAACUGAAAAGAACUAGACAACUAGUGGUACGCUAAUUGCACGUCGAGAACCACUGCUCGAUCACCAUCGGUCUAUCUUGUUCGAUCACAGUGGUAAAUCUGACAACUCCAUCCCACAAAGACUUUCUCGACCCUUAACGGAAAUCAAGUCAUCAGCUGUUGUGCGCAGGCAGGACGAUGUGGCCGAUCGGUUUCCCGUCGAUCAAACAGUGUGAUGUGAUAGUGGUGGUGGUGCUGCAGGGGCGCUUGUCCCUCGACACGGCGAGUUCCACGGAGUGAGCGUGAUGAUGGUCUCGACAUGGAAGAACAUGCAUGCAUUGCGCUCGAUUUGACGCGCGUGCUGGAGCUGAUGCGAGGAAUUUUUUUUUCAAAACUAUGACGCAUUUUAUAGCAAAUUCGGAAACUAUAGCAAAGAGUGGAGAAAAAUAAAAACUAGCACCCUGUCGGCCACGCGUGGGCUGAAAAGAGUGUUUUCGGCCUCCCUUUGGCUGAAAUGGACUUUUCGGCCUUGCCUCGGUCGAAAAGGUGCGUACCUAGGCCGAAAAGACCUUUUUGGUCAGGUGUAGGCCGAAAAGUCCCUUGGACCCACCUUUUCACGUUAAUGGUUGACCGAAGUAGCAUGGCUUCACCAUUGCCCAUCUUAGACAUUGAAAAAAUAUAUUUUCGUGCAACCCUUUCCCCUCAAUAUUUUCCCGCCAACUCUUUCCCGCCACCCGUUUCCCGCCAACCCCUUCCCGUCAUAUGUUCCUGCCACCUGUUUCCCGCCAACCCCUUCUCGCCAUAUGCUUCCGCCAACCCUUUCCCGCCAUACCACAGUAUACCAUUAAAUAAAUUCUUCAUAUUUUAAAAAAAAUCAUGUUUCUCAAAAUCUUUUCACUUUUUUUAAAUGUCUUCACAAUUCAGAAAAACAUUAACCAUAUAUCACAAAAAUAUUCAAUGUGUCUUCAGAAAAUUUUCAGCUUAUACUACAAAAAUGCUCGGUGUAUAUUUAUAAAUUGUUCAUCACUUAAAAAAUCAAUAAAUGUUUGGAAUUCUAAAAUUUUGUUCAUGUGUUCAAUAAAUUUUCACGUUUUAAAAGUUUGUUCGUAUUUCAGAAAAUUCUAUUUUAAAUAAUUAUUUAAAUUGCUAAAGUAAAAUUGUUCACCUUUUUUGAAAACCUUGAUUUUUAUAAAGAAAGGGAUCGGUUGUUGUACAUUAGCCAGAUGCUAUCCUAUUUGGCUGGUAACACACAUACCCAGCGUGAGGUCAGGUUUUUGACUCCAUCGCUUGCGCUUUUAUCCCAUUUUUUUUAAAUAUGAAGAAUUUAUUUAAUGGUAUACUGUGGUAUGGCGGGAAAGGGUUGGCGGAAAUAUAUGGCGGGAGGGGUUGGCGGGAAACGGGUGGCAGGAACAUAUGGCGGGAAGGGGUUGGCGGGAAACGGAUGGCGAAAAAUAGUUGACGGAAAAAUAUUGAGGGGAAAGGGUUGCGCGAAAAUAUAUAUUUCAGUGUCUAAGAUGGACAAUGGUUGCACAAUAUUUAUAUACCAAAAUAAAAAAAUCACUUCGGCCUAACACAAGCCGAAGAGUGGAGCCAUGCAACUUCGGUCAACCAUUAACGUGAAAAGGUGGGCCCAAAGGACUUUUCGGCCUACUCCUGAUCAAAAAGGACUUUUCGGCCUACUCAUGACAAAAAGAACUUUUCGGCCUACUCCUGACCAAAAAGGUCUUUUCGGCCCAGGUGCGCACAUUUUCGGCCAAGGCAAGGCCGAAAAGUCCAUUUCGUCCAAAGGGAGGCCGAAAACACCCUUCUCGGCCCACGCGUGGCCGACGGGGUGCUACUUUUGAUUUUUCUUCACUCUUUGCUAUACUUUCCGAAUUUGCUAUAAAAUACGUCAUAGUUUUGAAAAAAAAUCAUGCGAGGAGUCUGCUAGCUCAUUAAGCAGCGUGCUGCUCAUGUUCUCCAGUCACUUCCAUCAAGUGAUGCAAUGGAACGUGACUGGUUAAAUAUAGAGUGCGUGUGUUUGUUCAUUUCAGAUUGAAGGUGUGAUCCUCUGCGAUCGUUCCGUGGUUUAGAUUGCCCGCUGUUUCGUGAUAAUCUCACAAGCUUAAUUAGACCUACCCCUUGGUUGAUAGAUCACAGUACAUUGCUCUUGUCCAGGAGAUCUCUGCUAUGAUGAGAGGGGACAGACAGAUUAAGGUUAAGGCGAUAAAGAGGGAGUGUAAUCUUGUUAGCCAUGAACUAGCUAAGAUUGGGAGGGUUGAGGUUAAGACGGCCGUCUGGUUACGGUCGGGUCUUGGGAGGGUUGUAAAACUGUGUGCACUGGAUCAUACUGAUCCGAGUUAAUUAAUACAGAACCCUUUCCCCCCGCAAAAAAAAAAAAAUAGACCACACAAGACCAUUAAUGUUUCUCGCGACUACGAAAGGUUUGUGUAUCUUAUUUAUAGAUAGAAGAGAAUGACAAUCACAGAGAGGACAGGGAGAGGAAUACACCAGAACACACACUUGUCUAGUCUAAACUCAAGCUAGGGAAGGCAAGGAGACGAGACCCAGAGCGGCUAGGCCGCGUCACGACAACUGGGGUCCUCGGCCCGGCCCACCUGGUCGGGAGUCGACAUGGUAAGUACCCCUAUUUCCAGGACACUGACAGCGUGUGUGUGUGUGUGCGCGCUCAUUGUGUUAGUUGCGUGUAUUUUUCUUUUCCCCAAGGGUAUGUGUAUGGAUAGAAACAAGCGGGCGGGUGAUUAGAUUUGGGCAUGAAUAUGGAGGAUCACUUAUUUGGCCAAAGUGGUCAUAUUCCCUUGUUUACCAGGUAAUGAUGCCUUGUAGCAUGUACCUUAGAAAAUAGGAAGAAAGGAAAAUCCAAUGAAAGCUUAGGAAAAAAUGCAUAAACAACAUUUGCAAAUAUAGAAAAGGGAUAACACAAUAGUAAUUCAAAAUAAUAAUUUAAAACCAAACAUAAUAAGCAACAAUUAUAGAAAUUGAGAAAACCCACCAAUAAUUUGUAAACAUUUAAAAUGUAUGAGCAUUCAUGAUUUGAAAGUUCAUAAACCAUUGUAAGUUCACAAACAAGCAGUAGGGCAGGCCUAGGCGGGCCAAUAUGAAGAAGAUGGCACAAAAAAAUUGCCCUAACGGCCUUGUUUGACCCACAAUCUACACAAUUUUCUACCUGAGUUAAGCGAGCCAUGACCAGGUUUUGUCCAUGUGUACCUCCACCACAGCUGGGGCAUGCACACAUAGAGCUUAUGGAGUACACUAGAAACCGACUUAUGUAACUAUAUACUUACAUAGGUGUGCACUCACAUACUCCUUCCGUCUCAAAAUAAGUGCAAAGUUAGUACAAACUUAAGUCACUUAUUUUGGGACGCAUGAGUACAUUGUUGUGUCAUAAUGCCACCUAGCUAGUUUGGUCAUGGUCCGACAUUGCUUGAACCCCUUAUCUUUUAAGAAUAUGUCUAAAUUUGAAUUAUGUUUUGUCAUCGACCGUUUUGGUUUUAUAUUUACCUUUCAUGAUUAUAUUUUUAGUUUUUUUGCUACCUAGUCUAUAGCAUGGGUAAAACCAUCCCCACAUCAUGGACCAUACCACCUGACUCGGCUCAUCUUGAAAUGUCAAGGGUCAAACUUGCAUCAUUUGGAUUUUUGGAUCAAAACUAAACCAAGUAACAGUUGAGGGUCCAAGAGCUUUUUUUUAAGUUUUGGGCAACAAUGACUAUCUGCAUGAUAGAAUAUGUAAAUUCUCAUGUUUUAGUUUUUUGAUAUAAAAAAUAGGAUGCACUUAUGAUGCGGAUCCAAGAGGCAAUAAAUCUUUCAUUUUUUUAAUGAAAAAUGGUGUGUUGCCUUUAAAAUGCAGUGCACAUGAUGUAAGCUAAUCUCUAGCUAGCUACUCCCACGGUCCCAUAAUGUAAGACGUACGCAGGGAGUACUGCUAGGAUAUAGUCAGAAAUAUUACAUCACGCAUGCUUUACAAUUUAUGCUUUUUAAGGAAGCACUUGCUGAGCCGGAGACUUCCUGUUAAGCAAUUCGUCGUACGUGCCCAAUGUAGUCAUGCUUACCAGAUCAUCAAUAUGCAAACCACGUAUGAUAUAUCUUGUCAGCUCUUAAUUUGAACAAAGUUUUUGAUUUGCCAAGGUCACCGUUGAGUAUUAGUAGUAGCUAGUAGUGGUUUGUAACGAGUGGAAGCCUACAAAGGCAACCAACACUACUAGCUAAUUGGGCAGCUACAACUAAUAGGAUAUGGGCCUGAUGUCUUUUACACUUUUAAUGAUUAGAUUACGAGAAGUUUAUGCAAAGCACCAACCAAUUUGGGCCGCUCUACCCGAGCUUGGUCUGCUUUACCCCAGAGGCAUGAGUAUAUGACGCCUUUUGCAGGCCAAAUUGAGAAUAAUUUAUAGGAAAUAUAUUACUUCCUCUGUUCACUUUUAUAAGGCCUUAAAGAUAUUUUAAACAAUGUGCAAAACAGCCCAUUUUUAGUUGUCUGAAACGACUUACAAAAAUGAACGGAGGGAGUAAUUAAGAUAUGUUACGUACAACAUAAGAAUGGCCAAGAGGAACUACUAGUUUUUAGUUUUUUCCUACGAAAACAAAUGUGUAGAAUGAAAACAAAGUUUGCAUUUCAGUUCCAUCGCUGAUGCGGAUAAUUCUUGUUUCUCAAACAUUCGAAGCAUCAAAUCAGUAACCUAUCUCUCCUCCACUCCUCACAAUCAGUCAUCAUGCCUGUGAUACCAGUGGCCUUGUGGCACAACAGAGUUUCCGUCUAGUUGCCGGGCCUACACCUAUCAAUCAUGUUUGCAUGCAGUGCAGCACAUCACAACAACUUGGCCAUACUUGUCAUCCUUGUGUUGCCCAAGAUUCUCUAUGCAUGCAUGGACAUGCAUGCGAGGUAGAUGAGUCGGGCAGGUUGCUCAGAAGAACUCAGCCCUAGCUUAUAGUGCAUGGCUCUCCUGGAACAAGCAAUUAAAGACCAGUUAGUCCAUGGUGCAUGAUAAAUGGUAAUCAGACGAGCAAUGAUGGAAUUGAGAAAGGAACGAGCAACGUGAUGCUUACUCUGCAGCAGAAACAGAAAGCGAGUGGCAACCAGAAGGAGCCCACAGUUUGACCUAAGGACACCUGAAGGAAGUCCCACUUCCAAAUAUAUGAACCUCCCGAGUGAUGCUCCUACCACUCGAGUGAAUUCUCUUUUUCCUAAUAUACUGAGUAUGCAUGGCAUGGCCAGUGCAUAUGUGACAUAUGUCACACAAAAAUACUGUCACAACAGUAGAUUCCACGACCCUCGGGCGGUCACCCGGUGGACCUCGUGCGGCCGUGCAACCAAAGCCGAUCCGGUUGAUGCAUGCACGAACGGACCACAUCAAAGGCGUGCGCGCACUCGCGAACGUGCAAAGACAUCUCCAAUGGGGGUGUACUACGUGGAUGGUCCAAGGUGUUUCAAAAUGCACACUCGUGAGUGAGAUGAACCCCACAGAUGAACCCCACAUCUAGGUACACCGUAGGGCCCUCCUCUCCUCUUGGGGUGAGUGGAAGCUUCACUAGAACACAUAAUACAUACAGGUGUGCAAUGCAUCUGCUGUUGCAAUGUUGUUGUAGCCCCAGCUCGAUCUAUGUUGCGCAAUGUUGCUACAAUAUGUGUAUACAUGGGGUGCCUUUGGUCCCCUUGUUUGUGGGUUGAGCCACUGGUAGCUUGUUUAGUAUAGUUCAUCCUGAUCAUGCGCUUGCUUACUUUGCGCCUCGCCAUGCAAUGUAAUGCGGCUCUUGAGAAAGAGCCGAUGGUUCCUUCACAUUCGUUCGUUGGCGCCCUCUGCAAUUUUCUGAUGGGUCGCCGGCCGUGCGCCGAACUGCCCGUUCUAGUGCGCCGAUCGACGAGCGACGACGGAGUGGGCUGGCGCGGUACGCGAGGUGGACGGCCGCACGUACGGCGCGCCGGUACUGAUGCGAGGCGUUUUGCGCAUUAGUUUAGUCGUUGGUUUUUGUAAAGAUGACAGCGCAACGGAUAGCAACGACGACGUAAGGUUGUGAGUUGUGACACGGAUGGCCAGCAUGCAUGUUUGCAGCGGCUCGUGGGAUGGGGUCGUGCGUACGUAGACGGUAGACCUGCACAACGUGUCGAGGUUCCGUGCCAUCCCCGACCGGGACGGAUACCACAGGGUGGCAACAGCAUGCUGAUCGGCCACUAGCUAGACUCUGUGAAACGCGUGUGACCACUCAUCCUUAAGUUCCGUCGUUACGUACAAUGCAAACCUGCGGCCGGCCGGCCGGCCAGAUCACAGGGCCUGCCCAGAGCACAGAGUGAACCUUGUAUAACACUCCUGUACUAAAGAAGGUGAUAUGUUGUGUAGGGCUGCUGAUCUGUAAGGUUGGGGCAGCGAUGCCACCGUCAGCCGCUGUCCCGGGAAACGUCGGCAGCCGAGCAUGGCCGCACCGCGCGCGUGUGCUCGGGGGGAAACAUUCCGUGGCCAUGUAGGUCGGGGUCUGCGCGUAUGCACUAUGCAGUGGUGGUAGUAGGAGCAGUGUUGAGGAUCAGGAGGUGGCGAUCCCAAGAAGGCACUGCUGAGUUGCUGCGAGUUGAGAGUUGCGAGGCCACCAUGUUUGGCUUCCUCGAUCGAAUCUCAAAACAAGGAAAAAAGGGAGCAAGAGAAGAUUUGCAGAUAGCGGCUCGUGGGCUGCGCCUAAGGCCUAUCUACACUACACUAGACUAGAGGGAGAUCCGAUUACUACUUGCGUCAAACUUGCGGGUGGGAGGGUAGGAGUACUUGGGAGAUCCUGGAUGAAAGUAAAGCGGCCAAAAAAAAGAGGAUCCUUCCAUUCUUUCCACCAAAGUCUCACUACAAGAGGUGUUUGACAGCGAAAGCAACAAUGACAAUCGCUAGUGGCACCAUGCAACUUGUGCGCCUACCUAUAAAAUUUUUUCUCCCGUCGCAGUUGGUCUCAUUGGUUAAAUUUAUGGUCAAAGUUGGACAUUGGGAAACGCGGGCGCACUAUAUUUUAGAAUGGAGGGAGUACAUUUCAACCACUAUUUGAACUAAACGAAUGUAAUUUAUACAAACAAGGCGAAAUUCAUUUAAGUUUGGUCAUAAUUUACACAAAAAGGUUAAUAUUUCGACCAUUUAACUAAAAAACUAGAAAAAUAAACUAAACCCUAUAACGGACGACCACCUCGUAGGCGUGGCCGCCCUGCCCUGUCGCACCGCCGUCGCCAUCCGUGUCGUUGUCGUCGUUGUCCCUCGAGUGGCGGAACAAUGCCGGAGGGUCGGGACAGCCUUGUCCGCCUGCCUACCGCACGUGGAGGAGCCGCUCCGCCUCCUGGUGCAGAAGGCCGCCGCGGCCUCUGCCGAUGUAGCCUUCGGAGCCCGGGCGACGACCAAUGUCACGACUGGCGCUGGCGAAGCAUUUGCUAAGUGAUAACCAACAAGUAUAGGGGAUCGCAACAGUUUUCGAGGGUAGAGUAUUCAACCCAAAUUUGUUGAUUCGACACAAGGGGAGCCAAAGAAUAUUCUCAAGUAUUAGCGGCUGAGUUGUCAAUUCAACCACACCUGGAAACUUAGUAUCUGCAGCAAAGUGUUUAGUAGCAAAGUAAUAUGAUAGUGGUGGUAACGGUAACAAAGUAAAGACAACAAAAGUAAUGUUUUUGGUAUUUUUGUGAUGAUUGUAACAGUAGCAACGGAAAAGUGAAUAAGCGUAAACCAGUAUAUGGAAAACUCGUAGGCACCGGAUCAAUGAUGGAUAAUUAUGCCGGGUAUGGUUCAUUAUGUACCAGUCAUAACAUAGAGUGACACAGAACUAACUCCAGUUCAUCAAUAUAAUGUAGGCAUGUAUUCCGUAAAUAGUCAUACGUGCUUAUGGAAAAGAACUUGCAUGACAUCUUUUGCCCUACCUUCCCGUGGCAGUGGGGUCCUAUUAGAAACUAAGGGAUAUUAAGGCCUCCUUUUAAUAGAGAACCGGAACAAAGCAUUAACACAUAGUGAAUACAUGAACUCCUCAAACUAUGGUCAUCACCGGGAGUGGUUCCGAUUAUUGUCACUUCGGGGCUGCCGGAUCAUAACACAUAGUAAGUGACUAUAGACUUGCAAGAUAGGAUCUAGAACUCACAUAUAUUCAUGAAAACACAAUAGGUUCAGAUCUGAGAUCAUGGCACUCGGGCCCUAGUGACAAGCAUUAAGCAUAGCAAAGUCAUAGCAACAUCAAUCUCAGAACAUAGUGGAUACUAGGGAUCAAACCCUAACAAAACUAACUCGAUUACAUGAUAAAUUUCAUCCAACCCAUCACCGUCCAGCAAGCCUACGAUGCAAUUACUCACGCACGGCGGUGAGCAUCAUGAAAUUGGUGAUGGAGGAUGGUUGAUGAUGACGACGACGAUGAAUCCUCCUCUCCGGAGCUCUGAACGGACUCCAGAUCAGCCCUCCCAAGAGAUAUUAGGGCUUGGCGGCGGCUCCGUAUCGUAAAACGCGAUGAAAUUUUUUUCUUCUGAUUUUUUUCUCCUCGAAAGCCAAUAUAUGGAGUUGGAGUUGGCGUCGGAGGGCCACCAGGGGCCCAUGAGGUAGGGGGCGCGCCCAGGGGUGGGGGGCGCGCCCCCCACCCUCGUGGACAGGGUGUGGGCCCCCUGGUCUUCAUCUUUGGCGAUGAUUUUUUUUAUUUAUUCUAAGAUAUUCCGUGGAGUUUCAGGUCAUUCCGAGAACUUUUGUUUUCUGCACAUAAAACAACACCAUGGCAAUUCUGCUGAAAACAGCGUUAGUCCGGGUUAGUUCCAUUCAAAUCAUACAAGUUAGAGUCCAAAACAAGGGCAAAAGUGUUUGGAAAAGUAGAUAUGACGGAGACGUAUCAACUCCCCCAAGUUUAAACCCUUGCUUGUCCUCAAGCAAUUCAGUUGACAAACUGAAAGAGAAAAAGAAAAACUUUUACAAACUCUGUUUGCUCUUGUUGUUGUAAACAUGAAAAGCCAGCAUUCAAGUUUCAGCAAUUAUUAUGAACUAACCAUACUCACAAUAACACGUAGGUCUCAUAAUUACUCAUAUCAAUAGCAUAAUCAGCUAGCGAGCCAUAAUAAUAAAACUCGGAUGACAACACUUUCUCAAAAUAAUCAUAACAUGAUACAACAAAAUGGUAUCUCGCUAGCCCUUUCUGAGACCGCAAAACAUAAAUGCAGAGCACCUUUAAAGAUCAAGGACUGACUAAACAUUGUAAUUCAUGGUAAAAGAGAUCCAGUCAAGUCAUACUCAAUAUAAACCAAUCAUAAUGAAUGCAAACAACAGUGUGCUCUCCAGCGGGUGCUUUUUAAUAAGAAGGGUGAUGACUCAACAUAAAAGUAAAUAGAUAGGCCCUUCGCAGAGGGAAGCAGAGAUUGAUAGAGGUGCCAAAGCUCGAUUUUUCAAAUAGAGAUAAAUAAUAUUUUGAGCGGCAUACUUUCACUGUCAACGCAACAACUAUGAGAUGGCUGUAUCUUCCAUACUACAUGCAUUAUAGGAAGUUCUCAAACAGAAUGGUAAAGGUUUAUACUCCCCCUCUUCCACAAGCAUCAAUCCAUGGCUUGCUCGAAACAACGAGUGCCUCCAACAUUCAACGGGUCCCAGGGGGAGUUUUGUUUAAUUAUUUUGAUUUGCUUUGAUCUUUUUGGAUCAUGGGACUGGGCAUCCCGGUUACCGGCCCUUUCUCGUGAAUGAGGAGCGGAGUCCACUCCUCUUGAGAAUAACCCACCUAGCAUGGAAGAUAUAGGCAGCCAUAGUUGCACAUGAGCUGCUCGAGCAUACAAAACAGAAUUUCAUUGAAAGGUUUGGAGUUUGGCACAUACAAAUUUACUUGGAACGGCAGAUAGAUACCGCAUAUAGGAAGGUAUAGUGGACUCAUAUGGAACAACUUUGGGGUUUAAGGAGUUUGGAUGCACAAGCAGUAUUCCCGCUUAGUACAGGUGAAGGCUAGCAAAAGAUUGGGAAGCGACCAACUGAGAGAGCGACAACAGUCGUAAACAUGCAUUAAAAUUAAUUCACACCGAAUAUAAGCAUGAGUAGGAUAUAAUCCACCAUGAACAUAAAUAUCAUGAAGGCUAUGUUAAUUUGAUUCAACUACAUGCGUGAACAUGUGCCAAGUCGAGUCACUCAAUUCAUUUAAAGGAGGAUACCAUCCUAUCAUACCACAUCAUAAUCGUCUCAAUAGCAUGUUGGCACGCAAGGUUAACCAUUAUAACUUAUAGCUAAUCAAGCAUGGCACAAGCAACUAUAUUCUCUAAAUGUCAUUGCAAAUAUGUUUACUUCAUAAUAGCUGAAUCAGGAACGAUGAAUCAUCAUAUUUACAAAAACAAGAGAGGUCGAGUUCAUACCAGCUUUUCUCAUCCCAAUGAGUCCAUCAUAUAUCAUCAUUAUUGCCUUUCACUUGCACGACCGAACGGUGUGUAUAAUAAUAGGAGUGCACGUGCAUUGGACUAAGCUGGAAUCUGCAAGUAUUCAACUCAAAAGAGAAGACAAGUAAUAUGGGCUCUAAGUUAAAUAAACAAUCAUGCAUAUAAGAGCCACUAAGCAUUUUCAAUAUAGUCUUCUCGACCCCCAAAGAAAGGAAAAGAAAAAUAAAAACUAUUUACAUGGGAAAGCUCCUAACAAGCAAAAGAAGGACGGGAAAUAUUUUUGGGUUUUCUUUUAAAUUCUACUACAAGCAUGGAAAGUAGACUAACACUAUUUUUUUUGUUUUUCUUAAGGUUUAUUAAACACACAAGAAGAAAGCAGGAAAAAAGGAAAAUAAACUAGCAUGGAUAUUACAAUGAAAGAGUAUGAGCACCGACAUCUAGCAAUGAGUGUGUGCGAACAUGAAUGUAAUGUCGGUGGGAAAUAUGUACUCCCCCAAGCUUAGGCUUUUGGACUAAGUUGGUCUAUUGCCAGGGAUAACCUGGCUGAUAUCCGUAGGUGAAGCUGGGGUCGUACUGCGAUGCAGCGGCUACCGUCUGCUGAGCAGCAGCACGGCGUCGGGCUGCUUCCACUCCCCUCUCGUACUCAUCUGCCUCCUCUCUGGUAAUAAUAUAUCUUCCUCUCGCCAAGGAACAAUCUCCCCAAACAGUUUUGCGAGAGGUGUUUUGAGCAAGAAGAUCGAAAAUCACAGCAAAAGUUGCUGGAACACGAGCUUGAGUUGGUUUUUCGGGUUUGUGCGAGACAAGGAAGAAGAUGGGUGCAGGAAUAAGUGGAGGAGGGCCACCGUGGGCCCACGAGGCAGGGGGGUGCGCCCAGGGGGGUAGGGCGCGCCCUCCACCCUCGUGACCAGGUGGCAGCUCCCCCCGCGGUAAUUUUUGCAUUAUAAAUCCUUAAAUAUUCCCAAAAAAAAUCAUAUUAAAUUGGCAUGGCAUUCUGAGGACUUUUAUUUUCGGGAUAUUUUUAUAUUGCACGGAUAGGUCAGGAAACAGACAGAAAAAUACUAUUUUACUUUAUUUCUACUAAAGAACAGAAAAUAUAAAGAGGGUACAGAAGGUUGUGCUUCUAGUUUCAUCCAUCUCAUGCUCAUCAAAAGAAUCCACUAACAAGGUUGAUCAAGUCUUGUUAACAAACUCAUUCCGAUAAUCAUGGAACCGGAGAAAUUUCGAAUAACACUAUGUUACCUCAACGAGGAUAUGGACAUCCCCAACAAUAAGUGUAUCAUAUUUCUUUUUGACAGUAGGAAGAGGAAAUUCAAAACCUCCAAAUAUAAUCGAUGGAAUUUUUCCAAUAGAGUUGAUACUAUAAACUUGAGGUUGUUUCCUCGGAAAGUGCACCGUAUGCUCAUUACCAUUAACAUAAAAAGUGACAUUGCCUUUGUUGAAUCAAUAACAGCCCCUGCAGUAUUAAGGAAAGGUCUUCCAAGAAUAAUAGACAUACUAUCAUCCUCGGGAAUAUCAAGAAUAACAAAGUUCGUUAAAAUAGUAACGUUUGCAACCACAACAGGUACAUCCUCACAAAUACCGACAGGUAUAGCAGUUGAUUUAUCAGCCAUUUGCAAAGAUAUUUCAGUAGGUGUCAACUUAUUCAAGUCAAGUCUACGAUAUAAAGAAAGAGGCAUAACACUAACACCGGCUCCAAGAUCACAUAAAGCAGUUUUAACAUAAUUUCUUUUAAUGGAGCAUGGUAUAGUACGUAUUCCUGGAUCUCCUAGUUUCUUUGGUAUUGCACCCUUAAAAGUGUAAUUAGCAAGCAUGGUGGAAAUUUCAGCCUCCGGUAUCUUUCUUUUAUCAGUAAUGAUAUCCUUCAUAUACUUAGCAUAAGGAUUUGUUUUGAGCACAUCAGUCAAUCGCAUACGCAAAAAGAUAGGUCUAAUCAUUUUAGCAAAGCGCUCAAAAUCCUCAUCAUCCUUUUUUUUGGAUGGUUUCGGAGGAAAAGGCAUGGGUUUCUGAACCCAUGGUUCUCUUUCUUUACCAUGUUUCCUAGCAACGAAGUCUCUUUUAUCAUAACGUUGAUUCUUUGAUUGUGGGUUAUCAAGAUCAACAACAGGUUCAACUUCUACAUCAUUAUCAUUACUAGGUUGAGCAUCAUCAUUAACAUUUUCACUAGGUUCAUGUUCAUUACCAGAUUGUGUUUCAGCAUCAGGCAUAGAGAUAUCAUUUGGAUUAUCAGGUGGUUCAGCAAUAGGUUCACUAGAAGUUUGCACAGUUCUAUCAUUUUCUUUUUCUUCCUUUUAGAAGAGCUAGGUGCAUCAAUAUUAUUUCUUUGAGAAUCUUGCUCGAUUCUCUUAGGGUGGCCUUCAGGAUACAAAGGUUCCUGAGUCAUUCUACCAGUUCUAGUAGCCACUCUAACAGCAUAAUCAUUUUUCUUGCUAUUCAUUUCAUCAAGCAUUUCUUCUGAGCUUUAAGUACUUGUUCUACUUGAGUGGUAACCAUAGAAGCAUAUUUGCUAACAAGUUUAAGUUCACCUUUAAUAUUAUCCAUAUAACCACUCAAGCGUUUAAUCAUAAAGGUAUUCUGCUUUAAUUGUCUACCAAAAUAAGCAUUAAAGUCAUCUUGCUUAAACAUAAAGUCAUCAAACUCAUCCAAGCACUGACUAGCAAUUUUAGUAGGAGGGACUUCAACUUUAUCAUAUCUAUAGAGAGAAUUUACCUUUACUACCUGUGUCAGGAUAUCGGGAGGUUGUUCAGUAAAUAAGUAAUUGAGAUCAUAUACUUCUUCAACAGACGGUAAAUUAAAGCCAUGUAUUUCUUCAAUAGAAGGUAAAUUCUUAACAUCUUCAGCUUUAAUACAUUUUUCUUUCAUAGAUUUCUUUGCCUCUUGCAUAUCUUCGGGACUGAGAAAUAGAACACCUCUCUUCUUCGGAGUUGGUUUAGGAAUAGGCUCAGUAAUUGGCUCAGGAGCUGGCUCAGGAGUUGGCUCGGAAGGUGGCUCAGGAGGUGCCCAAUUAUUUUCAUUUGCCAACAUAUUAUUCAAUAAAAUUUCAGCGUCAUCCGGUGUUCUUUCCCUGAAAAGAGAACCAGCACAACUAUCCAGGUAAUCUCUGAAAGCACCAGUUAGUCCAUUAUAAAAGAUAUCAAAUAUUUCAGGUUUCUUAAGAGGAUGAUCAGGCAAAGCAUUAAGUAACUUGAGAAGCCUCCCCCAAGCUUGUGGGAGACUCUCUUCUUCAAUUUGCACAAAAUUGUAUAUUUCACUCAAAGCAGCUUGUUUCUUAUGAGCAGGGAAAUAUUUAGCAGAGAAGUAAUAAAUCAUAUCCUGAGGACUUUGCACACAGGCAGGAUCAAGAGAAUUAAACCAUUUCUUAGCAUCACCCUUUAAUGAGAACGGAAAUAUUUUGAGUAUAUAAAAGUGGCGCGAUCUCAGAUUAUUAGUAAACAGGGCAGCUAUUUCAUCUAACUUACAAAGAUGUGCCACAACAGUUUCAGAUUCAUAGCCAUAAAAAGGAUCAGAUUCAACCAAAGUAAUUAUAUCUGGAUCAACAGUAAUAUCAUAAUAAUCCUGAUUAGGAACACAGAUAGGUGAAGUAGCAAAAGCAGGGUCGGGUCUCAUCCUACCUCUAAAAGAUUCCUUACUCCACUUAAUUAGUAACCUCUUACGUUCAGGUUUAUCCGGACAAGCAAGAAUAGCUUCAUAAGAUUCAUUAUUAAAAAGAUAACCCUCAGGAAUAACAGGCAUAGGUUCAUCAUCACUAACAUCAUCGUGUUCAGGUUCACUAAUUUCUCUUUCUCUAGACUUAGAUAUUUGCUCAUCUAGAAAUUCACCAAGUGGCACAGUAGUAUCAAGCAUAGAAGUAGUUUCAUCAUAAGUAUCAUGCAUAGCAGAAGUGGCAUCAUCAAUAACAUGCGACAUAUCAAAAUUAAUAGCAGUAGUAGGUUUAGGUGUCGCUAGCUUACUCAUAACAGCAGGUGAAUCAAGUGCAGAGCUAGAUGGCAGUUCCUUACCUCCCAUCGUAGUUGAGGGAUAAAUUUUUGUCUUAGCGUCUUUCAAGUUCUUCAUAGUGUCCAGCAGAUAUAAAUCCCAAGUGACUUAAAGAAUAGAGCUAUGCUUCCCGGCAACGGCGCCAGAAAAAGGUCUUGAUAACCCACAAGUAUAGGGGAUCGCAACAGUUUUCGAGGGUAGAGUAUUCAACCCAAAUUUGUUGAUUCGACACAAGGGGAGCCAAAGAAUAUUCUCAAGUAUUAGCGGUUGAGUUGUCAAUUCAACCACACCUGGAAACUUAGUAUCUGCAGCAAAGUGUUUAGUAGCAAAGUAAUAUGACAGUGGUGGUAACGGUAACAAAGUAAAGACAGCAAAAGUAAUGUUUUUGGUAUUUUUGUGAUGAUUGUAACAGUAGCAACGGAAAAGUGAAUAAGCGUAAACCAGUAUAUGGAAAACUCGUAGGCACCGGAUUAAUGAUGGAUAAUUAUGCCGGAUGUGGUUCAUCAUGUAACAGUCAUAACAUAGGGUGACACAGAACUAGCUCCAGUUCAUCAAUAUAAUGUAGGCAUGUAUUCCGUAAAUAGUCAUACGUGCUUAUGAAAAAGAACUUGCAUGACAUCUUUUGUCCUACCCUCCCGUGGCAGCGGGGUCCUAUUGGAAACUAAGGGAUAUUAAGGCCUCCUUUUAAUAGAGAACCGGAACAAAGCAUUAACACAUAGUGAAUACAUGAACUCCUCAAACUAUGGUCAUCACCAGGAGUGGUCCCGAUUAUUGUCACUUCGGGGUUGCCGGAUCAUAACACAUAGUAGGUGACUAUAGACUUGCAAGAUAGGAUCUAGAACUCACAUAUAUUCAUGAAAACAUAAUAGGUUCAGAUUUGAAAUCAUGGCACUCGGGCCCUAGUGACAAGCAUUAAGCAUAGCAAAGUCAUAGCAACAUCAAUCUCAGAACAUAGUGGAUACUAGGGAUCAAACCCUAACAAAACUAACUCAAUUACAUGAUAGAUCUCUUCCAACCCAUCACCGUCCAGCAAGCCUACGAUGCAAUUACUCACGCACGGCGGUGAGCAUCAUGAAAUUGGUGAUGGAGGAUGGUUGAUGAUGACGACGACGAUGAAUCCCCCUCUCUGGAGCCCCGAACGGACUCCAGAUCAGCCCUCCCGAGAGAGAUUAGGGCUUGGCGGCGGCUCCGUAUCGUAAAACGCGAUGAAACUUUUUUUUUCUGAUUUUUCUCUCCUUGAAAGCCAAUAUAUGGAGUUGGAGUUGGCGUCGGAGGGCCACCAGGGGGCCCAUGAGGUAGGGGGGCGCGCCCAAGGGGGAGGGGCGCCCCCCCCACCCUCGUGGACAGGGUGUGGGCCCCCUGGUCUUCAUCUUUGGCGAGGAUUUUUUAUUAUUUAUUCUAAGAUAUUCCGUGGACUUUCAGGUCAUUCCGAGAACUUUUGUUUUCUGCAUAUAAAACAACACCAUGGCAAUUCUGCUGAAAACAGCGUCAGUCCGGAUUAGUUCCAUUCAAAUCAUACAAGUUAGAGUCCAAAAUAAGGGCAAAAGUGUUUGGAAAAGUAGAUACGACGGAGACGUAUCACUAAGCAACCACUCCUCUCUGAUCUUGGCGAGCUCACCAUCAAGGCAGCGGCGCAUGGUGGCCGUCUCUACGGUGGUGACUAGGUGAACGUGGGCCCACACGGUAGCGAGAUUGGAGAGGACGACCCUGGAGCCCGAGGGACCACCGUCGCCGCAUAGGAGAUAGUGAAGGACGCGGCCCCGCGCCUUCGUGGUCACAGGCAGUAGCUUCCUUGACGACGCAACGGUGGCGGCGGGGCGGCGAGGCAGGCCCGUCGUUGUGGGCAUACCGGUUGCGCAAGGCAACGCCGGCUCGUUCUUGACCCGAUGUCUGAUCUGGACGUCACGAUUGGGCUGAGGCGACGUCGGCUCAUCCAUGAUGUGACGUCCGAUCUGGAUGCGGUGGUGGCGGCGGGGCGACGAGGCCCCUCGUUUCGGGCGUACCGGCUGUAUGGGACCGACGCCGGCUCGUCCUUGACCCGCCGGAGCGGGGACACCAGCUCAUACUUCACGUGAUGCCGCGACGGGGACGACUGCUUCUUCUUGACGCACACCGACGAUGGUGGCGACGGGCCCAUGUGUCGGAGCGAACACUCCGUCAUUAACUCGACCUGAUGGAUGAAUUCUUCGUCCAUCACAAUGACCUCCGAGAGGAGACGGGGCCUUUGAACUGACGGAGGGAGAGUGUGGCUCUAUGCAUGUCGUUGGUUCGUGUCGGUUGACUUUAUUUAUUUAUUUUUGGAUGUGUGCCUCAUAAAUGUCUAUAUUAGGACUUGAUAUUGUGUUGUUGCAAAGCACAUAUGCAAUUGGUAUCGUCUUGGUAUUAAUAAAUUACAUUGUGUCGGGAAAAAAGAAAUGGGCGUGUCUAUGAUGCGGAGCCAGGAGGCAAUAAAUCUUUAAUUUUCUUAAAGGAAAAUGGUAUGGUUGCUUCUAAAAGUGCAGUGCAGAUUGUGUAAGCUAAGCUCUAACUAGCUAGGAUAAUGUCAGAUUAAUCAAGUGAAAUACUACAUCACACAUGCUUUACAAUUUAUGCUUCUUAAGGAAGCUAUUGUUGAGGCAGAGACCUCCUAUUAAGCAAUUGGUGGUGCCCAGUGUAGUAAUGCUUACCAGAUUAUCAAUAUGCAAACCACGUACGAUAUACCAUAUCAGCUCUGAAUUUUGCACAAAGCUUUCGCUUUGCCGAGUGCACCAGUGAGAGUAUUAGUACUUCCUCUGUUCCGAAUUACUUGUCUUAGAUUUGUCUAGAUACGGAGGUAUCUAGCACUAAAAUAAGUCUAGAUACAUCCGUAUCUAGACAAAUCCAAGACAAGUAAUUUGGACGGAGGGAGUAGCUAGUAGUGGUGUUUUAUAUCAAGUGGAAACCUAGAAAAGCAAACCAACACUACUAGGAGAUAGUGAAGGAUGCGGCCCCGUACCUUCGUGAUCACGGGCAGCAGGUUCCUUGAUGAUGCGACGGUGGUGGUGGGGCGGCGAGGCAGGCCUGUCGUUGUGGGCAUACCGGCUGCGCAUGGCGCCGCCGGCUCGUCCUUGACCCGAUGUAUGAUCUGGACGUCGCGAUUGGGCUGAGGCAACGUCGGCUCGUCCAUGACGCGACGUCCGAUCUAGAUGUGGCGGUGGCGGCGGGGCGACGAGGCAUGCCCCUCGUUUCGGGCGUACCAGCUGUACGGGACCGAGGCCGGCUCGUCCUUGACCCGCCAGAGCGGGGACACCGGCUCAUACUUCACGCGCCGGUGGUGACGGGCCCAUGUGACGGAGCGAACGCUCCAUCAUUAACUCGAUCUGAUGGAUGAAUUCUUCGUCCGUCACAAUGGCCUCCGAGAGGAGACAUGGCCUUUUGACCGACAGAGGGAUAGUGUGGCUCUAUGCGCCGGCGCACGGCUUAAAUAGCCGCGGCCAGGGAAGGGGCGGUCAUCCCGCUUCAGUGUUGCGCUUUGGUUGAAGUCGGUUUCUCGGGACGUGGCGCCUACAUUGAAGCGGCAAACGUCCGAGAGGUCACGUUCGUCAGCGCCACCCUCUCAUCCGGUCAAAUCGCGGGCAUCAAUGAUGGCUGCUGCAUGCUCUAAGGCUGACAUGAAUGCGACAAGGCAAGCGGCGCGGGCGUUUGUUCAAAAGCGCGCGAAAGGAGGGUGGGGGUUUGUAGUAAGACAGGGCAGUCAGACGUGGGCGUGGCAGCGGUCCGAACGCCUACAAACUCGCCGUCUUUUUUGCGGGGGAAAACCAGACGAGUACAAAUCCGAGUUGGAUGGCGGUUCAGAUGUAUGCUGAUGGUUUAAGACUCAGCGUUGAAGAUGCCCUUGAUACUAGUAGAGGAAGCCGACCCUACCAACAACUCUAUAAUAAAUCAGAGCCCGAAGGAAUAGUAUGAGAGAAAAAGGAAGAUGCCCAUGUUCUGAGCUUCGUGUUGCUCGCUUUUCUAAGCUGGAAUCCACGGACUAUUCCCUCGUUCUGUCGGACGCAUAGUCGGGGAUUCUCUUCUGUCGUCCUCGUCGAUGAAACAUGAAUGCAUUACAGAGUGUGAUGUACUAAUUAUGUUCCAGCAGCCUCGAUUAGCGCUUGAUUUCGACACCAAACCGCGCGCCUUUAAUGCAACAAUGGUAGUACUCCACUCGUGCAAACAUGAUGCGGACGCGAGGUCUGAUCCACAUCUCUUGUCGACGUUACGUAGCACUAGAUCAUGGGGCUGCAGGAGACGGGAGUGGGCAGCAUCCCGCUAUUUGGUCUCCGUCCAGCGAAAGAAAGCUUCCCGGCGAGGCGGUUAUACGUCGUCGUCGCGACUUUCUUGUGAGCGCUAAUUGCCAUCACGAGGUUUGUUUAUUUGUGUGACCUGCAAAUAUUUUCAUAAUUUUUGAAGACAAAAUAUUUGCAGGCACACAUCUAUGUUUCAUGUACAACCUUUUUAAUUUCAGCUUCUAAUUCAAACUACACUUAGAAAACCAAAAAAGAAAAAUCAUGUGUGAAUAGUGUCAAACACUAUUCAUCCAAAGCUGACGCUAUUCAUAAUGGAAAUUGUCCUUUUAGAAUCUUGAACUGUACACCGAAUUUUGUGCUGGAUCUCUUUUUUUUUUUUUGAGUUGUAGACAUACCCCACAGGUAUGUUGUAAAAAAAUCUUAAACUUUCGGAUUGUCUAAAUAUGAAAUUUCGACGCUGAUUCUACGAUCUCUCACCUAAAGGGCCCCGAUCCUAUACUAGUCUCCCCCGGAGUAGGAGAUAUGUCAAAUAGUUCGUCUACUCUACUGCACGGCUCAAACGCAGCAUGACAUGAUUACAAACCAAAACCGGCCGGAAGCGAGUAAGCAGGCCAGCAGAUCGACAGGCAUUGGUGCAUUUCCCUGAGCGCAUAUUGGCACCAACGACUCGACGGAUCUCAACUUCUCAAGAGGCUGGGUAGAAUAGCACACCACACACAAGUACACCACUCAUGACACUAACCAUCACGAGUCCCCUCCAUAUCCUCCCGUCAUCCGUGAAGCUACGUAUCUCCCAGUGGCAGCAUCCACACACGGGCACGGCCCCGGCCGGAGACCCGACGGCACAUGAAAUGCCAUCAUGCAUUCAUGCGUCCCUUACGUAGGUACGUACGCGCAUGGCGUGUCCCAUCGAUCUCGCCUCACUCAUAAGCCAGCCAGCUGCUCGAGCUCCAUCGAUCAUCCUCGGCCUCGGUCGGGGCGCGCGGAUGCCGCCCGGCGCACGCGGCGGAGCCGAGCAGACUAAAACCGGCCGGCGAGAUCGCCAUCAUCAGUGCACCUUUUGCGCGCCGGCCGCUGCUAGGCUCGUCAAUCAUGUCCCUCCGCUCUCGCCGUCUCGGCCGACGCUCCUCACCCCAAAAGUUGGCGGUAGCUUUUGUCUUUGCGAGCCCCUCUCUCUCCCGUCGUCAUCACCAGCCGUGCCCCUGCCGUGCGCGACCUACACCAGCAACAGCUCCACUCUCUCCGAGACUCCGGCCACGGGCGGGACCGGCGCCAUGCAUGCAUGCGCUCGGCUCGAUUAGUGUCUCUACGACCGACGCAGUGGUAGGGAUAAUUCCUAGUAGAAAAGGACUUGAGAGAAGCAGGGCAGGGUAGGGUAGGGCGGGCGCAUAUACACCAUGGAUGGUUUGACCUUGGACAAAGGAGCAAACAACAAUGCGUUUGUCUCACCGCAGCUGCCGCCUCACAUAUGCUCAGCCUGGGCCUGGCACACAGUAGCAUGUGUUACUUUGGCCUGUCAAAACGCCGGAGUAUCAGCUAGUAAUCCAUGUGGCUCCGUCUGUUUACUGGCAUAAACUACUGUGCAUACAGCCAUGCUCUGUCAGAGACUUAUCUCGAUCGAUAGCAGUAGCAGAGGACGAGGCACCCCGGCUGCUGCUCUGCACAUUUGAACGGUAGCCCUUCUGCAUGCAAACUGACACCAAACGGUCCUGGUUAACCCUUGCAUAGUUUUCGGCUAGAGAGAUAGGUUAAAGAAAUAGACACGUACUGUACUACGUUAACUGCACAUCAAGAACCAGUGCUUCGAUCACCAUCGAUCUAUCUUGUUCGUUCACAGUGGUAAAUCUGACAUUUCGACCUUGGAUCAACCCGUCCACUCUAAUCGAAAUCAGGUCAUCAGCUGUUGUGUGGCCUAAGCCAUCCACAUCAUGGUGCCGGCCGGGCUUCAACUUGAAGGUCAGAUUGGACGGUGCCAUCAAUCGGUCAUCGGAUGGCUGUUCCUGAUCACCCGUUUCGCUACGUCCCUAUUCGACGGCUGAGAUUCUGGUACAUCCCAAUGAUGCCGAUGAAUCUACAAAUCAUUGCCCGUCGUGUUCGUGGUGUACCUGAGAUGGACCGAAUCAUCAUGUGCUUACAGAGAAAACUUUUCUGCAAGUUCGUGGGGUCAUAUCAGAUCGGAGAUAAACAAAGAAGGAAGACCACAUGGACAUGGACACGAGUUGGAUGGAAUGCAACGUUGUGCGCAGGGCAGGACGAUCGAUGUGGCCGGUCGGUUUCCCGUCGAUCAGACAGUGUGAUGUGGUAGUGGUGGUGGUGCAGGGACGCGCGCUUGUCCCUCGACACGGCGAGUUCCAUCCACGGGGUGCAUGCGGGUGAUGAUGGUCUCGACAUGGAAGAACAUGCAUUGUGCUUGACUUGACGUGCGUGCUGGAGCUGAUGCGAAUAGUCUGCUAAUUAAGCAGUGUGCUAGCUGCUCGUGUUCUUGGGCCAGUUCCAUCAACGCCAUGGAAUGCACUGUGACUGGCUAAGUAUACUAAGGCGAAGAGGAGGCACCUCUUAAAAUGAAAUAAGGUUGUUUUCGCCUAGCCCAGUCCAGCGGUGGCUCUGUGUGGUCGGAAGGCGUGUGAAGGUGUCUCUCCGGUGAAUCUUACGGGAUUCGGUUAGUGUUUGGACCUGCUUGGUUCUGAUCUUUGUUCGCCUACGUCCGUGUGUCUAGCUGUUGGAUUUUUUUUCGAUCUACGUUUCCCAUCAUCGACGAUGGUAGUUGUUCUUGUGCGCUGGUUCUUUUGGGCCUCAGCACGAUAACUUCCUUGUUGUAUACUACGACAUGGUUUGCCCCGACUCCAAUGAGGGAGGGGUGAUGACGAUGGGACGUCAUCGGCUCGCUUCAGUGCUUGUAGUCGUUGAUAGGUGGUCUAUGCACUUAGACAUAACUUCGGGUCCUUCUAUUGUAAUUUGUACUGUCAUGAUGUUUGAUGAAUAGAUAAAGAAAAUAUUGGAAAAUAGUCAACUAGGGUCGUUUAGAAUUUUGAGAUUAAAACUAAACUAGAAUAAAUGAGGGUCCCAGAGUUUUUCUUAAGUUUUGGGACGACUAUGACUAUAUGCAUGAUCGAACUGGUAAAAUUUAUGUUUGUUUUGUUAUACACAACUGCAAGGAUUGCUUGGCAAUAUUUCUUUUAACGAAGGCAAAAGUUUUACCUCAUCCAUUAAUUAGGAAGUACUUACAUAGUUAAUGAGUGAAAAACCGGGCAAAAACCAUCACAAUGGCAACACGGGGCAACCACGAGCAACCUGCUUACCCACAUGUAUACACACACACCCUCAAGAAGAAAGCACUGUCAAGAUUGCCAUCAAGCGUCAUAGUUAUAUCUCCUUCACGAGCCAGCGACUCCGAUUUCACCGUAGACAACCACCAACGGAGCGCUCACCACAACAGACGUCAAAAUCCAUGCCUGUCCAUGAUAACCAGACGGCCACCCACGCAAUCGACCAGACAACUCUAAAACGGGCAACGAACCUUGUAGAGAAAAGCCCCAAGCUUGUGCCAACAGGGCCUUUGCAACCGAACCCAUGUGUCUUGUGUCACCGUCACCGCUGAGGCGGCUUCUCUGCACUUCCAACUCUACAAAGACACUACGAGGCAAAGGAACCCCUCAAACAUGCUGAAAUAUAAUGCUUCAAUGUGGAGCAUGUCACUUUAGGAGUACAUGUCUUUAGAGGUCCAUAACUCUCUCCGGAUUAUUUAUUCAUACUAGAUGAUGCCUCGCGUGUUGUCGCGGGUACCGUGUUAAAAGAAAUGUAUAAAUAGUUGCUAAAAAUAACUAUUUUAAUGGAAAACCAAUGUGAACUUAAUAAAAACAUAAAAAAACAUACGAGUAUCUAAAAGAGGAAAAAACUUUCGAGUUGCAGCCAAAAGAAUAUUAUUUCUCACAAAAAUAUGAAGGUUGAACUACAUAGGUAUGUUGCAAUCGCCCAACACAUGUAUUGUCCAUCAGAAUACAAAAGCUAAUGGAAGAAAUUUCUUAUGUCUAAGAUGCAUGAAUUGAUGAUGUGGUAGUGUUGCAUGCAUAGACUAAUGCCAAAAAUAUAUUAUUCAUGACUUAAAUGCAAGGUUUGCUUAUGUGACAUGAUUGCAUGGCUAUGAAAAAUAUGGCAUAGUUGCAUGGCUAGAACAAAUAGGUAGUGGUUUGUAGCUAGGAAUAGAGGAUUGGUGCCAAUGUGGUCUUUUUAGGCUAUUUGGUUGUGCCAAGAUGACUAGUGUUUGACAACAAAAAACCAUCCUUUUUAUGUAGGUUAUAUGCUUUUGUGUAUCACCCAGUUGUGAUCGUGAGCGUUUAUGACAAGAUUAGUCGUAUUGGUUGUCUUUAUUUUUAUUUUAUAAUUUUGGUUGUGUGCAUCAUCGUCUUUAUAUUAAAAUAUUAUCCUUUGUCAGAAAAAAAAUUGGAACGUGUGUAUGAUGCAGAGCCAGGAGGCAAUCAAUCUUUCAUUUUCUUAAAUGGAAAUGGUAUGGUCGCCUCUAAAAAAUGCAGUGCAGAUUGUGUAAGCUAAGCUCUAGCUAGGUGGGAUAAUAUCAGAUUAAUCAAGUGAAAUACUACAUCACACAUGCUUUACAAUUUAUGCUUUUUAAGGAAGCUAUUGUUGACACAGAGACCUCUUAUUAAGCAAUUGGUGGUGCCCAAUGUAGUAAUGCUUACCAAAUCAUCAAUAUGAAAACCACGUACGAUAUAUCAUAUCCGUUCUGAAUUUUGAAGAAAGUUUUCACUUUGCCGAGCUCAUCAGCGAGGAUUAGUAGCCAGUAGUGUUUUGUAUCGAGUGGAAGCCUAGAAAAGCAAACCAACACUACUAGCUAAUUGCGCUGCUAUGGGACUAAUAGGAUAUGGACCUGGUGCCUUUUACACUUUUAAUGAUUAGAUUACGAGAAGUUUAUGUAAAGCACGAACCGAUUUGCGCCGCUCUGCCCCUAGCUUACUCUGCUUUACCCCACAAGCGUGAGUAUAUGAUGCCUUUUGCAAGCCAAAUAGCUAACUAUUUAUAGGAGAUGGUUAAGAUAUGCACAACAUAAGAAUGGCCAACAUAAGAAACAAGAUAAGAAUGGCCAAGAAAAACUGCUAAUUUCCCCCCUAAGGAAACAGAUUAAGGUGCAUUCAUGUCGAAGAAAACUUGCGUUUUGGUUCCAUCACUGAUUUCGGAUGAUUCUUGCUCAAACAUUCGAAGCUUCAAAUCAGGAGUCUCUCUCUCCUCCACUCCUUGCAAUCAUCGUGCGUGUGAUGCCGGUGUGGCACAACAGAGCUUUCAUACACCCAUCAAUCAUGUUUGCAGCACAGCACAACAAGUUGCCUAUGCUUUUCACCCUUGUGUUUCAACCUUGUGCUGGACAAGAUUCUCUAUGCACGCAUCGUACGCCCUCUGUAAGGGAGUAGAUGAGUCGGGCUGGUUUCUCAUAACAACUCAGCCUAGCUAGUGCGUGGCUCUCCUAGAAUAUACAGACAAUUAGGAGCAGAGAGUUCAUGCUGCACAAUUAAUGGUUAAUCAGACGAGCAAUGAUGAAAGAACAAAUAUAUCAAGAGAGUGACGAGCAAUGUUGAAGCUUACUCUGCAGCAGAAACGGAAAGCAAGUGCCAACCAGAAGGAGCCCACAGUUUGACCUGAGGACACCUGAAGGAAGUCCCACUUCCAAAUAUAUGAACCUCCCGAGUGAUGCUNNNNNNNNNNNNNNNNNNNNNNNNNNNNNNNNNNNNNNNNNNNNNNNNNNNNNNNNNNNNNNNNNNNNNNNNNNNNNNNNNNNNNNNNNNNNNNNNNNNNNNNNNNNNNNNNNNNNNNNNNNNNNNNNNNNNNNNNNNNNNNNNNNNNNNNNNNNNNNNNNNNNNNNNNNNNNNNNNNNNNNNNNNNNNNNNNNNNNNNNNNNNNNNNNNNNNNNNNNNNNNNNNNNNNNNNNNNNNNNNNNNNNNNNNNNNNNNNNNNNNNNNNNNNNNNNNNNNNNNNNNNNNNNNNNNNNNNNNNNNNNNNNNNNNNNNNNNNNNNNNNNNNNNNNNNNNNNNNNNNNNNNNNNNNNNNNNNNNNNNNNNNNNNNNNNNNNNNNNNNNNNNNNNNNNNNNNNNNNNNNNNNNNNNNNNNNNNNNNNNNNNNNNNNNNNNNNNNNNNNNNNNNNNNNNNNNNNNNNNNNNNNNNNNNNNNNNNCGAGUGAUCGAAUUCCUUUUUUCCUACCAGUAAGGGAGUAGAUGAGUCGGGCUGGUUUCUCAUAACAACUCAGCCUAGCUAGUGCGUGGCUCUCCUAGAAUAUACAGACAAUUAGGAGCAGAGAGUUCAUGCUGCACAAUUAAUGGUUAAUCAGACGAGCAAUGAUGAAAGAACAAAUAUAUCAAGAAAGUGACGAGCAAUGUUGAAGCUUACUCUGCAGCAGAAACGGAAAGCAAGUGCCAACCAGAAGGAGCCCACAGUUUGACCUGAGGACACCUGAAGGAAGUCCCACUUCCAAAUAUAUGAACCUCCCGAGUGAUGCUCCUACCACUCGAGUGAUCGAAUUCCUUUUUUCCUACCAGUGCAUGGGCGGUGAGUAUGCAUGCAUGGGUAUAUCCCACAAUCUCGUGCAACCGAUGGAAGCCGAUCCGGUUGAUGCAUGCACGCACGAAACAAAUCACCUGAGGACGUGCCAAGGUGUUGCUAAGUGCACACUCAUGAACCCCCACAAAAGGCACCCACCUCCUCCUCUUGGGUUGAGUGGAAGCUUCACUACAACACACACAUAAUACAGGUGCCCCGGUCCGACGGAGGCACUCCCCUCGAGUCGUUGCGGGAAGGGCUUGAGCGUGGCCUCGCCUUCAAGCGUUGGGCUCGAGGAAGAUGCUACCGUUGCCUUGUGCGUGGCCACCAAGUGAGUGGAUGCCAUGGACCAUUCAGAUGCAUUCGUUGUCGUCGCCCUGGUCAUAGGGAGAGAUUCUGUUGUGCUCGCUCUCCGGUUGCUCCAGAUCGCUCUCCGGUUGCUCGAGAUUGCUCUCCAGUCGCUCGCGUUGGCUCUUCGGUCACUCGCGCUCCAUGCCAGCCGAGCCGCUCCCCGUCCGUCCAGGCUUGUACUUCGCUGACUAGGAGUUGGGCAGAGGUCGUGGGCCGUUCGUCGUUGCGUGUGUCGGUGCCGCCAAGGUCCCAAUCUGGGUGUUGUAAGGAUUCCAAUGUCAGUGUCUUUUUGGACUCUACUUUUGAAUCCCAGCUUGCCUUGCUUCGCACGGAGCUCCUUCAAAAGAUUGAGUUGUUUCGCACUGAGCUUCACGACGCACUUGCCAAACUUGAGGUUGUGUCGGUUGUGCCUUUGUUGCCUGAGCUCUCGAUUGGUUCCAUUGAGGAGGCUGAAUGCCUCUUCGGAGAUUUUUCUCCUCGUGCUCUACAUGUGACGCCGUCUUCCCCGGUGAGUGGGGUCACCUCCGAGGUUGUGGCUCCAAUUAUGCAGAUUAUGCCUGAGUUGCAGGAGCUUUGUGGGGAAUCAUCUAUGGUGUUACCGAUGGAGCUGGGCUCAUUGGAGUCCUUGGUGGUGGCCAUGACACCCUCGCUACCUCAAUCGCCCGCCUUUGUGAACAAUGGAGACUUGGUUGGUUCUAUCACUGCCUCAUCUAUGGCCAUUGGGCAUGUGGCGUCUUUCAGUGGAGAGGUUGAUGAGACAUGUGUGUUGGCACCUAACUCUGAGCAAGUGGAGACGCCUGAGUCCAUCGUGUCAGUGAUACCUGUGACUGAUGAUGUUGAGGCGGUUGGUACAUUGGCGUCCGAUCCUUCUGAGCCCAACCAACAGCUCGCCCGUGUGGAGCGUGGAGGCUCCGAUGUUACGGGCACCCACUCGCACGUGAUUGUUGGGCAGGUUUCUAUGCGUGACAAGGUCAAUGAGAUUCUCUUUCAGAUAGAGCUUCACAGCUUGCUCAAACGUUUGGAGAGGAUGAGCCCUGGAUCUGGCAAGGCGAUUGUGGAGGAGGCUCUCACGAGCAAAGGAAAGAAGAGUGGCGUCAUAGAAAAGGCGUCCGCAACUAAUUGAUGGAUGGUUAUCAGUCUAUUGGGUUGUCCUUAUGGCUUGACUUGUCUUCGUUGAUUUGGGUGUGCCCGUGGUCUUCGGCCGAGUUACUCUUGUUAGGGUGUCUUUGCGAUGUAUUGGUGGUCGUUAGGUGUGGUUGGCCUGUAUCGGUUUUCGCCUGGUUUUCCAUUAAUUAACUGGGCAAUUCUCCUCUGCUUAAUUAAUCGAUGAGGCAAAUCUUUUGCCGACGUUUCGAAAAAAAUAAUAAUACAGGUGAUGCGUGCGUGUGUGGCCGUGCUGUUGCAACGCUGUUGUAGCCCCAGCUCAAUCCAUCAAUUUUCCAAUACCAAACGCUGUUAUUACAAUAGAUAUAUGUGCUUGCCUUGGGUCCCUUUGGUCCCUUGUUUUGGGGUUGAGCCGCUAGCUCUCCUUGUUGAGCCCCACUGCUACUCUCGAGAAAGAGCUCAUCAUUCCUUCGUUCGUGGCCUCUACAACAACUUUGAUGGGUAGCCGUGCACCGAACUGCGCUUGUGCAUCUAUUCUAGUGUGCCGACGGCGACGAAGAACGGCGACUGGCGCGGUGCACGAGGAGGACGGACGGCGGUUGCGGCGUCUUGGUUUGACCGGCCGGCGAGAGGGGGGCCGUGUACGUACGUGUCACGGGAUAAUAGACGAGAUGGGCUCGACGGCUCGGCGUCGGCGGAGACAUGCCCAGGAAUCGCCGGGGUGGCCGCCCUCUUGUCCCGCUAAAGGAAGAUGCGUUUCGUGUAUACUGUGCUACUUUGCACAUUAGUUUAGUCGUUUCAUUCAAUCAACACGUACGGUGAAGAAUAAGACCAAUGCAAGCUGGAAAUUGUUCCUUUUUCUCCGUGUCUGUGCGCGGAGAAGACAAAGAAAAGAGAGGGAAGAUGGACAGCAACGAGUAGACGACAUGAAGUUGUGGCACCUACAGUGUCCUAAGUGAGUGGCACCUCCAGCAAGCAGCGCAGGGACACGGAUGCCCAGCAUGUUUGCAGCACCGGCUCUCGGGAUCGCUCCCUGACGAGGAAAAGAUAUCCCCGACCGAUAUCAUAUCACAGAGUGGCAACAGCAGGCUGAUCGGCCACUAGACUGCGAAACGCGUGUGAUCACCAGGCCGGUUCUGUCCGUCGGUACGUACAAUACAAGUACUCUACAACCUGCGGCCGGCCGGCCAGAUCACAGGGCCUGCCCACAACAGGACUAGUAAUAAUUAAACACCGGUGAUGGGUUGUGCAGGGCUACCGAGCAUGCUCCUACUAUUAUCCUACUGAAUUUUUCAGAAUUUUCUGUAUCACGUACAUUUGAAUUUUGUGACAUGGUAACACGUAUCACAGGAUGUUUUUCCUCUCCUACUCCUAGUAGGAUGCGUCGUCUCAACACUGACUAGUCUGAACAUACUCCCUCGACAGAUGCAGCACUCGCUCGCUGAUUCCGUAUCCAUGUAGACGUAGGAGUAGGUCAGGCUAUGCCUAUGCAGAGCUAGUGCAGUGUCGAGGAAUGAGAGAUUGGUUCAUGGCGAUCCCAAGAAGGCACUGCUGAGAUGCGACGCGAGUUGCGAGGCCACUUGUUUCGGUUGCUCGCUCGAAUCUCAAAGGAAGCAAGAGAAGAUCUGUAUGGGGCUGCUAGGCUAUGGCUUCUCUACAUGCACUAGCGGGAGAUCCAUUUGUUACUUUACUUGCGUCAAACUUGGAUGGAAGGGGAGUCCAUAUUUGGGAGAUCCGCAAAGUAAUAAAGCGGCCAAAAACAAAAGAGGAUCCUUCCAUUCUUUCCACCAAAAUAUCACUCACUACAUGUAGAGGAAGAGGUCUGAUCCCGAUCCCUUGUCGAUGUUACGCAGCACCAGACAGAUCAUGGGGCUACAGGAGACGCGAGUGGCCGGCAUCCCGCCAUUUGUUCUCCGUCCAGCGAAAGCUUCCCGGCGAGGCGAGGCGAUUAUACGUCGCCGUCGCGACUUUCUCGUGAGCGCUAUUCGCCAUCACGAGGUUCGUUUGUUCAUGUGACAAGUCACGGGGGCGGAAGCAGAUGUUUCACAACGAGAUCCUUUACGGUACACUGACUGUAAUGGAUGUAAUCACAAUGGAUUGGCUGUCACCGUGCAGUGAGAAAGAUGAGAGAUGAUGGAUCGGAGAUUUUUGUCGCAAAAAAUGCUUUACGCGUACGUCCGCUCAACAGGGAUGAGCUGGUUGUGGUGUGCCGGCACGGGUGAGACGUGCGAAUGCGGACAGCGGCAGUGGCAUGGCAUGGCAUGGGCCUCCUCCUCCCAUGCCGGCCGGCAAACAUGCAUGCAUACACGGCGUACGCGCGAGCGCGCGCACGGACACGCUAUCUGUUGGGCGGCUGCUGGUCACCACCGGCGAGCGCCGAAAGCGUGCGAGCAGUACAAUACGACUGCCCUCCAAUGGCAUGGCGCGCUGUGCGGCUGUGCCCUCCCGUGUGGUACGACGCCGCGCGGGUCCGGCUGAUGACUGCUUUGCGCUGCCUCUACGGCUAUGGGCCGGCGCGUACCACCUAGUUUGGCUCCGUCCUCAGAUUGGCUCCUGGAUAUGACGCUGAAAUGCCCGCCGCAGCGUACUAGUUGUGGCGGGGAGUACUACCAUCUCUCUAUCCUUUUCUCAAGAAAUGUGUACUGGGUACUGACCGUCCCUUAUUCGGCGCAUAGGUGCUUUGCCUAUCAAGUGUAGUACUCCCGCCGUUUCUAAAUAUAAGUUUUUUUUUCUAAAGAUUCCAAUGCCGGCUACGUAUGGAGCAAAAUAAGUGAAUCUACGCUUUACAAUAUAUCUAUAUACAUUCGUAUGUAGCGAAAAUACAAAGGUGAACAUGGUCUCACGCGCACCCACGUGAAUAGUAAAUUCAUAAAAAAAAUACUCAAAAAGUUUUUAAAAAUUCUGAGAUUUUAUAGUAUGAAACUUAGUCGAACAUUCUGCUCGCGCGUGAAGAUUCGUGGUGUAUUGACACUCAUGGUAUUCUUAGUGAAGAAAAAUACAAUUGUGACCAUAUUAUUCAUCAAAUAGUGUUUUUUAAUAUACCUUCUAUUUUGUUAUGUUUGCCUGGUUUACCACGGAUGUGAUUGCUUCAUGAAUCUUCAUACGCGGGUAUACCGGUUGACUGUAUAUUACAAAAAUAAAAUUUGAUUUUUUUAGCAUUUUUUCAAAUUUACUAUUCGGAAGGGGUGCGUGUGGAACCAUGUUCACCAAAUCUGCAACACGUAUCUAGUCCGUAUUGAAAUCUUUUAAAAAGUCUUAUAUUUAGAAACAGAGGGAGUAGUAACUGGAUUUUGGCUUUUGCCAGUCAGGGAAUCGAAUCAUUUGGAUGAGAAAUAAUUACGGUUCUAUCUAAUUCCUACACCACUAGGUUUUACAUGGAGAUUCAUAGGGAUUCUUUUCUUUUAUUUCUUUGUAUGGUUAAUCAAGUAGUGUAGGAGUUAGACGAGACUUUGUUAAUUCUCGUCUAGAUGAGAAUUAGCAAAUCCGAAUAAUUACAAACAUGAUGAAAAUCACCAAAGAGAACAAAAGUAAGAAAAAUUGAUCUACCGGAUAGCAAUAGUUAAUGGAACAUGAUCACUAUUAAUAAGCUGACUGGAAACAUAUUCCUUCCUAUCAAAUAAUGUUUCAUGCCUGAAAUAUGUGACCCGUCGAACAAAGUUUUGCAUUACAUUCCACAUUAUAUCACAUGCAAGCUCAACCCUUGCAAAGGAGGAACAUUACCAUGGUCGGUCGUUUAUCACAUCACCCCGCUCGUGGUACCCUUUGAUAUGUUGAGCAGUGUCAACAAGAUUGAGCUUCCUUUUCUCUCGUCGGCAAAAGAUAAAACAACCGGUGCAACAUUUGAAGUCAACUGGGAGGCUGUUUCCGCCCCACCCACCUCGGUGGGCCUGGGAUACUCGAUACAUCCUAAACAUAUCAACUUUUCGAAACAUUUUUGCUCUUAUUUUGGUCUCUAAUUUGCAUGACUUUAGUUAAACUAACCCUGACUGACGUUGUUUUUAGUAUAAUUACCAUAGUGUUUGAUACGUCUCCGUCGUAUCUACUUUUUCAAGCAUUUUUGCCCUUGUUUUGGACUCUAACUUGCAUGAUUUGAAUGGAACUAACCCGGACUGACACUGUUUUCAGCAGAAUUGCAAUGGUGUUAUUUAUAUGCAGAAACAAAAGUUCUUGGAAUGACCUGAAACUUCACGGAACAUAUAUUCAGAAAUAAUAAAAAAUCCUUGCAAAAGAUGAAGACCAGGGGGCCCACCACCUGUCCACGAGGGUGGGGGGCACGCCCCCCUACCUCGUGGGCCCCCUGGAGCUCCUCCGACCUCAACUCCAACUCUAUAUAUUUGGUUUCGGAGAGAAAAAAUCAGAGAGAAGAAUUCAUCGCGUUUUACGAUACGGAGCCGCCGCCAAGCCCUAAAACCUCUCGGGAGGUGAUGUCUACUACACAACCUUCUUCUUGUAGACGUUGUUGGGCCUCCAAGUGCAGAGGUUUGUAGGACAGUAGCAAAUUUCCCUCAAGUGGAUGACCUAAGGUUUAUCAAUCCGUAAGAGGCGUAGGAUGAAGAUGGUCUCUCUCAAGCAACCCUGCAACCAAAUAACAAAGAGUCUCUUGUGUCCCCAACACACCCAAUACAAUGGUAAAUUAUAUAUGUGCACUAGUUCGGUGAAGAGAUGGUGAUACAAGUGCAAUAUGGAUGGUAGAUAAAGGUAUUUGUAAUCUGAAAAUAUAAAAACAGCAAGGUAACUAAUGAUAAAAGUGAGCGUAAACGAUAUUGCAAUGAUAGGAAAUAAGGCCUAGGGUUCAUACUUUCACUAGUGUAAGUCCUCUCAACAAUACUAACAUAAUUGGAUCAUAAAAUUAUUCCUCAACAUGCAACAAAGAGUCACUCCAAAGUCACUAAUAGCGGAGAGCGAACGAAGAGAUUAUGGUAGGGUACGAAACCACCUCAAAGUUAUUCUUUCCAAUCAAUCCGUUGGGCUAUUCCUAUAAGUGUCACAAACAGCCUUAAAGUUCGUACUAGAAUAACACCUUAAGAUAUAAAUUAACCAAAACCCUAAUGUCACCUAGAUACUUCAAUGUCACCUCAAGUAUCCGUGGGCAUGAUUAUACAAUAUGCAUCACACAAUCUCAAUUCAUCUAUUCAACCAACACAAAGAACCUCAAAGAGUGCCCCAAAGUUUCUACCGGAGAAUCACGACGAAAACGUGUGCCAACCCCUAUGCAUAGGUUCUCAAUGUCACGAAAACCCGCAAGUUGGUCACCAAAACGUACAUCAAGUGGCACGUGGUAUCCCAUUGUCACCACAGAUAUCCACGGCAAGACAUACAUCAAGUGUUCUCAAGUCUUUAAAGACUCAAUCCGAUAAAAUUACUUCAAAGGGGAAACUCGAUUCAUUACAAGAAAGAAGAGGGGGGAAGAAACAUCAUAGGAUCCAAAUAUAAUAGCAAAGCUCGCGAUACAUCAAGAUCGUAUCAUCUCAAGAACACGAGAGAGAGAGAGAGAGAGAGAGAGAGAGAUCAAACACAUAGCUACUGGUACAUACCCUCAGCCCCGAGGGAGAACUACUCCCUCCUCGUCAUGGAGAGCACCGGGAUGAUGAAGAUGGCCAUCGGAGAAGGAUUGCCCCCUCCGGCAGGGUGCUGGAACGGGUCUAGAUUGAGUUUCGGUGGCUACGGAGGCUUCUGGUGGCGGAAUUAGGUUUUUUGCUCCGUCCUUGGUCUAAUGGUGGUACGUAGGUAUAUAUAGGAGGAAGGAGCACGUCGGUGGAGCUCCGAGGGGCCCACGAGGCAGGGGGCGCGCCCAGGGGGGCGCCCUCCACCCUCGUGACCUCCCCGGAAACUUCUCGGAGUAGGGUCCAAGUCUCCUGGAUCACGUUCGGUGAGAAGAUCACGUUCCCGAAGGUUUCAUUCCGUUUGGACUCGUUUGAUAUUCUGUUUCCUCGAAAUACUGAAAUAGGCAAAAAACAACA
rnacentral:lncRNA from 1 species